ACUUGCUUCAUUCUACAAUCCAGGCAAUGAUGCAGUUAUUUAUCCAGCACCAGCACUACUGGAAAAAGAAGCAGAAGAAAGAAAAGAAGUCUACCCAAAAUUUGUUUUUGAUGACUACAUGAAACUGUAUGCUGGACUUAAAUUCCAGGCCAAAGAGCCAAGAUUUGAACUCAUGAAGAACGUGGAAGCCAAUGUUACCAUGGGUCCAAUUGCAACUGCCUAGACUCAUAGGAAUAAAACGGUGCUAGGAUGUUUUCUUCUCCCUCUUAUGUUUUCUACUUAUUAUUAUUAUUUUUUUUAUUGUGGGGGUUGUUGGUUAUUCCCAGUCAUUUGUUGCUCCAGAGAGGAGGGUCCUUUAUACAUAUGAGGGACCAAAAUUUAUUAUGUAGUAAGAAUUCUAAGACAAAGAAAUAAAAUAAGCUAUACAUUUCUCCAAAAUCAUUUGUGUCUACUGUUGCAAAGCUAUAUGGUUGAUUGACCUAAUAUUUGGUUUAAUUGCCUUUAAAAGUCCUUAAAAUUUUCUCAAUUAUUAGACACUCAACAUUUUACUUUAAUUUAUGAAUGCCGGAUCAAUUUAGUCCUCAAAUUUCUAACAAAUUUGACAAAUCAAAUAUCUGGUACUUCGAACAAAAAUACAAUUAUGUUUGGAACUAUGAAUUACAAUUAUCAAACUUAAGAGAGAAAACUUACAAGGAGCAGCCGAUAUCAAUAUGCAAGAAAAGCUAAGUUUGUCACACAUAACUACUUAUUUAAUAGUUGUAAGAUAAUUAAUGAUUAACAUAUUAUACAUGUUAAAGCAUUUAACAGUAAUGCAUUAGUAACAUGGCCGAGAACUUAAAAUUGGCAAUAUCCUUCAAAAGCCCACUUUUUGGUGCCAAAUCAGGAAUAACAUAAACAAGUCAUCUAUAGCCAAGACAAGCCAACGAUUUGUUGGCUACUAGGGUUAAAUGAAAAGAAAAAAAAUUCAUUCAACAUUCACCACAUUUGCACUUUGCCCCCUUCAACUUAACAAACAGGCAGUUUGCCUCUCUAGUAAAUCUGGUUAGUGAUUUUAAUGGACAAAACUCAAUAGUCAAAAGCAAGCCAGGUUAUCCUCAAGCUGACAGAAAUAUGGUUGAUUACUAAUGGUAAAAGGUUUUUAGAGUUAAAUAUAUUUUGUAGAAUCAUUUAAGAACCAAAUAAUAAUUUGGAUGUAGUUUAGAGGAAAAAUCAAGGUUGAUUGGCAAGAUAAAACAGUACUUGUAAGUUCAAGAAUUCUCUAUUCUCUUUUUCUUUCUUUUUUUUUGGCGAGUUUUUUCUCAAAACAUGUGUCACUAUUAUCUGUCAUCUUUCAUAUAUCACAAGAACAAGCAGACACACACACACACACACACACUUGUAAUUUAUACCUUUCUAGUCUUUUACUUCUCAUAAGGAGCUGAAUUUUGUAUGCUUCUUUCUGUCGAUGGAGACACAAGUUUUCCUCUAGUAAGUAUGAGGAUUAAAUAACCAACUACUCUAGCCACUAGAGAUAGUUAUAAAACUCUUCUUGAAUGUAGGUCAAGGGAUUAUGGUCUAUAUUUUAAAAAAUUUAGAAUUAUUUGAAAAAAUUUCAUUAGUUGGUACUUAGGUACCUAUUUCGAUUGGUGGUGAUUCAGUUUCUGGCUAAAAAAAAUAAAAGUAUGAGGAUUAAAUAUUGGAUUUUUAUGAUAUAAAUUGCGUGUAUAGGUACACGAUAAUUGUCAUUUAUUUUAUAAUUAAUUCCCUCCUAUUAUCUUACCAACUGUGCAUUAGUUAGUGGAUUCUACUCACUUUUAAAAAUUUGUAUUUAUUGCAUGGAAUAGAACAAAAUACCAUAAAAAGGUACUAAUUUGACGGUAGUUAACAGAAGAGUUUGAACAGUAAAAGGGAACAAGAGUCCAAACGGAAAUUGUUUCCCUUAUCCAGUGGUCAACUGCGGCAAACUAGGAGAAAAUUUUGGGGAACUUCCCUUUUUCUGUUUUUAGUAAUUUCCAAAGAGGACGGAGGUCAGGCUCAACUAGGAGUCUUCCCUUCUAUUCCUCUUGGUAGUCGGAUAGGCAGUAGGAAAAAAAUUUGAGAGGAAAAGGGGCACAGUCAAUCUUAACUCCUUUUUGCUCUUGACUUUUCAUCUUGUUGUGGCUAUUGAUUCCAUCGUAUGUCAGAACAAAGGGAGAAACAAUUGGUCAUUCUUUUGACUUAGCAUAUCUUUUGCUUAUUCUUAAUUGAAUCUAUUUUCUUCAUCGCAUUGAGGAACGAUGUAUGCUACAAUUGUUUCCACGAUUUCGCAUGAGAUUGUUCCAACAGAGAUGAACUAAAUCUCUUUUUCUAGUCAAGGGGCAACGGAUGCUUUGGUUUAUCUAAAAAUUGUGAGAUUGAAUUAAUUUUAUUUAUUUAUCUUAUUUACUGGUCUUUGCAUAUUUUCUGAUUGUAGUGCUUAUGGUUGUUUUAUUAAUUGAAUAUCACGGGCCCGGACAUUGAAUUAAUUUAGCAAUCUAAUGUCAAUUAGUGUAUUGAAUCCGUAAUUGUUCAAUUGCUCUAAAAUAGUGAUAACUGGUAUGAUUGGGUUUGUGUCAGGAGAAUAUACAGACUAAUCUAAAAUAACCUUGGUAGUGUGUUAUUUGGUUAGAAUAGGGCUCCUCUAAUACGUAAGGCAAUUGGAGAAUUAAAUCUUACAGGCGUACCUAGAAUUAAUUCUCGAUUAGAGUAGUAAUUGACGGGCGUAUCUCAGUCGUCGAUACAGUAAGGAAGAGUUGACUGUCAUCGCUUGUUUGGCAGCUAUAACUUAUUUAUUAGUUAAUAAUUGGAAUUAUCUCUGCAUCGAUGAUCAAUUAAUUUAACCAUUACUGAAGUUAUUUCUUGGCUAGAGUUUAGUCAUUAUUAAUUCGAGUUUUAAUAGUUUGUUAUUUAAAUUUUAGUUGGCUAUUUACUUUUAGUCAAACAAUUUAAUUAUUACCAUUGCUAUAAAAAAAAAACCCCAUCGUUAGUUUGAAUUUUAAAAGAGACAAAUAUCCCAGUCCCUGUAGAUUCGACUCUACGUAUCACUAUCUGCAUAAAUUAUAUUUUGUUUGAGUAGGCAUUUAUUAUUGUACGGGCUCGAUAACCUGUCAAUUUUUUGCGCCGUUGUCGGGGGCUAGCGUUAGUUAAUUUGUUUCUUUUAAGUUCAUUUUCGUUUUAAUUUUCUAACAUUUUUCUAGUUUAUGUCUUGGGCUUCUCAUACAGGCAAAUUGAUUUUUUAUCCUGAGCUAGAGAAGACUGCUCGUCGAACGCGAAAAGAGACCAAAUAGCUCAGAAAAGAGCAAUCUAAUGCUGCAUCUCAAAGACCCGAUCCAUAAGUUGAAUGAACAAGUUCGCUUGACGAUACUCCGAAUGACCCCAAUCGAGAAGAAAUCACUAUAGCUAAUACACAGAUAUUAAGGGAGUUGGCUGCUCCUAAUUUAAAUCAAUAACCCUUAUGCAUUACUUUUUCGAAUUUAAAUGAUAACAUCUUGUUUGAAUUAAAAUCUGGGCUAAUUCAUCUUUUACCAUCUUUUCAUAAUUUACCAGGUAAGAAGCCUUAUAAACACUUGCAAGAGUUCGACAUUAUUUGCAAUAGUAUGAAACCCCCGAAAAUUAUGGAAGAACAGAUAAAAAUGAGAGCAUUCUCCUUCUCACUUAAGGACUUAGCAAAGGACUGACUGUACUACUUACCUCUAGACAGUAUCACCAUGUGAGAGCAGCUGAAGAAAAAAUUUUAGAAAAAAUAUUUUCCUGCAUCUUGGGCUGCAAGUCUGAGAAAGGAGAUAUGCGGUAUCAAGCAAUAUUCACGAGAGUCGCUCUAUGAUUAUUUGGAGAAAUUCAAAAAGUUAUACAUCAAAUGCUCUCAACACCAAAUAAGCAAGAAAUUACUUAUCCAAUAUUUUUACGAGAGACUACUUUUCAGAUACAGGAGUAUUAUUGAUGCUGUAAGUGGAAAGGCGUUGGUGAACAAAACUUCUCGAGAAGCGUGAGAGUUGAUUGAAGGGAUAUCCGAAAACUCGCAGCAAUUUGAUAUAAGAGAAGAUAUUCCGAUAUACAGAGUGAAUGAGAUAGAAACAUCCUCUAUCCAAUAGCAGUUAUCCGAAUUAACAUCUUUUAUUAGGCAAUUGACCGUAAGAAAUCUUCCACAAGCCAAGGUGUGUGGGAAUUGCACUGCUAUAGGUCACUAUACAGAGAUGUGCCUAAUGAUUCAAGAAGAAAGUGCCGAGUAAGUAAACAUGGUUGGUUACGUGCCCGCGCCGAAAAAGCCAUAUCACCCGUACUCGAACACAUACAAUUCGGGUUGAAAAGAUCACCCUAACUUUAGUUAUAGAGGAAAUAGGCAAUCAAAUUUUGCAUUAAAUAAACAGCAAGAGUAUCAACAGUAGUAUCAACCUCACCUGCCAUCACCUCCGCUAAGCUCAAACCCAUCUGUAGAAGAAAUGAUGAAGCAGUUAAUUUUUAGUCAACAAAAGACGGAUUCUGACCUAUAAAAUAUAAGGAAUCAAAUGAAACAUAUACAAGCAAUGCAGAGUCAGAUGAGUCAGAUGGCAUUAGCAAUCGACCGCCUGGAAUCCUAAGUUCACGAAAAAUUGCUGUCUCAACCUAAACUUAACCUAAAAAAUGUAAGUGCAAUGACCUUAAAGAGCGGGAAGAAAAUUCAGGGAUCCGAACUCGUGACUCCAAAAGACAAGAAUGAAGAAAAAAUCGAGAAAAAGCUUAAGGAGGAGGACAGAAACAGCAAAAAUUCAGUGGUACUCCCUGACCCAAUCAUUGAGGUUAAAACUAAUCCCCCUCAUUUUUCUAGUAGGUUGGAGAAAUCGAAAAUGCAAAACAAGGAGAAAGAGAUCUUGGAGGUAAUUCGCAAGGUAGAGAUCAACAUUCCCUUGCUAGAUGCAAUCAAAUACGUGUCAAAGUACGCAAAAUUUUGAAAAGAUUUGUGCAUCAACUGAAGAAAGCUGAUGGGAGAUGUAAGAAUUAUUGUGAGAGAGAACGUGUCAGCAGUUCUAUAGAGGAAACUCCCACCAAAAUGUGAGAUCUAGAUAUGUUUUCUAUCCCCUGUAGGAUAGGUAAUACUUUGCUAAAAAUGUCAUGUUGAAUUUAGGAGUAUCAAUCAAUGUAAUGUCUAAAUCUAUCUAUGCUUUCUUGAACAUAAGUCCGUUAAAAGAAAUUAGGAUAAUAAUUUAAUUAGCUGAUCGAACGAAUACAUAUCCUGAUAGGUUGGUCGAAAAUAUGUUGGUUAAAAUUAAUGAAUUGGUAUUCACAACUGAUUUUUAUGUAUUUGACAUGGAUGAUGAUCAUUUCCUUGAUCCCUCGCCUUUGCUACUAGACAGACCCUUUUGUAGCACAAUCCAGACUAAAAUUGAUGUUAAUAAGGGUACCUUGUCCAUGAAAUUUGAUGAAAAAAUUAUUCAUUUCAAUAUCUUUGAAACCAUGAAAUACCCAUCGAAUUCUAAUUUUAGGUCCAUUUUUUCUGUGAGUGCUAUUGACCCUGCAGUGCAGGAAGUAUUUGAAAUUAUUGACAGGAAUAAGUUGAAAGUUGUUUUAACCAAACACCUUGAGUUGGACACAAUUUAUGAGGUAGAAUUGAGUAAAGAGCUGAAAUAUACGAUUGGAGCUUUGCAAUCGCUGUCGAUCACUAUGACAAGGUAUGAGGUCGCACCUAUCUUCGUGCCCGAAUCUCACCAAAGAGUAUUACCAUCUGUGGUGUAGGCACCUAUAAUAGAAUUGAAAUCUCUGUCUAAACAUUUGAAAUUUAAUUAUCUUGGCAGGACUAUCAGAAACACAAGAGAACAAGUUAAUCCGAGUUCUUAGAAAGUAUAAACAAGCGAUAGGAUGGACCAUCUCCGACAUUAAGGAAAUUAGCCCCUCCGUGUAUAUACACCAAAUAAGGUUCAAAAAAUAUACCAAACUGGUACGGCAAGUUCAAAGGAGGCUCAAUCCCCUUAUGAUAGAAGUGGUGAAAAAAAAAUACUAAAACUGCUAGAUGUAGGGAUUAUUUACGCAAUAUUAGACAGUCCAUGGGUGAGCCCAGUACAGGUACUUCCAAAGAAAGUAAGAGUGAUAGUGGAGGUCAACUAGAAGGGUGAGGUCAUGCAAGUGUGCAAACCCACCCGAUGGCAGUAGUAUAUCGAUUAUCGAAAAUUAAACGCUGUCACAAAAAAGGAUCAUUUUUUCUUUCCUUUUAUUGAUCAAAUGAUUAAGCGAUUAGCUUGUCGACCUUACUAUUAUUUUUUAGAUGAAUUUUCAGGAUAUUUUCAAAUUGCAAUCAUAUCGGAAGAUCAAGAGAAGACCACCUUCACGUACCUGUUUGAAACUCACAUACUGGCGAAUGCCUUUCGGAUUAUGCAAUGCAUCUACGACAUUUCAAAGAUGUAUCUUGAGCAUUUUUUUAAAAUAUGUUGAGAAAAUUAUUGAGAUUUUCAUGGACGACUUUAGUGUAUAUGGUGAUAAUUUCGAUAAUUGUUUAGAUAACUUGAAAUUGAUCUUGUUGAGAUAUAUAGAAACUAAUCUCGUGCUUAACUGAAAAAAAUGUCACUUUAUGGUUGAACAUGGGAUAGUUUUAGGUCAUGUAGUGUCCUCUAAGGGUAUUGAGAUUAAUCAGGAUAAAAUAGACAUUAUAUCUACUUUAUCUUAUUCCACGAGUAUGCAGGAAGUGUUUCUUUUCUUAGACAUGCAGGUUUUUAGCGAAAAUUCAUCAAUGAUUUCUCAAAAAUUGGAGCUCCUCUGUUCAAACUCUUACAGAAAGAUAUGGCCUUCAAAUUCGAUGUUGAGUGUGAGAGAGCAUUCAACAAGUUAAAAGAGCUAUUAACAUCGCCACCGAUCAUGCAACCUCCUGACUAGAAUCUCCCAUUUGAGAUCGUGUGCAAUGUCAGUGACCAUACAGUGGGAGUAGUGUUGGGGCAAAGAGUAGGGAAAGCAGCUCACGCCAUCUACUAUGCGUCCCGAGCUUUGAAUGCAACUCAACUAAAUUAUUUCACUACUGAAAAAGAGCCUCUUGCAAUUAUUCUUGCUUUAGAAAAAUUUAGAUCAUAUUUAUUAGGUGUUAAAGUUAUUGUAUUUUCUGAUUAUACAAAGUUGAGGUAUCUAAUGACCAAGAAAGAUACGAAACCGAGGCUAAUAAGAUGGAUAUUUCUCUUGCAAGAAUUCGACCUGGAGAUAAGGGAUAAAAGAGGUUCGGAGAAUUCGGUAGCUAACCAUUUAAAUCGCAUACCAGUUGGAGAGGAUAACAUGCCAUUGAAGGAUACAUUCCCUGAUGAACAACAAUUUUCUCUAAAUUCUAAAGUGCCUUGAUAUGCUGAUUUAGUUAAUUAUCUAGUAAUUGCUAAAUUACCUGCAGAUUGGCGUAAAGAAAAGAGGGACAAGUUGAAGAGCGAUACCAAAUAUUUCAUAUGGGAUGACCCUUACCUGUGAAAGAGAUGCACAGAACAAGGAAUCAGAAGAUACGUAAGUGAAGCUGAAUUCCAAUCAAUACAAACUUUUUGUCAUACUUUUACAUGCGGAGGUCAUUUUGGAUCAAAGCGAACUGCGCAUAAGGCAUUGGAAAGUGGACUUUACUGGAUUUCAUUAUUUAAAAAUGUUUAUUUGUUUUGUAAAUCCUGCAAUUGAUGUCAAAAGGUAUAUAAUAUAACUCAUAGAGAUCAUAUGCCCCAAGUCCCGAUGAUUUUUAUAGAAAUUUUUUAUAUUUGGCGUAUAGAUUUUAUGGGAUCUUUUCCUGCAUUAUUUGGUUUUACAUAUAUAUUAUUGGUAGUGGACUAUAUUUCCAAGUGCGUGAAAAUUGGAGCCACUCAGACUAACGAUUCAAAAGUGGUUUCACAUUUUAUUAAAUCCAAUAUUUUUGUACUUUUUAGAAUACCAAGAGCUAGUGUUAGUGACAGGGGGACGUACUUCUGUAAUAAGACCAUAAUUGCACUAUUUCGAAGGUAUGGUGUACUCCACAAGAUCUCAACAUCAUACUAACCUCAAAUCAAUGGUCAAGCGGAGGUUUCGAAUAGAGAGAUUAAGUCGAUAUUAGAGAAAAUUGUUCGCCCCGAUAGGAAGAAUUGGAGUCAAAGGUUGAAAGAUAUACUUUGGACCUAUCGAAAUGCGUAUAAGUCCCCUAUAGGAAUGUCACCCUACAGAUUGGUAUUCGGAAAGUUGUGUCACCUCCCAGUGAAAUUUGAGCACAAGGCCUUUUGGGCGAUAAAGCAAUGUAAUAUGAAUUUACAGGAAACCGGUGCCCAUCGAAAGUUGGACUUGCAAGAAUUGGGGGAGAUUCGGGAUGAAGCGUAUGAGAACGCAGUAAUUUAUAAGGAGAGAAGUAAGGAGUUUCGUGACCAACAAAUCUCUAGAACGACCUUUGAAAUUGGCUAGAAAGUUCUCCUAUACUAAUCCAGACUUAAGUUAUUUUUAGGUAAAUUGCGUUCCCGUUAGAUCGGUCCUUUUAUUGUUACUCACGUCUUUCCCUAUGGUGCAGUAGAAAUCCAGAGCACUAAGACAGACAAUAAGUUUGUGAUUAAUGGAAAUCGUCUCAAAUACUAUGACGAGAGCUUUCCAAGUGGAGAAGUGGAGAUGAUACAUCUGGAUACACCAAAUUAUUUCGAUUAGCGACAUCUAGCCAUGUCCAGUCAAAGACGUUAAAAAAAAGCAUUUAUUGGGAGGCAACCCAAUUUCUUUUAAUUAUUUAUUCAAUUUUAGUUAGUCACUUCAAUUUGUUUUCUUAAGGUUUUUCCAAAUUCUUGGUGUAAUGUUUUGUUUUUUAUGAUUAGUAGGUGUUCCCCAAACAUGAUGCACCCGUAUCACCAAGGCUCAUGAUAAUAUGCAAUUCCCAGGUGCUUUAUCAGAAGGGUUUCCAUCCUCGUGACGCGCCCACGUCGAGUUACUUGAAAAGCUCUUCCUUCGAUCCUGGAGCGGACUGACCAACAUGACGCACCUGCGUCAACAAAACGCAGGGUAACUUUUAAUUUACCAACUCUCCAUCAGAAGAGUUUCCACCCUUAUGACGUGUCCGCAUCACUUGGGCACGUGAUAAUGUGUCAUUUUCAAAGUUUUCAUGAAAAUGAUUUUCACCCUUAUGAUGCGCCCGCGUCAACCGAGCACGUGAUAAUUUUGAACUCAAUGAACAUUCAUCAGAAAGGUUCUUGCCUUCUUGACGUGUACACGUCAUGUUAAAGGGAAAGAUAUGUAUUAAAAAAAUAAUUAAAAAAAAUAAAUAAGUUUUUUCAUUCCACCUUGAAAUUUAAUUCUUAAUUUUCAAAAUUUAAAAUCUAAAUUCAAAAUUUAAAAUUAAAAAAAAAACAUGCAACCUUUCUUUCCUUUUUCUUCUUUCUUUCUUUCUUUCUCUUUUCCCCUUUCUUCCGCCCCUAGUUCCCUCUCUUUCUCUUUCGGUCCAAAACCCAACGCAUGCCAACGCAUGCUGCCAUCCUUUCUCUCGGGACUCCCCUCGCUAACCGACGCUACACAAUCGCAUGCAGUCACGUAGCUGCAUCCCCCGAUUCUCGGUUCGCCAUGGUCCUCCUCGGCUCAACGCAUGCCGACGCAUGCCGCCCAUCCCUCGUGGUCCUCUUUCGCGAUGCCUACCACCAUAGCACGCCGCCGUCUCUCUCUCUUACAGCCGUCGUUGCUCCACCAAGCACCGCAGCCCACUGCUUCGCCAUCAUUCGCUCGCCUGCCAUCUCGCUUCGUCACACGCCACUGCACGUUGCUGCCUCGCUCGCCGACGUGCACUGCCACGAUUGCCUCUACCACCACUUUUCGUUGUCAUAGGGGUAGAGGUACUCCACUUCCUUACCCCCUCUCAACUAACUCUCUAGAGUACCCAUUUUGAAGUAUUACUUCCGACAGUAGUUAUUCGAUUCAAUUGGGAACUGCCUCCCUAGAUUAUAUCGAUUUUAGGAGUCAUUUGAUUCUUAAUUUGAACUACUGCAUUAUUUGGAAAUUUUUUGAUAUUGUGGCUAGAUAAAUUCUACAUUUGCCUAUUGAAUUGGGAGACACUAGUGACUCUUGAUUGGUUGUUGAAAUUGGUUGAAUUUAAUUGCAUUGUUAGGGGUAAUCUGCCUGUCAACUGCGUGUGGAUUUGUUUGGUACAUUUCUUGGGGUUUUUGAUUGGAUAAAUUAAAUAAUAACCCAUGCUUAUUGAGUGUCUGCUGCAUUGACUACUGUUACCAUGUCUAGAUUACUUGCUUCAUAUACUUGCUGGCAAGUCUAUUUCUUUUGUUGACUUGGGUGAUAAUUGGAGACAAUGGCGAGGCCAAAGUCCAUUUCUAGGUCUAGAACUCCUUAACCUCAACCUCUUACUCCCCAACCCACCAUUCCUGUGAAUGAACCUAUCAACCAACCCGUCCUCUUCAGGGUCCAAACACAUCCAAGUAGGGGUAAGGGUGUCCAUAUGGCUACAUCCUCUUAUUUUGGGGGGCAUUUAAACUUCACUAAGACGUCCGAUCAGCAGCGAUAUGCUAAGUGUUGUGAGCGGCAUAUCAUCCCCUGCAAAUGUUGUGAAAAAAUUGUCAUGGAUGCACUAGGUAUAAGGGACGAGGUUGAGCGGAUAUUUACCGUCAUUGGUUGGUGAUCUUAUCUUGAUAUUUUCUGUCCCGCCUUUGUCAAACUGGUUAUGAGUUUUACUCUACUUUUGAGUUUGAAUUGCUUACGAGAUAUACUGUCGAUCCUGCAAAUAUGAUUCAUUUCCAUAUGAUGGGUCAAGAGUUCAAUUUUUCCAUUAUUCGGUUCAAUUUCACAAAAAAUUGACAGGUUGUAGAGUCUGUACAAUAAUAAAUACCUGUUCAAACAAAAUAUAUUUUCUAUACAUAGCGAUAAAUAGGGUCGAAUCCACAGAAAUUGGGAAUAAUUCGUUCCUACUAAAGUUUAAAUUAUGGAGGGAUUUUAUGAAAAUUAACAAUAAGCUAUGCUAAUCAAAUAUUGCAAUUAAAUAAAAAUUAGAUGACAAACUGUAAAAACUGAAACAGUAUUAGACCGGCUCUAGUCAAGAAGCAACUUCGAAAAUGAUUCUCCCAAUUAAUCAUCGAUGCACAAAUAAUUUCACAUAUAAACUGAUAAAUAAGUUAUAAUUGUCGAACGGGCGAUGACAAUCAAUUUCUCGUUAAUUAUCGAUAGUUAAAGUACGACCGUUAGCUACUGUCCUAAUUGCAAAAUAAUCUUAGGUACGACCGUAGAAUUCAAUUUUGCAAUUGCUUUAAGAUUUAGAGAAAUCCCGUUUUAACCAAACAACACGCUACGAGAGUUGUUUACAAAUUAGCCCGUAUAUUUUCCUGACAUAGUCUCGAUUAUGCCAUUUGUCACUAAUUUAGAACAAUCAAACAAUUAUGAAUUUAAUUAUUCUAAUUGGUUCUAGAUUAUUGAAUUAAUCUAACAUCCAGGGGCUCGGGAUAAUUGAAUAAUACAAUAACCAUAAGAAAGUAAAGCAGGAGCUAUAUAAAUACCAAAAAAAAAUAGGAAAACUAAAAUCAAUUAGAUCUCACAAUUUAAAUCGAACCAAAUCCUCCGUUGUUCUUUGACUAAAAAAAGAGAUUUAGUUCAUCGCCAUUGAAUCAAUCACAUGCAGAUUUGCAGAAAUAAUUGUCACGUCCAUGAAAAAGUUGAUGGAAUAAUAACUAGAAUAAGCAGGAACUACGAAACCCAAAAGAAUGACUAAUGUUUUUCCUUGGGCUCUGACAUAUGAUGGAAUCAAUAGCCACAAAAAGAUGAAAAAGUCAAAAUCUAAUGUAGUCAAGAUUGUCUACUAUUUUCCUAUAUAAUUCCUUACGUCUACUCCCAUGAGUAAUAGGCAAAAAGAAUCCUAAUCUCAAUUGACUUCUAUCUCCUACUUAAUUGAAACCAAAAAAAAUAGGAAAUCUCCUAAUUGGUUCAUUUCCUAUUUUUGCUAAACUACCUUUUUCAAUUCAAAACUAACAAUCAGCUAAUGGAAUAUUUGCAGCUCCAUGUUGCAUUUUCAAUUGGCAAUUGGUGUCACGCACUUGUCCUGCAUUUUUUGGGCAUGUUAAGGUCUGACUUGACGCGCCUACGCCAAAUAGCAAUUGUAGUGGAAAAUUUACACAUUUUUACCACAUUUUGUUCCAAUUCCCUGCAAUCAAUAUAAAUUUUCAAAAGUGAGUAGAAUCUAUCAAUUAAUACACAUUCGGUAAAAUAAUAUGAGGAAAUUAAUUAUAAAAUAAAUGACAAAAGUGUGACUUAUUAAUUCCCCCCACACCUAGACCAUGCUUGUUCUCAAGAAUGAAAACAACAAACAAACACCAAUUCCUGACAUUGGCUAUCAAUCCAUCUAUCUUAUUGCCAAGAUACCGAGAAAACGCAUAUCAAGCAUCAAUAGUCGAGAUCUAGGAAACAUCUCCUCAAUUAGCUUCUAAACCGUAGACGCCUCUAAUUUAUGGCUAACUAUUUUAAGAAAAAAGAAUGGUCGAUCAACAUUUAUCAGCAAAUGGUCCAACUAUUAACCAAAAUCUCAACAUUAAAUUCAUAAAUCGGCAAGCCAACUUUAAUCACAUAUUUACACAACCUUCACAUCUUUUUAUCACAUUUUUCUAUUUCUCCUUCUUUUUUUUCCAUUUUUAAUAGUAAUAAUAAUGAACUUAGUCUCCUCUUUUUUUCUAUUUUAGAGCAAUUGAACAAAUACGGAUUCAACGCUCCAAUUGAUAUUAAAUUGUUAAAUUAAUUCAACGUUCGGGCCCAGGAUAUUCAAUUAACAAGAUAACUAUAAACACCACAAAUAGAGAAUAUGCAAUACCAGUAAAUAAGAUAAAUAAAUAAAAUUAAUUCGAUCUCACAAUUUUUAGAUGAACUAAAACCUCCAUUAUUUUUUGACUAGAAAAAGAGAUUUAGUUCAACUAUGUUGAGGAAAACCUAUGCACAAUUGUAGAAUUAAUUGUUGCAUACAUCGUCUCCCGAUUGAGAUGAUCAAUCCGAAUGAAUAAUUGAAAGAACAAUGAAUAAGAUGAAUAAGAGCAAAAAGUCAAGAACCAGGGAGUACGCCGAGAGUGCUUGUAACUACAUAGAACCAUUUUUCUCUCACUACUCCUAUAUUUGGAAGGAAAUGUCUGACGGGGACCGUUACGACCCUUUUAGAUCCAGAAGUUAUUAUCUUAAGGACCCUAGUUCUCGAUAUGUUCAGCGCUUCUUGGCCUACAGCUACUCGAGUUACAAGGAUAGCUCUGAUAUACUUUGUUGACAAGAAUUCUUCUUUAUCUGGUAUAUGAAGAACAAUAUUAAGGUGAAUUUAGGGUGUUGGCCAGCAUAACAAUUUAAGACCGUUUUAGCCAAGAGGAACAAACCCUUGAUACUUGGGUCGCAUAUCAUGAACCUAACAAUCCAGUUAAGGGUUCUUAAUUUUCAGAAUCACGAUCUCCAACUGGUUUUUGACAUGGAGUUUCUGGAUGAGAGCUGUCUAGAGAAAAUGAGAGUUAUAGAGCAGGUUGAUGAUAUGUACUAGUUUACAUUCCUGAGACCCAUUCGAGCACCAGGUCGACGCCCUUCUAUACGAGCAGGGUCCUCUUCAGCUCUUGGAUCGACCGAUGACACUGUUGGACUAUCUUCUUCUGUGCCGCCUCCACCAAUGGCCUCUAAUGUUGAGUGACGACAUCUGCGUGCACAAGUUCACCAUGUAGAUGAGCGGGUGACAAAUAUCGCCAAUCAGAUAGCACAGAUGUCUCAGAACUUGGCCGCCUACUUCCACCACGUCGGCUUCACUCCACUGUUCCCACCUAUCCCUUAGCUAAUCGGGAUGGAAGUUCCAUUGUCCUCUUUCCUUUAUUUGCUCUAUUACCUCCAUUGGGGACAAUGUCGGACUUAGGUGUAGGAGGGGAGCUGUGGUACAGCUAGUAUUUUUAGUUUUUAGAUGUUUUUCCUUUAUUUCUUGUUAUUUGUUCUGUUUUUCUUUUAUUUUCCUUUUACUUGUAUUAGUGAUUAGCACUUCUGUGACUACCAAGGAUUGAUGAUGGUUGGUUGAUCCUAAUUUUGCUUAUUAUCAAGUUUUAGUAAUAAAAGCGUAUCAAGUUAAUUUGGUUGAUUCAAAAAAAUAUCUCUUUGGUAAAUAUCGAUACUUUUGUGACUUACAAUUUUUGUUUAACUUUUCUCGACAUAGGGAAUAACUGCUUGAUAUUUUUUCUGUAAAUUUGUCCAAUUAUUAACUUUAGUUCUCCAUGUUUGAGGAAAUGAGGCUAGCUGCUAUUGUUUUAUGUGAUAUCUUGAGUUAUUUUGUCGCCUGAUUGUGAAUAAAUUUGGCUGUACUCCACUAGUUAUUACUGUUAAGUAACCAAGGGUCUGCACCAAAAGUGUCGAUUCUCGCAUCAAAUAGUAGUAAUUUCUAUAAAUACGUUGUUAUGUAGCAAUAGAAGCUGAGUAACCGGGGUUCUUCAUCUGACAAAUGUUAGAGUCUGCGUCAAAAGGCUCUAAUGGCUAGAGACUAAGUCUAUUAGUGUUACUAUCGAAUAUAUAUAUAUAUAUAUAUAAGUUGUGAAGAUUGUGUAAAUAUGUGAUUAAAGUCAGCUUACCGGUUUAUGAAUUUAAUAUUGAGAUUUUGAUUAAUAGUUGGACCAGUUACUGAUAAAUGUUGACCGAUUAUUCUUUUUUCUUAGAAUAGUUAUCCAUAAAUUAGAGGAGUCUGCAAUUUAGAAGGUAAUCGAAGUGAUGUUUCUUGGAUCUUGAUCAUGGGUGCUUGAUAUGUGUUUUCAUGGUAUCUUGACAAUAAGUAAAUAGAGUAAUAGCCAUUAUCAGGAAUUGGUUUGCUAUUCUCAUGCUUGAGGAUAAGCAUGGUUUAAGUGUGGGGGAAAUUUAUAGGUCAUAGUUUUGUCAUUUAUUUUAUAAUUAAUUCCCUCCUAUUAUCUUACCAACUGUGCAUUAGUUAGCGAUUUCUACUCAUUUUUGAAAAUUUGUACUUAUUGCAGGGAGUGGAACACAAUACCAUAAAAUGGUGCUAAUUUGACAAUAAUCAGUAGAAGAGUUUGAGUAGUAAAAGAGAACAAAAAUCCAAACGGAGAUUGUUUCCCUUAUCCAGUGAUAAACUACGGCAGACUAGGAGAAAAUUUUGGGGAACUUCCCUUUUUCAACUAGGAGUCUUCCCUUCUAUUCCUCUUGGUAGUCGGAUAGGCAGUAGGAAAAAAAAUAGGGAGCAACAGGGGCCGUCAAUCUUGACUCCUUUUUGCUCUUGACUUUUUCGUCUUUUUGUGGCUAUUGAUUCCAUCAUAUGUCAGAGCAAAGGAAGAAACAAUUGGUCAUUCUUUUGACUUAGCAGAUCUUUUGCUUAUUCUUAAUUGAAUCGAUUUUCUUCAUCGCAUUGAGGAAUGAUGUAUGGGAUAAUUGUUUCUAUGAUUUCACGUGAGAUUGUUCCAACAGAGAUGAACUAAGUCUCUUUUUCUAGUUAAGGAACAACGAAGGCUUUGGUUUAUCUAAAAAUUGUGAGAUUAAAAGAGUUGACUGUCAUCGCUUGUUUGACAGUUAUAACUUAUUUAUUAGCUAAUAAUUGAAAAUAUCUCUGUAUCGAUGAUCAAUUAAUUUAACCAUUGCUGAAGUUAUUUCUUGGCUAGAGUUUAAUCAUUAUUAAUUUGGAUUUUAAUAAUUUUUCAUUUAAUUUUUGGUUGGCUAUUUACUUUUAGUCAAUGGUUUAAUUAUUACCACUGCUAUAAAAAAAAUCCCAUUGUUAGUUUGAACUUCAAAAGAGACAAAUAUCCCCAAUUCCUGUGGAUUCGACCCUAUUUAUCAUUAUCUGUAAAAAUUAUAUUUUGUUUGACCAAGUAUUUAUUAUUAGACAGGUUCGACAACCUAUCAGUACAGCAUCACAAGCUUUGUGAGAUACUGUAAUUUGUACACCUCGUCCACCUUACGGCCUCUCUAACAACUGUCAAUCUCCCAGGAAUUAUUGGACAAAAAUAUGCCCCACAUGUUUGAACCAUUUAUUUCAUUUGCUGAUCUUGCUACCAACAAUAAAAACGAUAGCAUUUAUUUCGUUUAUUAAUUUGCCAGUGACACGAGACAAAACGAGGUCGGUGAAAGCAAAAUGAAAUUGAUUAAUCAAGAUUUCAUUCUGUGGCAUAUGUGGUAGCAACAAAAUUAAGUUUUUCCCAACAAAUUACAAAUAAAGUGGGUAGGCAAUUUAGUGAAAGCAUAUGUUUAAAAAUCUUUGAAUAAAAUGGAUUAAGUUAGUUACCCACAGCGGGUUAUAAAAGUAAAAUUCUGAUCAAAUUUGUUUUAAGGAUCAUAUUACAACUGGGGUAUAAUCCUAGAAAUGUGUAUAGUGUUAUGCCGUUUAUCAAAGUAAAUGUAGUUUAAAUAAGGUAUGCCAUAAAGUUAAACUUUUAUGUAAUAUUUGCAAGUAUGUAUGCUGCCAUAAUUGGAAAAGACGAAAUUCACUUAAAAUGCCAAGUUAAAUGCUGCUUUUAGUUAAGAUCAUAAAACCCUUAGUUUACUGAGAUCAUAGUAUGUAAGAUACAGGAGUGGCAUAAUAUAAAACAUUAUAGAUAUCAUAGAAUAUAACGUGACACUUUUUUAUCUUAGUUUUUGUUAUCUCUAAAUCACCCUCAUGUCUUUUAAUUAGAAUUAUUGUAUUUCAAUGUGGCACUAAUUAAAAGAAAUAAAAACACUCCAAUUGAUUACAUCUCAAUAAUGUUGAUAAUUACAAUUAAAAAUUGCACAUUAAAAAUUAUUUACUUAUCCUUAGACUCCAUUUCCAAUUAUUAUAUAGAUCAAAAUUUCUCAUUAGCCAUUUGAGAUUGUAAAAAAACCAAUGUCAAAAAAAUAGAUAAUUUGAAAAAAAAAAUAGAGAAACAUACAAGGAGAAAAGAUCUCUCAUUCAUUUGUAUAUUUUCAUACAAAUAUCACAAAUAAAUUUCAUAACUAUGUGCUUUUUACAAAUAUGAAGAAAUUUAAAAAAUGAUGGAAAAUCCAACUAUUUCAAUCAAAUGAAUUUAACUAUCUCACAAAUAGAGCUUUUCUCUCUCUCAUUGAGAGCCUUUUCCCCCCAUUGGUGGGAGCUCAACAUUCUUUCAAGGGAAAUUUACCAAAUUGAACCCUAACAUUUUCACAAAAAUUUUUUUUGGUGCCUAACAUUUAAAAUCAGUCAGAAUAGUCCCUAACAUAUAAAUUAUGAGCCAAUUUGGUCCUAGUACUCGUAUUUGCUUAUUUUUCUGACUAAAAAUAGCACACCUCUCUCAUGUGGGCAUAAUUUCGAGCGUAAAAUCGAAAAACAUUCGUUAAUCCAUGGUUUUAGACUAAAGAAAGAGAAUAUUCUCUUCAAAGUUCAAGCUCUCCAAUGGGUACUCUUCCAUAACUCCACCCACUCCUCCUAGAGUCAAUCUUGAGUCAUUUUCCCUGGACGUACUCUAUCAGAUGCAUUUCACCAUCACCACAUUGGCAACUCAGUGUUUCAGGGGGUGAGAGAGGUUAUUAUUCCUCAACCAGGAGGUAAAGAAGGAAGGCACUUGAAGGUGCAAGUCUUGGUUGAUACUUUUCAGCCACUACUGAGGGGCACUAUUGUCAAAGUGAUUGGUUCCAUGAGAUGGAUAAAGUUUAAAUAUGAGAGAUGCCCAAAUUUCUACUACACAAGUGUAGUUAUUGGACAUAGUGAGAAAGGCUGUAAAACAAGAGUUUCAGUGGGGAGUGGACAGCAAGAGAACCAAUAUUGACAUUAGAUAAGAGCAAACCCUAGGAAAGAAUCCCCACAAAAAGAAAGUAAUAGCUACAGAUCCCCUUCCAAAAGGAGUUACUGGGGAGUGCUAAAUGGGGAAGUAGUUUUAAAAUAGCCAAACAAGGAGGAAUUAGUUUCCAACCAAUGUAACCAAAGGGAGAAGGAAACAGAUAGAGGGAUCAACAAGGUAAAUACCUCUAGAAGUGAGGAAGCAUGAGGAAUGCUGAGAAAGAUUAUAGACACAAAUUAGCAUAAUAUCUUCAAAUGUGACAAUAAUCCAACAAAGAAUAUGAUGAGAACUUAAAACUAGAUGCUGUUAUAAAACACUACUUCAAUUACUAGUAUUUAACAGGUACGUCAAACAUGUUAAUGGUGGAGUAAAAUGAAAAAAAAAAUAACAAUGGGACAGAAAAAACACUUUAAAAUGUAAAAUAUCUCCAAAUUGGAAAUUGAGAUGCAAUGCGAAUGUCACAUACAAUUUAUUGUUGUAAAGUACAAACAUGACUCUAAAUAGAAAAGUGUAGAGUAAAAAGCGUUUAACUUAAAAUUUAGGAUUAAAUGUUGGAGUUGAUAUUAAAUUGAAAGAGAAAAAGAAGGAGAUGGAUAAAAAUACAAAAAAAAAUAAUGAUGGUCAAGUGCCGUGAGAAUUUAAACUUUUUUCAACAUUUCUAAAUUUUAGCAUUAACCUAUUUUCUUCCUUUAUUUUUCUUCUUUUGUUAAAAAAUAAUAAAUAAAUAAAUUAAAAUUAAAUUAAAAUUAGGAACUAUUUCGACUUUGCAUUCUGAAGAUGCAUGCAUAGUUUUAUAUUUAAAUGCUCUGAACUAGUGAACUUUACAAUUUCUCUACCUAUUGAAAUUCUCCAUUACGUGCAAUUACUUAUCAAAUAAGACGAACGAAGCUAUUACUAUUAGAUUAAAAUGACUGGCUUAACUUCAAAUAAAUUAACUUGUCGAAGUUUAUUUUGGGUACAUGGAGACAUGAUAGAGCGGCUAUUUUGCACAUUUUGCACUAUUAUUUUGUCCUAAUUUUGGCUGCUCAUGAUGCUAAGAAUUGAGAUUUUGCUCAUAUUUGAUAUUUGUGUGAAUUGUAGGUGGUUGGUGUUGAAAUUAAUCUCUUGAGGCAAAUUUUCAGAAGAUCCUUUAUCUCAGGACGUGCCUACGCCAGAAAUUAUAGGAGGUUACCCAAAAGCCGAACCCGCGGGAUUAAUAGCAGUAGAACCAAUCAAGAAAUCGGGUCCACGUGAACCGCGAGAGGCAUGAGAUUAAAACCCCAAAAAGAAAAGCUUUGUAGCUGACCUUUUGUGGAUUUCUCCUGGCAGCGCUACAAAAGAAAAGAAAAGGCCAGAUUCACGAUCAAUUGAUACAUUAGCUUAGUUUCUCUUCCCAACUCGUCAGACGUUUGGUCUUGCUUUUCGGCUGCAAACAGGAGUACAAGCCAAAAUCACGUGGGCUUAAUAGUUUAGCUUUCGUUUCUUUCACUGUAGACGGAUUCUCUCUCUGCUUUGGCUUUUGAUAAAUUUCGUGAGACUCUUCUUGACUUCGUCCCAGUACGGAUACAAAAUAAGAAAAGGGAUUAAGAGACUUUCUCUUCGUCCUUCGUUGGUUCAUCUUUCCCAAUUUUUCGGCAAUUAAUUGAAUGAUUUCAAUUAAAUCACGCGAGAUGGAUAUGAUAAGGAACGGCUAGGUUUCUCCUCUACCCAAGGGUUAACGCGAGGGCGUGGUCCAUAAUAUCUGUGAGAUCUAAUCGAAUUUUCAUUAUUUCUUCCAAUUUGUUACUAUUUGUGCGUUUCCUGGAUUAAUUGUUCAUGGGUAUUUUAUUAAUUGAGUAUCAAUGGCCGGAUAUUUAAUUUAAUUCAAUAGCCUACCGUCAUGUUAACUAAAUUGAAUCCAUAAUUGUUCGUUUAGUUAACAACUAGUGACGACCACCAUAAUUGGUUUUAUGUUGGGGAAACGCAAGAUCUAGUUUAAAUAAACUCUCUUAGCGUGUUUAUUGACUAGGGUUGGGUUCUUCUAGCUUUAAUGCAACUGGAUAAUUAAAUUCCUACGGUCGUACCUAGGGUUGUUUUCUGGUUAGAGAAACAGUCAGUGGUCGUACCUUGAUUGUCGAAAAAGUAAGGAAGAACUGGUUGUCAGAACUUGUUGAUAACUAUAACCAACAUAGUGACGGAUGAAUGAAAUAUAUUUGCAUCGAUGAUCAUUUAAUUGGACCGUGCCUGAAAAGUUGAUCAUUUGGAUAGAAUUUUAUUAAUUGCUAUUUUUAGUGAAUUGAACUUGUUGAGUUGGCUUUUGAAUUUUGUUUAUUUUAUUUUCAUUUUCAUCCCAUUAAUUAUCCCCCAAUUUUAUUCUAUUGACUUGGAAAGAAACAACUUCCUUCCCGUUCCCUGUGGAAUCGACCCUACUUGCCAUUGUAUGCAAAUUUAAUAUUUUUUUAGACAAUUCUGGUAUAUCGGAUUAAGCAAACUCUUCGGGAAUAGGGUUAAUCAAGUAACCCAUUGCACACGUAGAGUUCCUGCUCCAGUACUCGGAUUUGUUCUAUAAUUAAUUGUUGUGGCAACUAGGAUUUUUUAGUAAUUAUUAUUGCACAGGUUCGGCACCUGUCAAGACACCAUGUUUGUGUGCUUCACUUAUUUUCGACUUACUGUUUAAUAUCCAAAUUUAGUACUUAAAAUUAAUGGAUUCAAAUCUUGAUAUAUUCAAACAUGUUUUAUAACCAAAAAUUGAAUAUUUGAAUUAAUUAAGUGGCACUAAAUUUUUUAAGCAAAAUUUGCUCCCAAAAAUAAGUGUAUUUACUUAUCACUGAAUGUGAUAUAUACUCAAACGUAUUUAAUUUAAUACUCAAUAAUUGGAUAAUUUAACGGAUUCAGAUUUUAGAUUUUAAAUUUCAAUUUUCAAAGUUUAGUUUUAUCAAACGCAGCCUAAUGUCCUAUAGUAUUAAGUAUAUUACUGAGCUAUUAGUUCUAACACGUCACAUCAGACAUGUUUCUCUUUUAUCACAUUUUAUGCUUAUGCCUAUUUGUUCAUGUUUACCUUUUAAGUAGGGUGAAUUUCAACAUUUGAAUUCUUUACCUCCAUAAAAUGAGCAUUGACCACCAGACUAUCAACCAAUGGUAUAAUUUCCACUAUAAAAUGGUCUUUAGAGUAGGAAAAUUUGAAUAUACACACACACAUGUAUGUAUAUAUAUAUAAAGUACUAACUCUAAUUAGCCAUUUUCUCUCUCUUAGUUGACAUGCAUAAUUAUUUGAUGGGUCAUUUGAAUAUUUAGAAUUUAGCUAUAUUUGUAUCCAACUCCUCUCCAAUUAGUUAAUUUUUUCAUAGUUUUCAUCUCUUCUAACAAUUUUUAUCUUUUCAAAUAAACUUAAAAUUGAAUAUUCAUUGAUAAAUGAAUUGCUACAUCUUGUGUUUUUAAUUGAGCACAAAAUUAGUUCUAGGUUUACAACCAUUGUUAAAAUUUAAUUAUACACGCACAUAUACAUGUAUGUGUGUGUACUUGUGUGUGAAGGUAUUAAAAAUUUAAUUAACCAUUUCUCUCUCCUAGAUAGCAAGCCUAAUUGAAGAAAAUUUGUAGGUCAUUUGCAUACUUGAGUUUUAUCCAUAUUUAUAUCUAACUCUUCUCUAAUUAAUAUGUUAUAUAAUUUUUCUCUCUUCUAACAUAUAUAUAUUUAAAUAAAUUUGUUUACCCUUUGCAUCAGUACGGUUUAAAUUUACUUAGUUUAAUUAUUAUAUCUAUAGAUUUAUUAAUAUUUCUAGAAAUUAAAUACUCCUUCACAAAAAAUAAUGUUUGGAUCUUUAGUAUUUAAUUUGGUACAAAUAUAUAGUUCUAGAUUUAUGAUCAUUUCAUACAAUUUUAAUUAUCUCAAAAAAUAUCUAUCAAUUUUUUGCGUAUACAUUGUAGUAUUAAUCAAUAUUAUUAUAUCAAAUGCUAAGAGAAUAUGGAUAUCCGAAUAUGCAGUUAUACCUGCGGUACAAUUCCUCUCAAUUAAUUAAGUAAUGAACAAGUAUCUAUAUGUAGUUUCGAAUUAAUAAUUGUAAUCUAUACAUUCUUUAUAUGGUUUUAGGCUAAAUAUUUUCGAAUACUUGCUUACAUUCAAAGUAUCAACAUAGACAAUAUGCUCCAUGAGUUAUGCAAAAUUGUGGACAGCCAUGUCAAUAUCAUUUUGCAAAAAUUGUAUGUAUCCAUUGUAAUGACGUAGUUGACAUUAUUGUCAGGUAAUUAUUUCCAUAUAUUUAGAAUUUAAUAUACUUUUUUGCAUCAUACAUCACAAUUUAUUCUUAACAGAUAAAUAACAUAGACAUUAGAGAUUCCAGUGGUAACCUAUACCUUGCUCUUCAAUACAGCCAUGCACGAUUCAUAUUUCGUUGUAAUGCUUCUUAUCUUAGAGAUUUAAACACAAAGGUAUACAUUAUUUAUAUGUAUAUAUUUUUAUACAAUAUUAUUUACAAACUGUCUAAAACAAAAGAUAAUUUUGAAUUAUGUAUGCUUUUAAUUGUCCGAAAAAUGGAGAUGCAUUGUUUGACCAACACAUUAAUUCAUGCAAAAAUCGUGCAUUCUUAUUUAUAGUACGAACUCUACAAAAAUCAACAGAAUUAAUUAAACCCCAAAUACUAGCGUUCGUACUCAGAGUUGAUUGGUGUGAAGAAUGUUCACACCUUCGUAGAAGAUUACCAAAUCAAAGGCAAAAUGUUUGUAAGUAUUUCAUUUACUUAUCAAAUUAAAUAUUCAAUUAUAUUUAAUUGGACUCUUAUGUCGUUCAAUUUAUGAUAUAAAUUUCUAUUUUUUUCAUGAUAUUCAAUUAUAUUUAAUUGGACCUUUAUGUCGCUCAAUUUAUGAUAUAAAUUUCUAUUUUUUUUCAGGAUUCAACCUUCAUCAAAGCGAUAGUUUAAAAAGUCAAGUUAAGAUGGAGGAACGUGUAGGUUUACCACCCCACGGCUAGGGUUUAGGCGCCUCUCUUCAACGUUGCGGAGGUACCUCGAUCUAUGGCGGCUGCUUGGCCGCCAAAUCUUGGCCAUGGAGAACUACCCCACCCCUUCAAGUCGUUUGCGGACAUUGUAGAGGGCGGUGACCUCUCUGCGGGAACGGAUAUUGGGACUCUGGGUUUUGCAUAGGGGGGAACCUGCACUCGUGCUGUCUCGGCAAGAACUGUUAGGGCUGGUUGAACCCUACAAGAACACAUUAAUGGGGAGAUUCGCAUUCAACAGGCCAGCAAUAGAGAUCGUUCAGCAUUUCUUUGUGAUGCUGGGGCUGAAGGGAUUGUGUUCGGUGGGAUUGCUAGACGCUAAACAUGUGCUGAUACGACCAGAACUUGAGGAAGAUUACACGAGACUGUUUGUUAGACGCACAUGGUUUAUCCACAACUCUCCCAUGCAAAUCUCUAAGUGGACAAUUGACUUUAAGGCUGGCCAGGAUUGUGCCAUAACCCCCAUCUGGGUGAACCUGCCGGGGCUACCUUUUCCUUUCUUUGACAGGAAAUUGUUGCUGAAAAUAGGCUCACUGAUAGGGAGGCCGCUAUAGGUGGAUGCCGCAACAUUGAGCAUGAAGAGACCAUCCGUAGCCAGGCUCCUAAUUGAGGUUGAUGUGGCCAAUCUUCCAAUAAAGAGGCUUUGGCUAGGAGAUGACCAACAUGGGCAGUGGCAGAAGGUGGAAUUCGAAAGUUGGCCUGCUUUCUAUGGGCAUUGUGAGAGGUUGGGUCAUGGGGAGCAGGAGUGGUUUCGCCUCCACCCAGAACGUAGGCCUGUCCGAAGGGAGAUUGGGUUUCCCAACCAAGCCUACAUACCCAAGGAGCACAAGGAGAAUGAAUCCGUGACUGCGGCUCUCCUCGGCAAGCAGGAACGACCCAUAGUGGUGGCAAGAUAGCGAGAUGCGGAGCUGGUUGUGAAGCUCCAGGAUGGGCUCCAGCAGGGUGGGACAGACUUGCCUGCUACUCAUGUUGUCUAGCCCACGGUGGUGGCAGCAGGUCCGUCUUUGGGGCUUCACGACGUCAAUGAGGAGGAUGGGCAGCGGGAUGGCACCAGGGAAAGGGUUUGGAUUUGGCGGUGGUUCUGACCGCAGGCGAGGCAACUCAGGAAGACACUGUCGCAACAGGGGUGGAGGACAGCCAACCGGGGGAAGGUGGUGUGGUGGUACUGGACAACUCCUUUGCAGUCCUAGGUUCCAUGGAGGACGGGCUGGAGCUGCCGUCCCCUCGAGCAGGGGGGUCGCUCAGUAGGAGUCCUAUCUCCCUUGGAAUCACGCGAGCUCCGCCUUUGCGGCAAUCAUGCUCAAUGGACAGGCAGCUUCAGGAGUACUGCUCGGUCCUUGCCUUGAAGCAGUUUAAGGAGGCUUUGGAUCACCGACUAAAAAGACUCUCCUCUUCUGGAUGCACAGGUGCCUCGGGGAGCAGUGAUUGAUGCCUGUGAUGCGGCGCUACUGAACAACCUUUCCAGGAAAAUGGGAUGACCCGUAAAGUACAAUAAGAAGUUGCAGCUAUUUUUCUCUCAAACUAAGUCUUCUACCUUACCUAAUGAUAAGUCGCAUUAAUAUUCUAGUUUGGAAUGUACGGGGUAUCUCCCGUAAGGAUUCUCAAAGGUAUCUGCAUAAGUUAUGUGUGGAUAAUCACAUAAGAUUACUUGUUUUGAUUGAGCUUAUGACGGAUGCUUCGCAAUUACUUUCAAUUUGUCGUAUGUUGCACUUUUCAAAGGGGUGUUCGGUUUUGGAAGGUACAAUGUGGGUUUUGUGGCAGGAUGAGCUGGUGGCCCAGCUCCGUGAAGUAGGGGAUCAACUGGCUAACAUGGAGAUAAGUUAGGGGGGAUUUACCUUCCUUUUCUCGGCAGUAUAUGCUAAAUGUACACUAGUAGGGAGACGGGAGUUAUGGAAGGCAAUAGAGUCAAUCCAUGGCAUUAAUGAGGGCCCGUGGAUGGUGGCGGGUGACUUCAAUGUUAUUUUGAAUGCUCAGGAGCGCUUCGGGGGGCACCUCCCAAUCUCCGUAACAUGGAGCAAUUUAACGACGCGACUUUCAAUUGUGGCCUAGCGGAGGUGGACUUCGAUGGUUCGGCCAUCACUUGGACAAAUGGAGUACUUUGGCAGCGUUUGGACAGAGCUUUAUCCAACGCCGCUUGGUCGGAAUUAUUUUCUACUACUACUAUCUCACACCUAAUGCCAAGUUGUGCGGACCAUGCUCCGCUCUUGAUCAAGAGCGGAUACCCAAGACCCGGAUCCCCGACUUUUCGUUAUCUGAAUGUUUGGAAACGAUAUCCGAACUUCUUGUUAGUGGUUCAACAGGCGUGGCAUGGGUCGGUUAAUGCCGACGGUAUGGUGGGGUUUCAUCGGAAAUUAGUUAACCGAUCCUAUGGCAAUAGAGCAGGCAAGUUAUUGGUAACAUUUUUCAGGCUGUCAAGGAAGCAGAGGAGGUACUCCGUCAGAGCGAGAAGGAGUUCAAUGAGAGGCGGGAUGCAUUAGCGAAAGGAAAGCUAAGGGAAGCUCGGGCAAGUUAUGCGAGGGCGCUGGCUAUGGAGUGCGAGUUCUGGUGACAAAAAUUGUCAAUCAGAUGGCUUCGUGAAGGGGAUGCCAAUACCAAAUUCUUUCAUUCCGUAGUCAAGCAACGGCAAAACACGAAUUUCAUAGUUCGGAUAAAGGAUGAGACGGGUCGUUGGGUGGAGGACGAGGGUGCCAUUAAACACUCAGCCACUCAAUUUUAUCAAAACUUGUUCACGUCAGAGCGUCAGGACAGGUGGCCCCCCUAUUGGAUUUUCCGAUCCCAAGAAUCACUCAUGGGGACAAUGUUAAGUUACAGCGCCCUCCUAUUUUGGAAGAGGUCAAAGAAGUGGUGUUUUCUCCAGGCCCAGACGGUUUCGGGGCUGGCUUUUAUCAGACAUGUUGGCAAAUUAUAGGCGACGAUUUGGUUGAUGCGGUUCAGGAGUUCUUUCAGGGGGUUCAGCAGCUGAGGGGAUUGUCAAGUGCAGCUAUUGUGCUGAUCCCGAAGGUGCAAGGGGCGGCUUAAUGGAAAGAUUACUGGCCGAUCAGUUUCUGCAACGUGAGCUCGAAAGUGAUUUCCAAAAUUUUGGCGAAUCGCCUCCAGGCCAUGCCUCCUAGGCUGAUCUCCCCCUGGCAGACAGGUUUCGUACCAGGGAGGGCUAUUACAGAGAAUAUUUUGCUAGCUCAGGAGCUAGCUUUGGACCUGGAUAGGAAGUUACGCCAUCCCAAUUUGAUGCUGAAACUUGACAUGGAAAAAGCAAACGAUCCGAUGGAGUGGAAUUUUCUCAUUUUUAUGCUUCGCCAAUUUGGGUUCCAGGAACAAGCAGUCGAUCUUAUGUUCAGAACAGUAUUGAAUAAUUGGUUUUCGAUUUUAAUCAAUGGUUCACCAGGGGAGUACUUUAGAGCCUUUAGAGGAGUUCGACAGGGGGAUCCCCUCUCUCCAGCUAUGUUCUUAUUAGUGUCAGAAUUUUUGGGGAGAGGGCUACAGCACCUCUUCGAACAAAAUGAGAGUCGGUAUUAUGUCUCACCUGGUUCUCGGGUCCCGUAUCUUGCAUUUGCUGACGAUAUGCUAGUCCUUACUUGCUGUUCAGAGGAUUGUUUAGAUUCACUGGUAGCGUUCUUCGCGCGUUAUAAAGCUUACUCUGGGCAGAGAAUAAAUGGGGGUAAAAGCUCCUUUAUUCUCUCUAACAGAGCAUUGGAGGAUACGGUUGCCUUGGUGCGGGAGAAGUUACAGUUCCAGCAGCAAAUGCUACCUUUUGUAUAUUUAGGAGCCCCUAUAUCCCGAAGCAGAGUGACAUGCAUACUUUUUGACCCAAUUUUGGCAAAGAUGCAAAGUCGUUUGUCUCAUUGGAGCUCCCGAUUGAUCUCGGAGGGGGGUAAGUUAGUCCUAUUCCGACAUGCACUCUCCUCCAUUCCAAUGUAUCUGCUGCAGGUCCUUCAACCUCCACGAGCAAUUUUCCAGAGGCUGGGUAGAAUAUGCAAUGCUUUCUUGUGGGAUAAAGCGAAUGGUUCGAAUGGUAUCCAUUGGACCUCAUGGGAGAAGGUUUGCUUCCCAACAUCGGAGGGGGGCUUGGGAGUGCGAUCCUUCGGGGACAUAAGUGUGGCCUUUGCAUGCAAACUGUGGUGGUAGUUACACCAGAAUAGAUCACGGUAGGCGGAUUUCAUGCGUGUGAAGUACAUCAAGGGGGAACACCCAUCUAAGGUGCAAGUGAGCCGGCCCACAAGGAUCUGGCGACGGUUACAGCAGGUCCGCGAUUUUAUGGAGUCGAAGAUUCGGUGGUGCUUGGGUAAAGGGUUUGUCGACUUUUGGUAUGACAAGUGGCUCUUAGAGGUGCCCUGGUUGAGAAAGUAGGUGUAGUUGACCCGCCACACAUGCUAGUAGCUGGGUUUUUGGAGAGAGAGGAUGGAACACUGGGUUGCUAUAGGCCUGGUUACUGAUGGGUUUGGUUCGCCAGGUCCAGGAGGUUUCCUUACAUCCGGACCAGGAGGAUGAAAUGGUGUAGGUAGGGUCUUCAUCGGGAGUUUUCUCAAUCAAAGACGGGUGGGAGGCCCUGCGGCAGAAAAGAAAUCUCUCUAGGGCUGAUAGGUUCAUAUGGAAUAGAGUCCUGCUGCUCAAAAUUUCCUUCCUAGUGUGAAAAGUGAUGUGUAAUAUGGUUCCGGUGGAUGUAAAUUUGCAACGGCGGGGCAUCAAGUUGGCGUCUCGGCGCUGCUGUUGCUCCUUGCAUGAAAAGUCCUUGACUCACCUAUUUCUCGACGGGGCAGUAGCAGAGCAGGUUUGGGGUUUCUUUCGAAGACGGUUUCGGAAUUCUUCAUACUAGUUCCCCCUCAAUCUCGACGGAGUGUCUCUCUUGGUUUGCUUCUACUUCAUCAAUCUCUGCAAAUCAUAUACGGACUGCUCUUCCAUGUUUAAUUUUAUGGUGUCUUUGGCAAGCACGGAACAAGUCAAGGUUUGAGGGGACUCGGAUGGAGCCACAGGGGGUUAUUUGUGCGGUGGGCAGUGAGGUGGAGCAGUUAGGAAGGGCAAAUUUAUGGUCCUUGGCGCACUUCAAGGGUGACUUGGAUGAUCCAUGGGUGUUAUUUGCUGCUUGGCGGCCACAGGCAACACGGCGGUUGCUGAUUUCUUGGAAGCCACCGCCACAAGAUGUCGUCAAGUUGAACACGGAUGCCAGUGUUUCAGGUAGGAGGGUAUCGGGAGGUGGCUUGCUAUGGGACCAUGAUGGUGGCUUGAUCUUUGUAUUCUAUAAGGAAUUCGGGGAUGUUGACGUGCUGACCACCGAGAGUUUAGCAUUACUGCAGGGUUUGCUCUUCUGCAAAAGGGUUCGGGUUCAGAGGCUAUUAGUGGAGGUGGACUCGACGGGGUUGGCUCACUUGCUGGGCUCAAGGGCCUUGGCAAAAUGGCCGUUAUGUAACACAUUACGGCAGAUUCGAGCCAUGCUUCAGAGCUUCAAUACCACUGCUAGACACAUAUUCAGAGAAGUGAACGCCGCGGCGGAUAAAUUAGCAAUGAUGGAGGCUUAGGCUGACUUUUUUACCACGACCUUCCAGCAACUUCCGAGGGAUGUUAGAGCUAUUAUACUUCUAGAUAGCAGGGAAGUUCCUUUUGUUCGAGCACAAAUUGUGAGAGAGUAGAACCCUGGGCUCUGCUUUCUGCUUCAACAAUGUAAUUUGGUCUUCUUAAUAAAUAAAAUCUAUUGAAAAAAAAAGUGAUAGUUUAUAAAUAAUGGAGAUGUUUUUAUCAUAUAUUGAACUAUUGUUACAAGUUUCAUUUUUUUAAAUAUACUUUCAUGUGCCCGUGAUUAUAAUAUUUUACUAUUUUUAAAUUUCUCCAUAGAUUAUAAUUUUUUUAAAAAAUGUAAUCUGCUGUGCGUAGCACGGGUAUUUAUACUAGUACUAGUAUAAUUUGAGAGGAGAUUAGGAACUUAUAUUGACAUUGGAAUAGCUUCAAAUUUAAGGGCAAAAAGGACUCCAGGAUAGCUGGAAAAACAAAAGUUUUGCGGAUCCAAAUGGAUACAUCUAAAAGACUAUGGGAUUAACUUGAAAAUGAUACCAAAGUCGAUCGAGGAAAAUAAAUUUAACCAAAUCUGAAAAUUGAAAAUUUUCCGCUUGUCUAUAUAUCCUUCAACGAACCUAUUUAACCUUUCUUAUUUCCUUGCACGCGCCCGCAAUUCGUGGUGUCAACGGAGAAACUCAGUGGACUUUGGUGGCGGACUCAUUUGAAACUAAUUUAAACUUAAAUGGAAAAUUUUGAUAACCCAACGAAUACACUUUCGUUUAAAGUUCAAAGACCAGGAUGCUCACUUUACCUAAAUUUUAUGAGCUUCAUAGAUAGAAUCACCAUGACAUAUAGAUGUGAUGCGUAUUCCACAAAAAGAUAGCCUUAAGCAUGGAGUCAAUGGAGGAACUCAAAUCAAUUUGUUCUACUGUAAUUGUGGUUGCCAAUUUGGCAAGCAAGGCCUUAAUUUUUUUUUAUUAGAUCCGAGAGUUUUUUCAAAUUUUGUAUGCCAAAUUUAGGAUUUGUAGGCCCUCCCAUCAAAAUUCAUCCUAGAAUUUGAGCUUGAACUAGUUGAACAACAGAUUAGACAGUAUUAACAUACACAAAUGUUCAUUGGUUUACUGGUGAUUUAUUUGAGUUUGAAAUCUGUUGGAACUUCAAAGUGUAAUAUCUAUUAUUUUUUAAAUGUAUUAGAUAUAUUGAUUUUUUUCAAAUUUGUUCAUUUCCUGGCAUGUGUCAAUGUACUCUCUGUCAUUAAUAUAGAUCUGAUGAAAUAAAAAUAUUUUUUUAUUUUAUUAGAAAAAGAAAAAUAAGUAGACCCGCUAUAUUAGACCUAAUGACAUUUUCAAUUUGUUGUUACAAAAUUUCUUUCUAAUAAUGAUGACAAGCAUUGUUCUUUGCCUUUAGAAAAUGAUCUUCAACCAUUUAACUUACUUGUAUCUCUUGAUUAGUUCUUACGAAUAAGACCCCCAAAAAAAAAAAAAAACCAAGAAAGUUAGACCCAUUUGGUUGGCCGUGCUUCAAUGUCCAAGAAGUUGGGGGGAAUCCAGAAUUUGUAUUCCAAGUCAAUUGUCAAGGUUCAAAUUACAUUCCUUUUCACCAUUACGAGGUAGCCAAGGUCCUGUCUAAAUCAACUUGACCAUUCUUCGAAAAGGAAAAAAGCUGGACCCUUCUUGUAAUGACUUAUCCAGAUUCUUCAGCAAACCAGCCAACCAUUUGUUGUUUAGAGGUCCAUAUCAUACAUAUUGCCAGUUAAAAUUUCUCUCUAAGUAUUUUAAUUUUUGUUCAAUUGAAGUGUUAUUGAAACUUGGAUAAAGUUAUUACAAGAAACAGCAAAAUCAACAGAAGUAAUUCCAUUAGUAUCCAAAAAAAAAAGUAAAAAAAAUACAUAUCCAGAAUAGCUGCCUCAGACAAAUAGCAAGCUUAUAAAUCCAAUUUCUCUAACUUUUUAACUUUUACUGAUACAAUUACCUCAGCACAAUUUCAAGUGAUUAAUACAAUAGUUUACAAUUCAUCGAUAUUACAAUUUGAUCUACACUUGGAGGUAUAAAUACUCGUCAACAAAACAUUCUAUCCCGUACUUCAUAGGACAAAUACUAAUGUAAAAUUAGAUUAAAGUCCACAAGUCAUGAGGACUAUAUAAUAGUUUGAUUGUAAAUUGAAUGACAAGUAAUUAUUUUAUCAAAGAGACAAAUUUAAGUGAUAGGUGGAACAAGAAAAAUGAAAUGCUGCCCGUAAUAUAGUACGUAUGUUUAUUAGUUUAAUAUGUUUAAUGAUCUAAUAGCCAAUAGUCAGAAACUUGUCGAAUCAAAUACUUAAAUUACUUUGCUUCUUGAUCUGCAUCAAAUCAUUGACUUAUAAAAAUUUUUAUUAUAGAUUUUGUAAAAUAAUCAGUACUGGAUGACUUUCAACAAGUUUAAUAAUAAUAUUUUUCUCUUUAUUUAUUAAAAAAAAGAGUAAAAAUUUUUGUAAAUCACAAAAUUUGAAUUCAAGAUGUGUCAAUGACUCAUUGAUAAGCACAACAUAAUGGAAUUUAAUUGUCAUUGUCAUCAUCUGUUAUUUAAACUUGUACCCAUCCUUUGGCACGAGGGAAUUGCUCUACCAUUUUCUAUUUCCUCGUCUCUACCCACUUUUACUUUUCAAAUAUUUCGUCAGAUUUGAAGAUUUUCUAGUCUUACUAAUUAGUGUUAUUUGCGGAAUUUAGAAGUGACUAGAUAGACAGAAGCUUCACGUGGUUUAUACCUAAUUCUCCAAAAAAAAAAUUUCCUCGUGAAAACGACAGGUAAUGUGUUUUCUGAUACCUAAUUCUCCAAAAAAAAAAAACAAAGGAAAAGAAAAUUAAGUUAUGAGACUUGCAAGGAUACACUAUGGACAAAUUAUAUUUCGUACCCUAAAACUUUAUAUUAAUGUGGCUAUAUAGUUCACCUCUACUCGUGGCGUCCCCGUCCUUUCUUCACAUAGCUUUUCCCCUACUCGAAAGUCAAUUCUAAAUCUACCUUUCUAAUUGUAAAGAAUCAGAUCAUUAUUUAGGUGAUUCAGCCAAAAGAAGAAAAACCAAAAAGAUGUUUAUCUAGGUGUAAUAUAUGUGAAGAAGACAAAACUUUAGAGCCGACCAUAACACAAAAUGGACCAUCUUGUACGAAACAAAACACAUGCACGAAACGAUUUACACAAAAUCAACACACAAUCAAGUGAAAAGAUUUUUUGUAUGUAUAUAAAAAAGAAGAGAAUUUCAAUCAAUUAAAGAAAGCCGAACCAAUGGUAACAAAUGCGUGAAAAACAUGCAACAAAAAAAAAAAACAACAGAUGAAAGGGAUUUUCUUGACGUCUUAGAAACCAAUAAGAAAUAAUACUGUACAGCUCCAAAAUUUUCUUACAAACACAGAUUCUCUGUAGCUCCAAUGCAUGAUUCGUGCAUGUUUUCCACGGACAGAUUAUAUAAAUUUUAGUUUCGAACUCUGAAACAAUUGAUUUAACAAGUUUUAGUUUAAAGGCCAAGUUUUUCUCCUAUAAGUUUUUUUAACAACGUUAUAUAUAUUAACUCAAAAAACUCCUCAAAAUUUUUAAUAUACACACUUCAAAAAUACCAAAAAAUACAAAUAAACUUCACUUCUUUCCUUUCCUCUUCUUCCUCCCCCACAUCAACCCACCACCACCUCCGGCGCCGGACACCUCUUCCGAAAAAGGAAAAAGAAAAGGAAAAGAAAAAAAAAUUUACAUCUUAAAAUAUUUUUCUAUAAUUUCUACGGUAAAUUACAGUAAAGCUUAUAUCAGUUUUACUUUCAAACUCUGCUUCCAAACAGAUUGAACCAAAUUGAUUUAAAAGACCCCACAUCUAACAAGAACAUAGAAAAUAAAGAAAAUAAUAAUCAUAAAAAACUCUCAUUAAGAAACAAAGAAAUUUUUACUAGGAAAAUGCUAGACGAGAAUAAACUCUUACUAGGAAAAUUCCAGAAGAGAAAAAUUUAUUUCAAAAGCAAAGACAAAAACAAUUGGGACAGACACCAGGGGAACUGGAGAAUGAGAGGUGGAGUUCGUUAGCUGAAGAAAUUUUUGAAAGAAGAGGGAAAGAGGGUGAGCAAAUGAAGAGAUAAAUAUGAGGAAGUAUCCAAAUGCAUAUGCACUUGAUUUCUACAUGGCUUUUUCUAUUUGUGGUCGGACGGCACGAUACACUUACCAAAUAAAAUAAUGUACUCAUUAUGAAAUUCUAACAUUAUCAUGCACCUAGUAAACUGCGUAUAAUAAAUGAAUCUUGUAUACACUAUUAUCAUUAGAUAUAUGAUAUAUGUAUAAAAUUUGAAUUUGAAAUUCAAAAGUUACUCAUAUGUCAUCGAUCUAACCGUGAUAGUGUAUAUAUUGGCAGUGUAUAUGAAAUUUAUUCAAAUAAAUUGCUAUCAAUAUAAACUUUUGCUGAUUAGAUAACAGUGGAACCACCUAUUAACUAAUUUAAAAUUCACCAUUAGUGUACUUCAGGUUAAUUGUUCACUAAUAUUGUAAAAGGUUUUAACAUAAACCACAAAACAAGUGAACGGAUUAGUUGGUCAACAGUUAAUAGAUUUAGCAUGGCGGGGCCAGGAUUUUUAAAAAGAGAGGGUGAACUUAAAAAUAUGGCAAUUUUACUUUACGAGUCUAAAUUUGAAAAUUAUAAGAUGCAUGUUAAUUUUUUGUGACUAUAUCGCUUAAUAUUUUGGUCUUUAUAGUUAAUCCGAAAUCAAUGUAAAUUAUUUUAAACCAAAUUUCUAUAUGAAGAAGUUUUUUAUGAUUUUAAGAUGGUUUUUAAUAGAGUAAUAAUAAAAAGUAAGUCUACAAACCACAAGAAGGAAGCUAUUUCCCCAAUAUUGGAACAAGAUACAUGAUAAUAUACCAAAUUCGUGUAACUAUUCAUGUCUCUACCUUCUCAUUUCUUGUGUACCGGAAAAACGAACUUCUCUUUGCUUUAAUACCAAAUUUCAGGGAGGUAAUACAUAAAGUUCUAAAAAAAAACAUGUAUUAUGAAGUUAAAUUAUGUAUAUGAACUAAAUAGAAGUCUAAAGUAUUUAAAGUCUAAAAGAUAAUAAUUUUCAUGAGGCAAAAAUUAGAUUGGGAGAGGGGGGGGGGGGAAUAUGAUUUUAAAUGGAAAAUCCAAAGUAUUCAGGAAUCAAAAGGAAUUUUUCAGAACUUGGACAAACCUGCCCCUAGCGCCCUUAUGACUCUGCCACUGCCGACUACCAUAAAAAAACAAAAAAGAUUUGACAUAAUCACUUAAAUUUGACUGAUAUAUGAAAGACGUCAGAAGCUUUAACUAUUUAUCCUUAUUUGUCUUCUUAAAGAGGACAAACACGACGACAAACACGACGAUAAAGAAAACCCAAGUUGGAUUCAUUCAAUUAGCCAAUAAAACUGUCUGUUUCCUGUUAGACCAAGGACUUUGCCAUGCUUGAAAACCUUAUUCCAUCCGGCAGCCACAGGUUUAUGGAUAAAAAAAAAAAGGGAUUUGUGCGCCUCAAUAAUUGCUAAAUGAUGGAUAAGGAACGGUUGGAGGCAAAAUUGAUUUUAAACGGUUGAGAUCAGUUUUUGUAUAGGUUGCAUGAGAUAAAUGUUAACAUAUUUUAAACGUAUAAUUGUAAAUUUUGAUAUAGGUCAUAUAAAAUUUUUUGCAUCAAUUAUUACUUAAAUGAUAUAUCUAUUUAAGUAUGAAUUAAUUUAUUCUACAUUAUGAAAGUAUAAUUUUUUUACGUUUCUGAACAAUUUUAAGUGCAUGACAUAUAAUUUUUAUUUAAAUUUAAGUAUUAUAUAUAUAUAAUUACUAGAGUAAAAAAUCUUAUUAUACAAACUCAUCCAAGUAUUCAGGCAAUUUUGCUUGAUAACAACUUAGAUCACAUUUCAACAAAACAAUAAUAACAAUAAUAAUAUGCAGCCGCUAGAGCUGUUAAGCCAAUCAAGUAGCUCGAAAGCUCGUUAGAGCUCGGCUCGUUAAGGCUCGAGCUCGGCUCGUUAAUUUUGGUUAACGAGUCAAGCUCGAGCUCGAAACAUGCUCGUUUAGUUAACGAGCCGAGUAAGCUCGGCUCGUUUGAUACUCGAGUAGCUCGUUAGAGCUCGUUAAUGAAGGGCAUAUUUGUCAUUUUAGAAAUUAAAAUUAUAUAAAUUAAAAAUUAUAGGUUUUUAUUAAUGUUAAUUUGCACGAGCUCGAGCUCGAACUCGAGCCACAUGUACAUUUAACGAGUCGAGUUCGAACACAUUUUAAAGCUCGUUUUCUUAACGAGCUCGAGUUGAGCUCGGCUCGAAUUAAACUCGAGUCGAGCUCGGCAGCCCAAUACUCGGCUCGACUCGGCUCGAUUAACAGCUCUAGCAGCCGCCCAAAGGGCUGAUGGUCACCACAAGAAAUUUAGUCUGGUCAAGGUGUGGGAGGUCAAGAUCCUUGCCUUCUAUCAAUUUGUCAUUAUAUAUGAUUGUUUUGAAUGAUUUUCUCCAAUGGUGAUUCAAUUCCUUCGACUCCCCUUCCUCUUAGAUUAGAAACAUAGAUUAGAUUAUAGAAAUAUUACUAUUGUGAUAAAAAAUAAUAAUAAUAAAAUAGGGCAGCCACACAUUAUCGGUCAAGAUAUAAAGAAAAUGUCCAGCCAUCAGAAGUGGGACCUUUGCACUUCAGGUAAGAUGGUCCAACAAGGCAAAACGACCUAGAACAACUGGAAUUUAAGUCAUGUGUUGUUGGUGGGCCAAAUGGAAAUUUCCAUCCAUUUACAAGCUUUCGACCACUACAUGAUUUAUUGAUUUUCAAGUGUUCUCUAGUCUCCGCUCCUGCCAGCUUUCUCCUAUAAAUUGCCACCCCAAUAUCCAAAUCCCACACACAACACACAAACACACAAAAUACACAACAAAAUCCAACUCCCACGCACAAAACACACACUUUAGGCAAGAAAAGUAGCCACCACAAAGGCUAAUAAGAUGGAGAACUUCCCAGUAAUCAACAUGAAAAACCUCAAUGGUGACAAGAGAGCUUCCACCAUGGAGCAUAUAAAGGAUGCUUGUGAAAACUGGGGUUUCUUUGAGGUACUAUACAUUCCUUUUUUUUUUUUUAUUUUCUUUCUGAUAUAAGGCAAACUAGUGUACCUCAUUUUGUUUUUUUGAUGUAACAAACUGCUGUACCUAGGAUUUUCAUGAGUUAGUUUUAAUUUUAAUGGUUCUAAGAAGUUUACAUUAUUAACUUUUGUUUCUUUUCUUUUGAAACUUUGAUGUAGUUGGUGAACCACGGAAUCCCACACGAGAUGAUGGACACAGUUGAAAGAUUGACAAAAGGUCAUUACAAGAAAUGCAUGGAGCAAAGGUUCAAGGAAUUGGUGGCAAGCAAGGCUUUAGAGGGUGUACAAGUUGAGAUUACUGAUAUGGAUUGGGAGAGCACAUUUUUCUUGCGCCACCUUCCUGUCUCAAACAUUUCACAAGUCCCUGAUCUAGAUAAUGAAUACAGGUAAUAAUUAUUUUGAAGCACAUUUCCCACUUCAAGAAAUAUUUUGAAGCAAGUCUUAUGUGGAUAAGUAAUGAUUUUGCUGACAGAAAGAAAACUAAAAAAAAUUUGAAGAAAUCUUCAGUAUGAAUUUGUCUUUAUGUUACUUGUACUAAUUCAUAGCUUGGUUGUUAAAGGUUGUAAAUUUGAGUAUUUGUUAACAUUUUAUUUGCGUUCUUAGCCCAGAUUUUCUUCUCAUCUUUGUAUUAUUAGAGUGUUGUUUACAGAUGUGGAGAGUUAUUCAAGACAAGAUCUUAACAGGAACAUGAAAAGCAUAAAUACUACUGUUACACAUUAGGAAGUUUUGAGCUGACUGAACAUGCUACACAUGCAACCAUACUUCUGUGUCCCUUCUCAAGAAACAGAUAGAUUUGGAUUUCCAUUCAGGUUUAUCAAUAAAAUAGCCUUUCAUCAGACACAAUUAUUGACAACUUCGCUUAAAAUAUGUUAAAAUAUUCCGUUGUCAACGCCUAAAAAGCAAGAUAUAUCCAUGCUCUGUCGUAGGCUAUUUUUCUCUUUUUACUAAUUCCACCUAUCCAAUCAAAUUUUCCUCAUUAUUUUUUUCUUGUGAUGCAGGACCAUCAUGAAGGAGUUUGCUGUAAGAUUAGAAAAACUGGCUGAAGAACUUCUUGAUUUACUAUGUGAAAAUCUUGGUCUUGAGAAGGGCUAUUUGAAGAAAGCCUUUUAUGGUUCAAAAGGUCCCAAUUUUGGCACUAAGGUUAGCAACUACCCUCCAUGUCCCAAGCCCGAGUUGAUUAAGGGACUUCGACCACACACUGAUGCUGGUGGGGUUAUCUUGCUUUUCCAAGAUGAUAAAGUAAGUGGUCUACAACUCCUCAAGGGUGAUCAAUGGGUUGAUGUCCCUCCAAUGAAGCACUCUAUUGUGGUCAACCUUGGUGACCAACUCGAGGUACACUUUAAUUUCUUGGGAUUAAAAAUGUAUACUUUUAUAAGUAAUAUGAUAAAGAAACAAUAGAUUUCUUACUUUCAUACCAACAUAAUACGUAUAGCUACACUUGUGCUUCAUAAAUAAAUAUUACUUAUGAAUAGAUUAUUUCUCAUAAAGAUUACUUAUAAUUACGGAAUAUCAUACUAGAUUUAGAGGGAUGAUUGUAAUUUGUAAGCAACAAUAAACAUCAAUAUUAAUUUAUGCAAAAAUUAACAAAUCGAAUUGACUGUUUAUUCAUUUAUGCCUUUUUAUUUAGGGUUCUAAUUAUGUUACAAAUUAAUCACAGGUGAUUACCAAUGGAAAAUACAAAAGUGUGCUCCACAGAGUCAUAGCUCAAACAGAUGGAAAUAGGAUGUCACUUGCUUCAUUCUACAAUCCAGGUAAUGAUGCAGUUAUUUAUCCAGCACCAGCACUGCUGGAAAAAGAAGCAGAAGAAAGAAAAGAAGUCUACCCAAAAUUUGUUUUUGAUGACUACAUGAAACUCUAUGCUGGACUUAAAUUCCAGGCCAAAGAGCCAAGAUUUGAACUCAUGAAGAAUGUGGAAGCCAAUGUUACCAUGGGUCCAAUUGCAACUGCUUAGACUCAUAGGAAUAAAACAGUGCUAGGAUGUUUUCUUCUCCCUCUUAUGUUUUCUACUUAUUAUUAUUAUUUUUUUAUUGUGGGGGUUGUUGGUUAUUCCUAGUCAUUUGUUGCUCCAGACAGGAGGAUCCUUUCUGCAUCUGGGGGACCAAAAUUUAUUAUGUAGUAAGAAUUCUAAGACAAAGAAAUAAAUAAGCUAUACAUUUCUCCAAAAUCAUUUGUGGCUACUGUUGCAAAGCUAUAUGGUUGAUUGACCUAAUAUUUGGUUUAAUUGCCUUUAAAAGUCCUUAAAAUUUUCUCAAUUAUUAGACACUCAACAUUUUACUUUAAUUUAUGAAUGCCGGAUCAAUUUAGUCCUCAAAUUUCUAACAAAUCUGACAAAUCAAGUGUCGGGUACUUCGAACAAAAAUACAAUUAUGUUUGGAACUAUGAAUUACAAUAAGCAAACUUAAGAGAGAAAACUUACAAGGAGCAGCCGAUAUCAAUAUGCAAGAAAAGCUAAGUUUGUCACACAUAACUGCUUAUUUAAUAGUUGUAAGAGAAUAAUUAACAUACUAUGAAUUUAACAGUAAUGCAUUAGUAACAUGGCCAGAACUUAAAAUUGGCAAUAUCCAUCAAAAGCCCACUUUUUGGUACCAAAUCAGGAAUAACAUAAACAAGUCAUCAUUAGCCAAGACAAGCCAACGAUUUGUUGACUCCUAGGUUUAAAUGAAAAAACAAAAAAAUCCAUUCAACAUUCACCACAUUUACGCUUUGCCCCCUUCAACUAAACAAACAGGCAGUUUGCCCCACUAGCAAAUCUGAUUAGUGAUUUUGUGGUCAAAAGUCAAAAGCAAGCCAAGUUAUCCUCAAGCUGACAGAAAUAUGGUUGAUUACUAAAUGUCAAACAUUUUUAGAGUUAAAUAUAUUUUGUAGAAUCAUUUAAGAACCAAAUGAUAAUUGGGAUGUAGUUUAGAGGAAAAUCAAGGUUGAUUGGUGAGAUAAAAAAAAGUUGUGUGUAAGUUCAAGAAUUUUCUCGUUGUUUUUUUCUUUCUUUUUUUUUCAAGCUUUUUCUCGAAAGACGUGUCACUAUUAUCCCUCACCUUUUAUAUAUCACAAGAACAAGCAAACACACACACACACACACAUGUAACUUACACUUUCUGGUUUUUUACUUUUCACAAGGAGUUGAAUUUUGUCUGCUUCUUUCUGUGGAUGGAGGCAUAGUUUCUUCUCAAGUAUAAGGAUUAAAUAAGCAACUACUCAUAGAGCAGUUAGCCACUAAAGAGUUUUAAAAUUCUCAUUGAGUGCAGGCCAAGGUAUCAUGACCUACAUUCUAAAAAAUUUAAAUUUUUUUGAAAAAAUUUCACCAACAGGUACUCAGAUACCCGUUUGAAUAGGUGGUGAUUCAGUCUCUGGCAAAAAAAAAAAAAACCGUAUGAGGAUUAAAUACUGGAUUUUUAUGAUAUAAACUGUGUGUAUAGGUACACCAUCACAAGCUUUGUGAGAUGCUGUAAUUUGUACACCUCGUCCACAAUGGAGCCUCUCUAAUAACUGUCAAUCUCACAGGAAUUAUUGGGCAGAAAUGUGCCCCACAUGUUUGAACCAUUUAUUUCAUUUGCUGAUCUUGCUACCAACAGUAAAAACGAUAGCAUUUGUUUUGUUUAUUAAUUUGCUAGUGACUCGAGACAAAACAAGGUCGGUGAAAGCAAAAUUAAAUUGAUUAAUCAAGAUUUCAUUCUGUGGCAUAUGUGGUAGCAACAAAAUUAAGUUUCUCUCAACCAAAUUACAAAUAAAGUGGGCAGACAAUUUAGCGAAAACAUAUAUUCAAAAAUCUUUGAAUAAAAUGGAUUAAGUUAGUUACCCAUAGUGGGUUAUAAAAGUAAAAUUCUGAUCAAAUUUGUUUUAAGGGGCAUAUCACAACUGGGGUAUAAUCUUAUAGGUGUGUAGUGUUAUGUCGUUUAUCAAAGUAAGUGUAGUUUAAAGAAGGUAUGUUAUGAAGUUAAACUUUUAUGUAAUAUUUGCAAGUAUGUAUGCUUCCAAAAUUGGAAAAGAAGAAAUUGACUUAAAAUGCCAAGUUAAAGUUAAGAUUAUAAAACCCUUAGCUUAUUGAGAUCAUAGUAUGUAAGAUACAGGAGUGCUAUAAUAUAAAACAUUAUAGAUAUCAAAGAAUACAAUGUGGUACUUUUUUAUCUUAGUUUUUGUUAUCCCUAAAUCGCUCUCAUGUCUUUUAAUUAGAAUUAUUGCAUUUCAAUAUGGCACUAAUUAAAAGAAAUAAAACACUGCAAUUGAUUACAUCUCAAUAAUGUUGAUAAUUACAAUUAAAAAUUGCCCAUUAAAAAUUAUUUACCUAUCCCUAGACUCCAUUUCCAAUUAUUAUAUAGAUCAAAAUUUCUUAAUCGAAGCAUGAAAAAUUUCUCAUUAGCCAAUUGAGAUUCUAAAAAAAAUGAAUGUAAAAAAAAAUACACUCUAAAAAAAAUAGAGAAACAUACAAGGAAAAAGAUCCCUUAUUCAUUUGUAUAUCUUCCUACAAAUAUCACAAGUAAAUUUCACAAUUAUCUGCUUUUUACAAAUAUGAAGAAAUUUAAAAAAUGAAAUGAAAAAUCCAACUAUUUCAAUCAAAUGAAUUUAACUAUCUCACAAAUAGAGCUUUUCUCUUUCUCAUUGAGAACAUUUUCCCCCCAUUGGUGGGAGCUCAAGACUAUUUCAAAUUUCCAAAAAUUCAAACCUACCAAAUUUCCAGUCUCAAACACAGAUUUUCUUAGCUGAUAAGCCCGGACAAGAGUAAAUGCAAAGAAGUAACUACAGGAACUAAUUUUAACAGCAAAGAUUAUAAAUGCUUAGCUGCAAUGAAGUAGAAGAUGCAAGCCGGAACACAAGAUUAAAGAAGUAAAAGCUAGACAAUGGUGGGCUGGAUCUACACAGACAUAAAUCUGUCCAACUUGAGGCCAGUUCAUACUCUUUCAACCCUUUGUUUAGCUAGCUUUUCAUUUUUUUUCCUUUCUUUUUCUUUUAUUUCCCAGCUUGGCAUUUACGUAGUGGAAAAAGCUGAUUUUCUUUUGAGCUGUUUUGGAGUGGUUAGCUUCUAUACAUUAUCAGAUAGAUUUGGUAUUCCUUUAAUAUCUCAGCUCGUUACUAUGGCAGAAGAGGUGACAAAGAUAAUGCAAAAGUUUGCCUUAAACAACCAAGAAUGCAAUAUAACAGAUCUCGAUGUAGGAGAUUCUAGUCUUAGUAGACAGGAAUGUUUGCUAAGUUUGAUGGGGAAAAUCCAGGGUGAAAAGAUAGCCAACUUUAUUGGAGUUAAAUACUUUGUCACUAAUGCCUGGGGCUACCCUAAAGAUUUGAAAGUGAAAGAUUGGGACCUAACCUAUACCAAUUUAUAAACCCAGGAGAGGAAAGUCGAGAAAGGAUAGCAAAUGGGGGGCCAUGGAUAGUGGAUAACCAACUGCUAGUUCUGAACAAAUGGUAUGAAGGAAUUGAGGAUGACCAAGAUGCAUUCGGAAUAGCCCCUCGAGGUAUGUUAUGAAGUUAAACUGUUAUGUAAUAUUUGCAAGUAUGUAUGCUGCCAUAAUUGGAAAAGAUGAAAUUCACUUAAAAUGCCAAGUUAAAUGCUGCUUUUAGUUAAGAUCAUAAAACCCUUAGCUUACUAAGAUCACAGUGUGUAAGAUACAGAAGUGGUAUAAUAUAAAACAUUUAGAUAUCAUAGAAUACAAAGUGGCAUUUUUUAUCUUAGAUUUUGUUAUUCUUAAAUCACCCUCAUGUCUUUCAAAUAGAAUUAUUGUAUUUCAAUGUGGUACUAAUUAAAAGAAAUAAAAUACUCCAAUUGAUUACAUCUCAAUAAUGUUGAUAAUUACAAUUAAAAAUUGCCCAUUAAAAAUUAUUUACUUAUCCUUAGACUCCAUUUGCAAUUAUUAUAUAGAUCAAAAUUUCUUAAUCGAAACAUGAGAAAUUUCUCAUUAGCCCUUUGAGAUUGUAAAAAAAUCAAUGUCAAAAAAUAGAUAAUAUGAAAAAAAAAACAGAAAAACAUACAAGGAGAAAAGAUUCUUUAUUCAUUUGUAUAUUUUCACACAAAUAUCACAAAUAAAUUUCACAAUUAUGUGCUUUUUACAAAUAUGAAGAAAUUUAAAAAAUGAAAUGGAAAAUCCAACUAUUUCAAUCAAAUGAAUUUAACUAUCUCACAAAUAGAGCUUUUCUCUCUCUCACUGAGAGCCUUUUCCCCCCAUUGGUGGGAGCUCAACAUUCUUUCAAGGGAAAUUUGCCAAAUUGGUCCCUAUCAUUUUCACAAAAAACUUUUUUGGUGCCUAACAUUUAAAAUCAAUCAGAAUAGUCCCUAACAUAUAAAUUAUAAGCCAGUUUGGUCCUAGUACUCGUAUUUGCUCAUUUCUCUGACUAAAAAUAGCACACCUCUCUCACGUGGGCAUAAUUUCAAGGGUAAAAUCGAAAAACAUUCAUUAAUCCAUGGUUUUAGACUAAAGAAAGAGAAUAUUCUCUUCAAAGUUCAAGCUCUCCAAUGGCUACUCUUCUAUCACUCCUCCUAGAGUCAAUCUUGAGUCAUUUUCCCUGGACCUACUCUAUCAGAUGCAUUCCACCAUCGCCACAUUGGCAACUCAGUGUUUCAGGGGGUGAGAGAGGUUAUUAUUAUUCCUCAAACAGGAGGUAAAGAAGGAAGGCACUUGAAGGUGCAAGUCUUGGUGGAUACUUUCCAGCCACUAAUGAGGGGCACUAUUGUCAAAAUGAUUGGUUCCAUGAGAUGGAUAAAGUUUAAAUAUGAGAGAUGCCCAAAUUUCUACUACACAAGUGUAGUUAUUGGACAUAGCGAAAAGGGUUGUAAAACAAGAGUUUCAGUGGGGAGUGGACAACAAGAGAACCAAUAUAGACCUUGGAUGAGAGCAAACCCUAGGAAAGGAUUCCCACAAAAAGAAACUAAUAGCUACAGAUUCCCUUCCAAAAGGAGUUACUGGGGAGUACUAAAUGAGGAAGUAGUUCGAAAAGAGUCAAGCAAGGAGGAAUUAGUUUCCAACCAAUGUAUCCAAAGGGAGAAUGAAACAGAUAGAGGGAGCAACAAGGUAAAUACCUUUAGAAGUGAGGAAACAAAAGCAGCAAACAGAUGCAUCAAAUGCAAGGCAAAGGGAGGAAGGAAUGGAGGCAAGGGACUUGAUGGAACUUCACAUUGCAACACAAAAAGCAUCUGAGGGACACAAGAUGGGGAUUGGCGUUGUGGCCAAGCUGAAUGGAACAAGAAUCACGGCUGACUGGGCGCUAGUGGACAGGACCUCGCUACUGGACAUCCAAGAUGAAGCUGCAGCAGUGAGACUGGCACUCAUCAAAGUAACGCAGCUUGGUUGGCACAGGAUUAAAGUCAUAAACGUCAAUAAACAUCUUAUUGCCAUGCUGAAAAGUGGGAAAGGAGACAAUCCGAACAUAAUCACGUUAGUGGAAGAUAUACUUCCUCUAGCUAAUCUGUUUCAAAUGUGCUUUUUUGAAGUAGGAAAAAAUAGUUAUAUGUCUCUAUGUAAAAGCAUUAGUCGUUAUGCUCUAAGCAUAGUUAUAGAUGAAGAGAGAAUUUUUGUCUCUUCUUAGUGUCAUCGUACACUUUGUAUUGGUGGUUGAGCCAUUGCUCAAAUAUUGUAAAGUUUGGUUUGCUAUAAAAUUCAUCUAUCGUUUCCGGAAAAAAAAAAGAGAAAACAAGAGCAAUGCUGACAAAGAUUAUAGACACAAAUUAGGGUAAUAUCUUCAAAUGUGACAAUGAUCCAACAAAGAAUAUGAUGGGAACUUAAAACUAGAUGCUGUUAUAAAACACUACUAUGAUUACUAGUAUUUAACAGGUAUGUCAAACAUGUUAAUGGUGGAGUAAAAUGAAAAAAAAAAUAACAGUGGGAUAGAAAAAACACUUUAAAGUGUAAAAUAUCUCCAAAUUGGAAAUUGAGAUGCAAUGCGAAUGUCACAUACAAUUUAUUGUUGUAAAGUACAAACAUGACUCUAAAUAGAAAAGUUUAGGGUAAAAAGCGUUUAACUUAAAAUUUAGGAUUAAAUGUUGGAGUUGAUAUUAAAUUGAAAGAGAAAAGGAAAGAGAUGGAUAAAAAUAAAAAAAAAUAAAAAUGAUGGUCAAGUGCCGUGAGAAGUUAAACUUCUUUCAACAUUUCUAAAUUUUAGCAUUAACCUAUGUUCUUCCUUUAUUUUUCUUCUUUUGUUAAAAAAUAAUAAAUAAAUAAAAAUUAGGAACUAUUUUGACUUUGCAUUCUGAAGAUGCAUGCAUAGUUAAAUAUUUAAAUGCUCUGAACUAGUGAACUUUACAAUUUCUCUACCUAUUGAAAUUCUCCAUUAUGUGCAGUUACCCAUCAAAUAAGACGACCGAAGCUAUUACUAUCAGAUUAAAAUGAUUGCUCUAACCUCAAAUAAAUUAACUUGUGGAAGUUUAGAGACACCAUGUUUGUGUGCUUCACUUAUUUUCCGCUCACUAUUUGAUAUCCAAAUUCAGCACUUAAAGUUAAUAGAUUCAGAUCUUAAUAUGUUCAGAUAUGUUUGAUAAUAAAAAAUUAAAUAUUUGAAUUAAUUAAGUGGUACUGAAUUUUUUAGGCAAAAUUUGCUCCCAAAAAUAAGUGAUAAAGUAUUUACUUAUCACUUAAUGUGAUAUACACUCAAAUGUAUUUAAUUUCAUACUUAAUAAUUUAAUAAUUUAAUGGAUUCAGAUUUCAGAUUUCAAUUUUCAAAGUUUAGUUUUAUCAAACGCCACCUAAUGUCCUAUAGUAUUAAGCGUAUUACUAAGCUAUUAGUUCUAACAUGUCACAUCAGACAUGUUUCUCUUUUGCCACAUUUUAUGCUUAUGCCUAUUAGUUCAUGUUUACCUUUUGAGUAGGGUGAAUAACAACAUUUGAAUUCUUUACCUCCAUAGAAUGAGCUUCGACCACUAGACUAUCAACCAAUGGCAUAUUAUACCACUUAAUUCCAUGAUAAAAUGGUCUUUAUAGUAGGAAAAUUUGAAUAUACACAUACACAUGCAUACAUAUACAUAUACAUAUACAUAUAUACAUACAUACAUACAUAUACACACACAUGUAUGUAUGUAUAUAUGAAGUACUAACUCUAAUUAGCCAUUUUCUCUCUCUUAGGUGACAUGCAUAAUUAUUUGAUGAGUCAUUUGAAUAUUUAGAAUUUAGCCAUAUUUGUAUCCAAUUCCUCUCUAAUUAGUUAAUUUUUUCUUAUAGUUUUCAUCUCUUCUAACAAUUUUUAUCUUUUCAAAUAAACUUAAAACUGAAUAUUCAUUGAUAAAUGAAUUGCUACAUCUUGUGUAUUUAAUUGAGCACAAAAUUAGUUCUAGGUUUACGACCAUUGUUAAAAUUUAAUUAUACAUGCACAUAUACAUGUAUGUGUGUGCACUUGUGUGUGAAAGUAUUAAAAAUUUAAUUAACCAUUUCUCUCUCCUAGAUAGCAAGCCUAAUUGAAGAAAAUUUGUAGGUCAUUUGCAUACUUGGGUUUUAUCCAUAUUUGUAUCGAACUCUUCACUAAUUAAUAGGUUAUUUACUUUUUCUCUCUUCUAACAAAAAAAUAUAUAUCUUUUUUAAUAAAUUUGUUUACCCUUUGUAUCAGUACGACUUAAAUUUACUUAGUUUAAUUAUUAUAUCUAUAGAUUUAUUAAAUCUAGAGAAAUUAAAUAUUCCUUCAUGAAAAAUAAUGUUUGGAUCUUUAGUAUUUAAUUUGGUAGAAAUAUAUAGUUCUAGGUUCAUGGUCAUUUAAUCAAAUUUUAAUUAUUUUGAUAGGGUGUUAAUUGUUGAUUAUUUUAUUAUUAAUUUCCCCUUUGUCCUUGCCAAAUAUUGUUUUAAUUAUUAAUAUUUACUUAUAUUUGGUAUCUGGAUUUAAUUUCAGGGAAUGAAGCAGAAAACUACAAAAAAAGGAGGUAUUUUCUGGAGAAAAUGGAGACUUCUAAAUACUCCACAGACCUGGCCCACAUUGCUGAGAAGAACCGGACUUCCAUUCCCCUUUUUUACUGACUAAGAGUCCUCCUACCAAGAGAAAACAUAAUACAAGGAAUUUGGCAGAGCUUUCUUUUGAGUACUUGGACUCUCAAUUUCGGCGGGGACCACGGAUAAGAAGCAUGAGUCAUUUGGACUCUUGGAAAAGAAACGUACAAAGGCUUGUGAAAUGGAAUUGGACUCUCAAUUCCGGCGGGGACCACUAGAGAUAGCAUUAGACUUUCUUUUGGCUUUAAAAAGGGAGAAACGUACAGAGGGUUGGUGGCUGAGUUUUUAGAGACAGUUUAGUUUUCUUUCUUUUCAUUAUGCAUGCGUUUUCUUUGGUUCGUAUGUACGCCAGAAGUAUUGUGACAAUCUUGCGUGGGUUCUCCUCAAUAGGGAUGAACUAAAUCCCUUCUUCUAGUCAAGAACAAUGGAGAAUUUGGUUCGACUUAAAUUGUGAGAUCUAAUCGAUUUUAGCUUUCCUAUUAUUUUCUAGUAUCCGUAUAUUUUCUGCUUUAUUUUCUUAUGGUUAUUGUAUUAUUAAAUUGUCCUAAGCCCGGAUGUUAGAUUAAUUCAAUAACCUAGAGCCAAUUAGAAUAAUUAAAUCCGUAAUUGUUUGAUUGUUCUAAAUUAGUGGUAACUGGCAUAAUCAAGAUUAUGUCAGGGAAAUAUACGGGCUAAUUAGUAGACAACCCUCGUAGCGUGUUAUCUGAUUAGAACAGGGUUUCUCUAAAUCUUAAGACAAUUGUGAAAUUUAAUUCUAUGGUCGUACCUAGGAUUAUUUUGCAAUUAGGGCAAUAGCUAACGGUCGUACCUUAGCUAUCGAUAAUUAUGGAGGAAUUGAUUGUCAUCGUUUGUUUGACAAUUAUAACUUGUUUGUCAGUUUAUAUGUGGAAUAUUCUUGCAUCGAUGAUCAAUUAGAAGAACCAUUUCCGAAGUUGCUUCUUGACUAGAGCUGUCCAAUACUAUUUGAGUUUCUAUAGUUUGCCAUUUAAUUUCUAUUUAAUUGUAAUAAUUGAUUAGUAUAGUUCAUUGUUAAUUUUCCUAAAAUCCCCCAUUGUUAAUUUGAGCUUUAAAAGAGACAAAUAUCUCCAGUCCCUGUGGAUUCGACCCUACUUAUCACUGUCUACAUAAAUUAUAUUUUAUUUGAGCAGGUAUUUAUUAUUGCACAGGAUUCGACAACCUGUCAAUUUUUGGUGCCGUUGCCGGGGAUUUUUUUUUUUUUUUUGUAUAUAGUUGAUGGCUGCUAACAUUCCGUAUUUUGAUGAUAGACUGGAUUUUAUUCCUGAAUGGAGUUAUGAGACUCGUGUUUUUCCUAAUGAUCAAUUGACUGUUGCAGAUUGUGGAAGUUAUUUUUUUUCAGGUUAUUCAACCGACAUAUGCCCCGCAUUUUAAGAUAACCUAAGUGCUUCAAUUGAUAAUUUUGGAGAUUCUUCACCUCAGUAUCAAAUGUGGUAUGACCCUUAUUCAAACGGGUAUGAUCAAGGAUGGUGGGAUGAUUCCAAUUUCAAUUAUACGACCGGGCCGAUGGAUUUUCAACAGCAAGAGUCUCAACAACCAUUAUCCAUGCCAGAUCCGUCUCUAGAAGAAACGAUGAAGCAGUUAAUUGCUAAUCAACAAAAGAUGAAUUCUGACCUACAAAGCAUGAGGAAUCAAUGGGGACAAGUGCAAUCAUUGCAAACUCAGGUCAAUCAAUUGAUGAUAGCAAUUAACCGCCUAGAAUUCCAAGUCCAAGAAAGACUCUCAAAUUAUGAAGAAUUGCCCUCACAAACCAUCGUCGACCUUGAAGAAGAUGAGAGUGCAAUUAUUCUGACAAGUGACAUGGAGCUACAAGAGUCUCAAGAAAAUGGAUCUAAAGAGGCAAUUGAAAAGGAAGUUGAACUGCAAGAAAUGAGACCCCAACAUCAACUCGUUCAAGUGAAUGAAUCCAGUGAACAAUUUCCAAAUGCGGUGACAUCUUCUCAAUUCUUUAAUCAAUAUUUUCCAGACUUCUAUUCUUCAACUCCUGUUAUUGAAAUUGAUUUUAUUAUACCAGAAAAUUUUAAAUUUCAUGACAGAAAUAAGUUAAGAGCGGUAAUGGCAAAAUAUGUUGAACCAAUAAAUGCACGUGAUGGAGGAGUGGGUGAAGAAUCCAGAUUAUUGUUGACCAGUUUGGCGCCAUCUAUUAGUUCAUGGAAGCUCGUAGCUCGUGUGCUCAAGAAUUACUCUAUUAACGAGGGUUAUUAGGAUUAUAUAAAAGAUGAAGCACUGAAACGAGCCACAAGAUUUUAUCCUCCCUGAGCAGACAUGACAAUGUUUAGCCAAAGACGUUAAAGAAUGACGCUUUUUGGGAGGCAACCCAAAUAUUGAUUUUAUUGUUUUUCAUUGUUAAAUUCUUUAAUUAUGUCGUUUCUUAUUUAGGUUGUGGUCGAUUUUAAUGUUUUCCUCCACUAUGGUUAGGACAGCAAUCUUGGCGUGCCCACGUGGUGUUUGUGACUCCUGAGAUCAGUGGACGUUUACCCAUUUUGGCGUGCCCACGCGGUGUUUGACGACCCAAAACAUGAAUUCAAAAAAAAAAAAUCAAUAAAUUUUUUUUAACAUUAUUUUCCUUUUUAACCUUAAGUUCUGCUUUCUUUUCCAAAAUUCAAAAUUUUGAAAUAUAAAUUUUUGAAAAGAACCAAAAAAAAAAAUCUUCUUCUUUUUUUUUUUCUCAUUUCUUUUUCUUUCUUUCUUUCUUUCUUUUUCUUUUCUUUCUUUCCUUUCUUUCCCUUUUCUUCUUCUUCUUCCCCGCUGCUUGGCUUUUUCUUUUUUGUUCUUUUCUUCUUCGGCCGACGCUCCUCCAUCGCGCGUCGCCGCCUCCCUCGCUCACCUCCAACUCGCCGCGCCUCUCUCUACCCACCGCGACAGCCGCACGCCACCAGCUCCACCUCGCGCCACCUACUACCAGAGCAAGCCGCCUGCCCAUGCCACCGCCACCCUCUCUUUCUCCAUCAUCUCUCCUCUCUCCCCUCGCGGCCGUCCACCACUCAAUGCUGCUCACGAGCUCCACCGGUCCCCCCAGUUCACUUUUCCCUCUCUCUCCGCGCCCAGCGCCGCCAUUGCGCGCUGCCCGUGUGCACGGCCGUCCACCACCGAACGCCACCUCACUCCUCUUCCUCGUGCGCUGCCUUCGAGUGCCACAAGCUGCCUCAAUGCUGUCCGCUUUUCCCUCCACCAUGGACCUCCACUGGCCACCAACUCCUCUCCGCCGCUCGAUCUCUCUCCUUCCAGCGCCACCAGCCGCGAGCUACCCAGCGCCGCAAGCCACAGCCACAGCCACAACCGUACCUCCCUCUAGCCAGCUCUCCUGCUCCAUUUUGCCGCCAACCGCCACGCGUUUCUCUCCCACAGGCCACGGCUGUUGCCUCUACCGUUCCCCACUGCCACCAACGACGCCGUUGGGCAGUGGGCAGGUAUCUCUGUGUCCCUCUGUUUCCGAGUUGUACUUUACUCUCUCGCAUUCUUAGAGUCCGUUCUUGGGCUCACUUGAGGACUCUAUGGUUCAAUUUCUACUUGACACAGUCCGUGGCCAUUGUACUGUCACUUCGAAUUAUUGAUUUGUAGGAGCCAUUGCUGCGAUUUCGGGUUACAUCAUUUUUGCAUGAGACUAACAUUCAGAUCACCAUUGCUUAUUGGUUGUAAUUGCUGCUUUGUUGAGGCAUUUGUCUAGACACUAGGUGCCUAGAAUUACAUUUUCUUGCUUGGGGUGGCCGUUUAUGUUACUUUAUUAUCUGUAAGGUAUACCAGUGAUACUAGUUGUAGUAAUUUGCAUACAAUUUCUUAAUUCGAUGUGAUUGAGCUUUUGUGACUGAGUUGCUAGAAUUUUUGGUUGGUUGAGUUGUGCAAUUGACUGUCCAAUUGGAGACAGUUGUUGAGAUUUUGGAUGGAAUUGUGUCUAAUUGCUGACAUUUGUGGAUUGUGUCCAAUCGGGCAAUAUUUGGGUCUAAUUCCCUUGUUUGGGAGUUUUCGGGCAAGAGAUUUCAGUUACUUAGUUCAUUGAAGCACUUGCUGCGCUUCUGGGCUGCCUUGAUUCUGCAUUUGACCAAAUUGGGCCCAUAGGUGCUUAUUGACUGCAUUUGCUAUCAGUGUUGGGGUAUUUGUAAAACCUGUGGGUGAUUGAAUUGUGCAUUUUGUUCAUGGGGUUGGCUUUUCAAUUGUUAUUGCUUUGAAUUUCCUGUUUCCAUUAUUCGUUGGCCAUUGUUGUCUCUUGUCAAUUGGAGUGAUCUUUAGAACCAAUGGUGAGGCCAUGGUCAUCUUCUAGGUCUAGGACACCUAGAAUCUCACAUGGCACAGAAUUUGGCAGCAUUUAUGCACUAUGCAAGUCUUUCUCCUCAGUUCCCGCCCGACCCGCCCCUAUUUUGACGACUUCAGGGAAGUACCGUUGCCCUUCGCCUUGCAAUUACUGUUUAUUUGUCACAUUGAGGGCAAUGUGUGAUUUAGGUGUGGGGGGAAUCAGUUGUGGUACUAGUAUUUUCAGUUUUCGAUUUUUAGGUGUUUUUCCUUUGUUUUUACUUUGAUAUUUAUCUCCUUUUUCGUUUAUUUUCUUUUCUUUAUCCGAGUGGUCAGUUCGUAUUUGAAUACCAAGUUUGAUGUUGGUUGUUGAGCCCCAAUUCUACUAUUGUCAAGUUUUAAUAAUAAAAGUGUAUCAAGUUAAUGUGGUUGAGUUCAAGAACAUCUCUUUGGUGAAUAGCAAUAAUUGCUUAACUUUUCCAAUUUUUGGUUAACUUUUCUAGGCAUAGGGAAUUAUUGUUGGCAUUUUUCAUGUGAAUUAGUCCAAUUAUUAAUUUUAGUUCUCCAUGUUUGGAAAUUUGAGGCCGGUUGCUGUUAUUUUUGUGUUAUGUUUAGUUAUUGUGCUAUAUGGUUGUAAAUAAGAGUUGACUGUACUCCGCUAGUGGUUACUAUUGAGUAAUCGGGGACCUUCACCUAAAGUAUCGAUUCUCGCGUCAAAAGGUAGUAGUUACUAUGAGUGCGUGGUCCCGUAGCAAUCAAGGUUUGUAAAAUCGGGAUCCUACGUAGGAUCGAUUUUAGUUUCACAGAAUCGGAUUGUAGAAUCGUAAGAUCCUACCAAAAGCUCCUAAUUGCAAUUAAAGGUUGCAAUUCUUUGAUAAAUUACAAAUAUACCACAAAUAUUUCAUUUACUUGCAAAAUGGAGCUUCGUAUUUCACAAAUUUACAAAAAAAUUGUAGGAUCGUACGAUCUUACGAUCCUACACGAUCCUACCGAUCCUGCUACUAGCAAUUGGAGCUGAGUAACCGGGCUCCUCCAUCUGGCAAAUGUUGGAGUUCGCGUCAAAAGGCUCUAAGGGCUAUAGACUAAAUCUUUUGUUACUCAAAAAAAAAAAAAAGAAACAAAAACAAAACAAAAAGAAAAAAAAAUAAAAUAAAGAUUGUGUUAGUAUGUGAAUAAGUCAGCUUAUCGGUUCGUGAUCUUAAUGUCGAGAUUUUGGUUAAUAGUUGGACCAUUUGAUGAUAAAUAUGAGCAACCAUUCCUUUUUCUUAGAUUAGUUUGCUUUAAAUUGGUGGAGUUGGUGGUUGGGAAGCUAACUGGGGUGAUUUUUCUUGGAUCUUAACUUGUGAAGCUUGAUAUAUGUUUUUCUGGAUAUCUUGGCAAUACGGUAGUUGGAGCAACAGCCAUUGUCAAAUUUUGGUGUUCAAUUGAUGUUCUCAUGCUUGAGAGCAAGCAUGGUUCAGGUGUGGGGGGAAUUGAUAGGGUGUUAAUUGCUGAUUAUUUUAUUAUUAAUUUCUCCUUUGUCCUUGCCAAAUAUGGUUUUAAUUAUUAAUAUUUACUUAUAUUUGCCAAUCUGGUCAGCAGCUUCCAAGUAGAGUUCGGUCGCUGAUUAAUUUGGAUGCAAUAGGUUAUCCAUACAUUCGCAGAUUUACUGUGUAGGAGUAGUACUCCUAGUUCUCCGGCAUGUAUUGAAGGUUGGGAUUUUUUCCACCUUCUUGGUUUUUUCCUUUACAAUAAAUAAAUGAUCGGGGGUUUUCCCUUUUAUUAAAAAAAAAAUAUUUGGUAUCUGGACUUAAUUUCAGGGAAUGGAGCAGAAAACUACAAAAAAUGAGGUAUUUUCUGGAGAAAAUGGAGACUUCUAAAUACUCCACAGACCUGGCCCACAUUGCUGAGAAGAACCGGACUUCCAUUCCCCUUUUUUGCUGACUAAGAGUCCUCCUACCAAGAGAAAACAUAAUACAAGGAAUUUGGCAGAGCUUUCUUUUGAGUACUUGGACUCUCAAUUUCGGCGGGGACCACGGAUAAGAAGCAUGAGUCAUUUGGACUCUUGGAAAAGAAACGUACAAAGGCUUGUGAAAUGGAAUUGGACUCUCAAUUCCGGCGGGGACCACUAGAGAUAGCAUUAGACUUUCUUUUGGUUUUAAAAAGGGAGAAACGUACAGAGGGUUGGUGGCUGAGUUUUUAGAGACAGUUUAGUUUUCUUUCUUUUCAUUAUGCAUGCGUUUUCUUUGGUUCGUAUGUACGCCAGAAGUAUUGUGACAAUCUUGUGUGGGUUCUCCUCAAUAGGGAUGAACUAAAUCCCUUCUUCUAGUCAAGAACAAUGGAGAAUUUGGUUCGACUUAAAUUGUGAGAUCUAAUCGAUUUUAGCUUUCCUAUUAUUUUCUGGUAUCCGUAUAUUUUCUUAUGGUUAUUGUAUUAUUAAAUUGUCCUGGGCUCGGAUGUUAGAUUAAUUCAAUAACCUAGAGCCAAUUAGAAUAAUUAAAUCCGUAAUUGUUUGAUUAUUCUAAAUUAGUGGUAACUGGCAUAAUCAAGAUUAUGUCAGGAAAAUAUACGGGCUAAUUAGUAGACAACCCUCGUAGCGUGUUGUCUGGUUAGAACAGGGUUUCUCUAAAUCUUAAGGCAAUUGUGAAAUUUAAUUCUAUGGUCGUACCUAGGAUUAUUUUGCAAUUAGGGUAAUAGCUAACGGUCGUACCUUAGUUAUCGAUAAUUACGGAGGAAUUGAUUGUCAUCGUUUAUUUGAUAAUUAUAACUUGUUUGUCAGUUUAUAUGUGGAAUAUUCUUGCAUCGAUGAUCAAUUAGAAGAACCAUUUCCGAAGUUGCUUCUUGACUAGAGCUGUCCAAUACUAUUUGAGUUUCUAUAGUUUGCUAUUUAAUUUCUAUUUAAUUGUAAUAAUUGAUUAGUAUAGUUCAUUGUUAAUUUUCCUAAAAUCCCCCGUUGUUAAUUUGAGCUUUAAAAGAGACAAAUAUCCUCAGUCCCUGUGGAUUCGACCCUGCUUAUCACUGUCUACAGAAAUUAUAUUUUGUUUGAGCAGGUAUUUAUUAUUGCACAGGUUUCAACAACCUGUCAUAUUUCAAAAAAUAUCUAUCAAUUUUUUGGGUAGACAUUAUAGUAUUAAUCAAUAUUAUUAUAUCAUAGUAAAAGCAUGUAUAGAAGUUUUUAAAAAUUGGUAUGGUAACUAAACACUUAGAAUGCAUCAAUUUUCUAAAGCCAAUUUUAAAGAAUAUGUAAGAAGAAUGACUUGAAUUAUUCAUACUAUAUUCACAAACAAUUAGAAAAAGAAUAAAUCUUAUACACACUGACACCAUAUAUACUAUCAUCAUUGGAUCUAUGAUACAUGUGCAAAAAUUAAAUUUUAAAUUUAAAUAUUACAUAAUUCUUAUUCAUCCAAAACUGACGAUAUAUACACUAUUAGUGUAGGAAAGGUUAAUCGAUUAGAAAAAAAUAAAAAGUGUGCUAGGCACGAGCUAAAUACUAGUAUAAUUUGAGAGGAGAUUAGGAAUUUAUAUUGACAUUGGAAUAGCUUCAAAUUUAAGGGCAAAAAGGACUCCAGGAUAACUGGAAAAACAAAAGUUUUGCGGAUCCAAAUGGAUACAUCUAAAAGACUAUGGGAUUAACUUGAAAAUGACACGAAAGUAGAUCGAGCAAAAUAAAUUUAAUCAAAUCUGAAAAUUGAAAAUUUUCCGCUUGUCUAGGUAUCCUUCAACGAACCUAUUUAACCUUUCUCAUUUCCUUGCACGCGCCCGCAAGUCAUGGUGUCAACAGAGAAAUCAGUGGACUUUGGUUGCCGACUCAUUUGAAACCAAUUUAAACUUAAAUUGAAAAUUUUGAUAAACCAAGGAAUACACUUUCGUUUAAAGUUCAAAGACCAGGAUGCUCACUUUACCUAAAUUUUAUGAGCUUCAUGGAUAGAAUCACCAUGCCAUAUAGAUGUGAUGCGUAUUCCACAAAAGAGCAUUUUAAAUUAAUUAUAGUCAAAAUAAUCCAUUUUCUUCCUAUAAUAUUGUCAAAGUGACUAAAAGUGGAACAAAAUAUCAUCCAAAUACAACACAAAAUCGUCACUUAUCACUCACCUCUACAUUUUCUCCUAAUAUUAGAAAUCAAUUCUUGAACCAAAAGAUAAUUAUCAGAAAUAGUCCGACCCUUCACAAAAUCACUCUGCUGAGGAGAAAUAAUUUGAGGUAAAAUAAUAGACAACGGCCCAACCAAGAUUCGCGAAAUAAUUUUGUUUAAAAAAUUAUACAAAUUGAUAAGUCGAAAUUGAGUAAAAUCUUGAGGAUUCAUGACCUUUGGAAUAAACACAAUAAAUGUAGAUGUUACAAAUCAUGAAAGUUUAGCCCCACAGAAAAAACUCAAAAAUGCCUUAUAAACAUCCUAAAUUAUCACCUCCCAAGCAAGAGUGAAGAACUUACUCGUAAAACCAUCCAGUCCUACCGCACUAUCACCAUCCAUAUCAAAAAUUACCUUCUUAACUUCAUCUAAAGAAGGGAUUUCUUCCAAACAACUGUUAUCAAUUUCAAAGCUCAAUUAGGGACAACAUGAAGCAACUGAAACUAUGGAAUAGGAUCAACCAAAAAUAAAUCACCAAAAAAUCUUACAGCUUGCCCUCCUAUUUCAUUGUCUUCCAUAAUCCAAAUUCUAUUUAAAUCUUUAAUCCUAUGAAUUGUUGCACGAUACCUCUGUUGCUUUACUACUGCAUGAAAAUAUCUAGAAUUAUGUUCCCCAUGUUGAAGCCAUUUAACCCUAGCUUUCUGAUACCAAAACUACUCUUCAAUAGCCAAAACAUUCUUCAAUUCAAGUUAUACCCGUUGUAACUCAAUAUGAGCAUUAUCCAAACUAUCUGCCUGUGCCCAAACUUCAACUGAAGCCACUGCUUCCUUAGCCUUCUUCACAUUAACAAAAAUAUCACCAAACAUCUUCUUAUUCCACUAUUGAAUAGCUUUAGAAACACUUCUCAACUUUACCCAUACAACAUAAAAUGGAGAGCCUGUAACAUCUAAUUGCCAAACUAUCUUAAUAACAUCCAAUAAACCAUCCUUAAAAGUCCAAACAUUGAGAAAUCUGAAUGAAUGAGGCUUAUUGUCCAGCCUAGAAGAAAAGAAAAUGAAAAGCAGAGUAUGGUCUAACGCCUCAUGAACCAAAUGUGAAACAAACAACGAGGCAGAAAAGUUCAAGCACUCGAUGUUAACCAAUAACCGAUCAAGUUUCUUCCAAUUUCUUGCAUGCCCAUACUUGUUAUUACAUCAAGUAAAAUUGGAACCAGAAAAAUCAGCAUAAAAAACACCAGCCUCACUCAUAAAAUUUGAUAAUUCCAACCCCUCAGAAGGAUGACAAGGCCGACCACCCUUCUUUUCACUCAAAGACAAAAUAAAAUUAAAAUCCCCCACAAUAUACCAUGGCUCAUUACACAGCUUGUCAUGUAACAAGGCACUCCAUAAAUUCUUCCUCUCAAAAGAUAUACACUUUGCACGAACAAAGGAGACUAAAAAAGAACAAGAAAAUUGAGGAUGACUUAACAAAAUAGACAAAUGUUGAUCCAAAUCACCUUUAACCUGACUAACAAAAGGAAAACUAAAGAAAACCUGAAAAAUUACAAACCACAUAAUCAAAAUUUAAAUGCAGUCGAAUUGAGUCAACUUCAUCCAUAAAUAAUUUAGGUUCGCAAAUCCCAACAACUGAUAGCUUAUGCAUCAAAAUUAAUAUCUUCAAUCUUCUAAAAUUUGGGGAUUUAGAAAUCUGACGAAUAUUCCAAAAAAUUGCAUUAAUCGUGAGAUAAAAAUUGAAAGGAAUUUUGAGAUUUUUUUGAUACCGACCUGAGUUCUUUAUCAGAAGGAAAUUUUGUAUGAAUAUCCUGAUUUUUUACCUGUUCAAACACAGCAAGUUGAUCAAUAUUCAAUGGAUCAAUCGAAGAAUGCGAACUUCCCUCCAUAUUGCUCUAUACAUUUUGUCACCGAGGAGAUAAACUUGCUGUAUUAGAAGACAAUCCAACCAAAAUAUCGUCGUCUAUCCCAUCUGAUUCAACAUCACCAAUGAUAGAAUUAUUAACAUCUCCCACAUCACCACCUACAAUAUUAUCAACUGCAUUGGAGUCUUCUUGAACCACACGAUCAGCAAAUCCUAAAUGAAAACAUCAGCAGCAGCUUUAAUUGCAUCAUCAGCCAUGUUAGUUAAAUUAGCAUGGGUAAAAUUCCCAUCAUGCCUAACCGAUUCCACAAAAGCCUAAAAACUGGGAAACUCUAACAAAGUUAGAUUGAUAGAUGAUCUACUUGGCACGAAAUCUGUAAUGGAGACCCGCUACGCAAGAAUAAUAAUAGCAUCUAUAGAUACAGCAUUUUUUGGAUUCAAUGACACCUCCAAUCCAUUCAAAACUUGAGUAGAACAUGCGAUGGAAGAUGGAGCAAUGAAUAACUCAUUCACCCCAAAGGUCCCAUAGGAACUGAUCCAUUUAACAUCAGAGGAUCUGAAGUAAUUAUGGUUUGCUCUAUAUCUAACGACGGAACUUCCCUAUGAGCUGCUAUAAUACCAUUUAACUGAGCCAUUUAACAUGACCUCUAGAGCAGAGACUGAAGUAACUAUGGUUUGCUCUAUAUCUAAUGAUGGAACUUCCCUAUGAGCUGCUAUAGUACCAUUAUCAUGAGAACCAUCCUUCUUAGGCCGAAAUUCCAUAAUAGGUUUUGCCUCAGCUUGUGACACUAAUUUGGGUCGAAGUUCCAAAUUUUUAACGUGACAAUCUUCUUCUUCAUGGCUUUGGCGAUUGGCAAAAUUUCAGGGUUCAAUAGUUGCCAAAAACCAUGACCCUCUCCAAGUUGAACCCAAAUGCGUGAUGGCAAAUCCUUCAACAAAUCUACCUCUACACAUAAUCUAACUACGCUAGGCCUUGAAAGUGCAGCAGCCACUAAAUUGGACGUUCCAAACAAAAGACUAUUUGAAACAAGCAUUGCUUAUCAAAUAGGUGUAUGGGAAGCUUCGGAAGACUAAACCAAAUAUGAACCAAAGUCAAUUCCUUAUCCACAUGAAAAGUUGUCAACCACUUAAACACUCGCAUAGGACAACCGAAAACAUACCAAACAUUUCUUCUCCAAAUGUACACGAAAUCAACCUCAUUAUGAAACCUAAUCAAUACAUGGUGUGCAUCAAGAAGGCCAAUGCAAAAAGAAUCCUUCAAAUCAAGGGAAUAGAAAAAUUUCCUCAUGUCCUCCAUGAGUAGCUAUUCUUAGAGAAUAUUUCAACCAGAGGAAAAUGAAAAGAAUGAGCAAUAGACUCUAAAUCAUAAUUAGAGAAAGAAAUAGCAGGUGCUUCUCGAUGAGUCAUAAAUGUCGCAUUAAGUUAAAGAUUGGAUUGGGAUGAUGUAGAUGAAGAAAAUGAUUCAAAAAAAACUUUCUUACGAAACACAGGUAACAAAGAACACGGUUCCCACUAUCACAAAAUGGCUAGGCAGCCGAAACUGCCAUGGGUUUCACUCUUGAAAUGGCUAGGGUUUCACUCUUUCUUGCUCUGCUGAUUAGUUCUAAGUCUCAUUUUUAACUAGUUAUAAAAGCAAUUCACGGAAAUAAAUAGAAAUUAAAUCAACAACAGACACGACUCUAACCCAAGGUGCAACUUUUCAGAUAUGGUUCAUACAAUUGAUCAUCAAUGCAAAAAUAAUUUAAUUAUUCAUUAAUAGAUUAGGUAUAGCCAUCAACAAAUUCUGACAACCAAUUAUUUCUCACAUUAGUCAAAAUACAACCGUUAAUUAUUUCCCUAACCAAGAAAUAACCUAGAUAUGACCGUAAGAUUUAAUUUCCUGAUUGCAUUAAAGACUAGAAAAGAUCAAUCCUAACCAACAAACACACUACGUGGAUUUGUUUAAAUUAUAUCAUAUAUUUUUCUAACAUGAAACCAAUGACACUAGUUACCACUAAUAUUAACCAAUCAAAUAAUUGUGGAUUUAACUGGUUAAUAUGCCAGUAGAUUAUUAGGUUAAUUCAAAUAUCAGACUCUUGACAUCCAAAUAACAAAAUAAUCAUAAGAAAUUAAAUCAAAAAAUGUACAAAUACCAAUGAAUUAAAAGAAACAAUUAGUAAUCAAUUUGAUCUCACAGAUAUUUGAAAUUGCGUCUUCUUGUUGACCUUUGACUAGAAAGAAAAUUAGUUGUUCAUUUAAAGAAUCUAUAUAAAGUGGGAAGAGUAUGCAACAACAUGGUCGUUCUUCAUGUGCUCCUCACGUGUGUGAUGUGAGAAUUGAGCAUCAAGUGGAAUUCCUUUUGUGUUUGGUUUUUUUCUUUAUUUUGUCUUUUUUCCUUUUUUUUCUCGGAACCAUAAAGCGAUGAUUACGUUUUUUGAAAAAUGUAUAAAAAGGAAGAAAAUUAUGAUUAUCUUUUCUUUUGUUGUAUCUUGGAACCGAAAGAGAUUAGCAUGUCUAUAUAAAAAAAAACAUAAAAAAGAGAACAUGCUCCGUUGUGACUCUUUGUUCAUAAUUUUUAAACAUUUCUCCUCUCUCCUCGAUCUCCAUCAAUCUCAAGACUUUUUCCCUUGUAUUCUUCGUUUACCCACUGGACCAAAAUAGGAAAAAACAGAUAACUAUUUGUCUCACCCAUUUCUCCUCAAUUCUCCAUUAAUGGCCGAUUCCUCUUAAAGUCUUCCUUCUCUGAAUAGGAAAAGGGAAACAAGGAUGAAGGGGCAAUGACAAGAUUCUAUCAUGCAUCAAAUUGUAAUAAAACUUAAAUACCCCGUUUACUACAAGUAUACAGAUCAUUUAUCGAGUAUAGGGGAUAUUAGGUAUCAAUCCCACAGAAAAGAUUAUCAAUUACUGAUGGUUUUCGAACUCGUUUAUUAUUUAGACUAUCACAAGUGUAAGAAGUUAAAUCUACACUACAAACAUGAAAUAAAAGUAAUAAAAAUAUUAGAAAGCUUCUAAGGUUAUGGAAUUCCUUACUACUCUUGCAAAUGAAACUACCGAUUAAUUGAAUGUUAUUAUCUUGGCUAGUUAUGGCGUAAUUUUCUAAUGUAUGUGAAACCUACUCUCACAGUGAAUCAACAAUACUUGUAAUUCAUCUAUACCUACUAUUAUGGUUAUGAAAUUAACUACAAGGUCAUUUCUUCUAUGAAAUUACAUGGAACAAGCUACUAUAACCACAAAGGCGCACCUCUACUUUUGUGAGUGAACUCCCUAAGUUUAGCAUUUCUUUGAACUAGUGUCAAAUUCCAAUUCUUAUUAUAAACUUAACAUCUUAAGAUUAUCACAAUUAAUGACAGGUUAAUCAUGAUUAGAAAAGCAAAAGUGAUAAACAACUUGCUCAAAAUAAUAUCAUAAAAUAACCAAAUAAACAUCACAAACAAGUUAUAGAAAGUUCAUCCAUAACUCUAGGCAUAAAUUUUAGCAAAACAUGAUAAAAUUUAAACUUGUAUUAUAACUAAAUAUGAAAUAAAAUUCAAAAGAAAAAAUUAUAGGAGAGAGGUUACCUUUGUCACAUGAGUUCCAAUUCUCUAUCUUGUUCCUUAAUUCUUCAUCCAAAUCUAACUACAAGUAUAAAAUGGAUAAACUAUACUAACUAUACUAUACUAAUGAACUAAACUAAUGAACUGAGAAAAACUAGUGAAGACUAUAUUUUGAUAGUAUCUCUAGUCUUACAAAGUUAUGAAACAAGCUCAACAAAGGCCCUAUUUGUAAAGAAUUAAAGUUCAAAGUGAGUUGUUUUUAGUUGGCAAUUUUGUCUCUUGAAAUUCCCAAAAGUUGCUUCUACAAGUUUCCACACUUUUUUUUACAGCUACAGCCAAAAUUCUAAACUGGAGAUAAGCUGGGAAAGCUGUGUGAAUGCAGAACAAGUUGAUGUGCAAAUUGCAAGUUCAAUUGAAGAAUACGUAGGCAUGCCCCUGUUUUGCCUUAUUACAGGUUUCCUCAUUUUUUAUCAGUUUUCAACUUUACUUUAUUUUUGCAUCAAGUUCCACUGCUAUUUUCUCAAUGAUGGAGGAUGAACUAGAUCUUGUGUUAUCUUUCCACUGCCUCAAGAAUCACCCAAUAUGGAGCUUUGUAAACUAAGAAAUGACCAAACUACCCUUGACUGUUCAAAGUUUUGUUUUAGCUUUCGACAACAGAAAUGACCAAUUGUUUUUUGACUUUUUGAUUGGGAAAAAUCAUGAAUUGAAUUUCGAUGUCUCAUAAGAAAUGUAGAGAUAUAUAUUAGCUUCAAAAUAGCUCAAGAAUCACCUCAAUCUGUUACUUGUAGCUCAAUAUAUAGCCAAAAUACCAAUAGGUGUCAAAACUAUCAAACUCCUCUUCUUUUAUACUUGAUUGCAUUUUAUCUAUUGAUCAUUUUGCACUUCAUAUUCUCUUUAAAUCACUUAAAAUCAUCAACAAUCAUCCAAUUAUCUUCUCAAUUCAUUCCAAUUGAUGAUUGAAUCAUUAAAAUCUACAAAAACAUGAAAUUUUCACUACUUUAAACACAUAGAUAUGCAAUUUUUCAUACUUAAACCACAAAAUGUAAACUUUACUAAAAACCUAGUUAAUUAGUUAUAAAAAUAAGUAAAACAAACCAAAACUAAAUAAUAAAACACAUUUAAAUCACUCAAACGUAUACUUAUCCGGUAAGAUGUUUGAUUUAUCUCAAUCAUUUGAAUAAUUUCUUUUCAAAUAUAAUCAUGAAUAACUUUUACCCUCUUGCCUAGGUUUAAUGUCUUUUUUUCGUUUUUUGUUAGUGAUUUUUUCCUCUUUUCUUUUGGUUUGGUCUCUCUAACCACAAGAGCAAGAACCUUCAUUCCUGUGCUAAGAUUUGGAAUAAUCUGAUAUAGGUACCUAUCAUAUAUCUAGAAUUUUUGACCUUCAAAAUUAAUUUCGUUGAUAGAUUUCGUCUUUUGUGGGUUUGUGCGAUUUUAUUUUAAGAAAUAUGUAUUUAGUUAUUGUGCAUUUAAAAUUUGCAAUUUAGGUUAGAGAAUUUAUUAAAAGGUAAGCUUUGUAUGCCUUUAUUUCUUGUUUUAUUACCUAUUUUGCUUCUAUUUUCCCUUGGCUGAGACAAUUCAAACCAUUAAUGAAAAAUUCUAGAAAGCCUGAAAGAAAAAAAAAGGAAAAAAUUAGAAAGUUUCUUCACACGUGAGUUUUCUACUACUUUUAAUUUCUAAUGGUGAAAUUGAAGAUGAGCACAUAAUUUUAUUAUUUAAUAGGUGAAGGAGAAAGGAAAUAGUGUACUUUUGUUUUUCCUUUCCAUUUAUCAAAAACUAGCUUUUUAUGCCCUAAAUCCUAAAUCCCUUGCAAUAUGUUUUAUAUGUCGUUUUUUCCUCUAAUAUCUCCUUGGCUUGUAGCGUCUUAGACCAUUAUUGACAAAUUUCAGAUAAUUUAUUCUAAAAUGAAUUGCUAUCCUACUCUCAAAUUUCAAUAGUGGAAUUCAAGUUUAAAAGAUAAUACCUUUACCCUUCAACCAAUAUUUUUUCUUGAGCAAGGAUAACAAAGAUGUAAAUGUCUGACUGUUGGAGCUCCUGUUUUCUUGGCACUUGUUUUUUCUUUUUUUCCUUUUAGAUUGAUUAUUAGUUUGUUUUUCCAGUAAUGCAAGUAUACAUUUGAAGAUUUUGUUAUGGAUCGCUAACACUCCUCCAUGGAUGAAUGGUAGGUUUUAUGGAGUUGAAAAGUAUGUUGUUAUAUAUUUCCUUUUGAUUGAUGAAGAAAAUAGUUAGCUAUUUUUUCUUUAAAUUUGAGGGAUUUCUGGUGAAGAAUUUCAUGUUGUGCUUUUAAAGCUAUAAAUGUUGGCUCUUGUGCAAUCUAACAGAACGUUACUCUGUUCUUUGAGUUUGUUCUUGAAUCUGCUAAGUAUUUAAUGCAUUUUAGUUGGUUUUACUCCUUAGCUCCUUCGAUUGAUCAAGAUACAAUGGUCACCUGCGAAAAGACUAUCUAAGUAAGAAUUGUCAUCUGAUUUUAAGUUUUUCCCCCCUCUAUUCUACUCUGGACUCUUCAACUGAUUUGAUUUUUUGUUUUUCUUCUUUUUUGUGGGUUCCUGCUAUGCAGGUUUGUGGACAACUCUUGACCCACAAAAGGCUUUGUGAGAUGUCUCAUUUUUCUUACCGACUCUAAAUUAUGUAUCGUUAACUGGAAAUGGAUCAAAUUGCUAUAUCAUUAUUAUAUUUCUCUUUUAUUUUGUAGUUACUAUCUAAAAAUUUUCUUAAUUCAUUAUUAUAUUUUGUAGUCACUUUUGUUUUUGAAACUUUUUUUCAAUUAGCUUACUUAUCUUAGUUGGACUCCUUUUUGCUGAAAAUAUGAACCUGAGGCGAUAGUUAUUUUGCUAGUUGCUUUAAGAUUUUAAUUGGUUUACUCAUAAAAGCUACAAAUUGAACAGCAACAAAUAUAUCUACACUUUCUUCGUGGGUUGCCUCAAUGGACUUGAUUAUUCACAUAUACUAUGGAAAAUUCUAUGUAAAAAACUCCAUAGUGAAAUAAGAUUUUUCUUAUCUUUCACCUUUUUGUUUGCUUUAACAAAAUAUGAAGAAAAUUCAUUAUGCAGUUUAUUUUCCAUGUUCUUUUAACUUCAACAUGCUGAUAUUUUUUCCUGCCUAUAAGUUGACAUGUAAUUGAUCUUUUGGAGGAAAUCAUCUGAUGAAAACAGAGAGAUGUUAUCUUGAGAAUUAGCAAUCAGCAGUUGCUUUGAGAUACGUAUGUUUUUUAAACCAAUCACAACUACUUCUCCUCUCUUCAGUAUUUAUGUAAUUAGUAUUUUUAUCUUUUGGGAUUUCGGCUACAUCUAUCCAAAUAAAAAUGUGAAGUUUCAUUAAAUCGCCAAAUUGAGAUAUGUAACUACUUCAGGAUACAUGUCAUUUGGGUCAAUUUAGGUAGUGAUGAACUACCAUAUAUUGAUUUUGCUGUCAUUUGGGUAGAUUUUGGUACGUCACUUACCCUAUUACAUUGGGAUUUGAAUAUGUUGCCUCCACUAGAUCAUUAUGGCUUUUGAUACUUCUUUUACAGCAAAAAGGAAAUUGUGUAUUCAAAAAUAGGAAGGAAGGGAAAAGUUAAGAGAAAUUGACUAGGUAUUGACUUUAUUAGUAGAAAAAUUUGAGUUUUAGUUAAGGUGAUUCUCAAUAUGUUUUUCCCAAUAACUACAAAUUUUUUUGUACCGGCAAUGUUCUAACCCAAUUGUAGAUGUUUCCAACUCAAUUUCAAGCCAUCUAAUUAAACAUCAGUAUAGCCUAAUUACUAUGAGAGAAGGCUACAAGACAUGGAUCAUUAAAUUUGAUUGACAAUGGUUUGGAGAAGGAUGGCAACAAUUCCGUCGCAUCAACAUCCUCAACGAAAAUGGUGCUUUCUUGCUUCGUCAUUUUGGAAGUUUGAUUUUUGACAUGAUCCACUUUUCAACAGGACAAGAAACAAGGAUACAUGCCAUGGACAUAUCCACUACCUAAUGUUUUACAUCCAAAACCAUCUUUUGAUUUAGAAAGUUAGCCUUACUAUUUUCGUUUUAUUUAAUUCAUUUCUUUUUCUUAAAAACCUUCUUUACCUUAGACAUAUACAAUCUACUUUCCAGUGAAUAGGAAAUCAAGAAUAAUACAGCAACGAGUAUCAUCAUCAAUGAAACUAGAUUUUGUACAAAGCUUAGCUGGAGGUGUGUGCUUCUAAGAAACAACUGCUAUAGCUUUGAACGUUUUGUAUGUAUUUUUUUCACUUUUGACCAUUCAUUUUCCGCAACAAUCUUGACUUUACCUGAUGUAACAUUAGGAAGUUCCAAGGUUUGUCACUCAUUUCUUGCAUGGUGACAAGACACGGUCGAUUGCUUUGAGAACUGGAAACAGAACAAUAACAGUUACAAUGCAUGGAAGGCAGUUUGCAGAUAAUUGGAAUGUUUGUAGCUAAACCCCAAUUGUAGUUUGAAGAAAUAUUGGUCUUUGUUCCUGAAUCAAGCUCCACCUACAUUGUCCUAAUAUUUGAUAACUAUGGUGUAGGAAAGCCAUUCUCAUGGUAUAAUAGUUUUUAUAUGUACUCUAUCAUGGAAAAUGACUGGACCUAGAUGUAUCUGAGAAAGGAUCUUCAUUGGACUAUGUUUCUUUCUUCAAUGUUUAAUAUGAAAACUGUUUUUGUUGCUGUGUUGUCUCAUUCUCCAUAGGUACUUUUUCUUUACAAUGUUAAACUAAGAAAAUGAAAUGCUUCCUUAAUCAAAGAUCACCUAUAGUGCACAGACACUUAUAAAUGGAAUACACAGUAAAGAAAUAGCUUAUUCUUCUAUUCCAAUGUCUUUGUAGCAACUACUAAAGAACAAUCAAAGUAAACAUGACACAUUAGAAAAUAAGAGUAUAUUCUUAGUAUAUUUCACUUUGAGGACUUUAUGCCUACAUUUCCUUUAUAUUUGGUAAGACCUACUAAAAAACUUCUAAACAAACUAAAUACUGUUUCUAUACAAGAAAUUUAUUCUCAGGCAAAUGUUGAAACACUUAUUCAAUAAAAAAAAUUUUUGCAGUAUAAUUCACUAUCUUUAAAUCUGGGCAUAUCUAUAAUUUACCAUCAUGCCCGAGCACAGUGAUCCUCUCCUAGUCAUUGAUAUGACCCAAGCAAAAGUAUGGAGAAUUGCAAGGGACAUGCGGCUUCUGGAAAAGAACAAAAGUAAGUUGUCCUCUUUUUCCAAGGAAAAGAUACAAUGCAAAUUGUUUCUUGCUUCCAAGUAAUAAGAGCCAAUAACCAGUCUAACUUGUUCCUAACUAAUCUCCUAAUUUAUAGCUAUUGAGAUAAAAUAUACUUCCUAAUUGGAAAAGAAAAUCUUUAAGAGAUAAUGUCUAUUAUUUCUUAAUUGAAUACUCUAUUUAAUAAGGGAAGAAAUCCAUCCAAUCUUUAGCAAAGAGUCCGUUCGGAAUUCGAUUUGAAUUAGGAAACUUCUAUGCGCAAGAAGAUCCAGAGCAUUCCAAUUGAAUUAGCAAACUUCUAUGUGCAAGAAGAUCCCGAGCUUUCCAGACUUGACAGCAAGAAUUAGACGCACCCUCACCAAACUGUGCACAGGUUUUCUGAAAAAUCUCCCUUUAACCUCUUUUUGCUCCACAACCCCUACAAUUAACAUGCUUUACCAAAUAUGAUAGAAUCUAUCUAUUAAUACAAUAUUUGGUCAAAAAUUGAGGGGAAAAUAUCCACAAAUUUAUUAACAAAAUGCAUCCUAUCAAUAAUUGUGAAAUCCAACCCCUAUGAAUUUGGGAUUCAAUUCUAAUUACGUGAUAAACAUAGUAGCCAAACAGCUAUACUGGAAUUGGGGCUCCAAUUUAUAUUUUGUAACUCCAAUUUCAUAGAACCAAGCACACUCAAAAAAUAAACUACAAUAAAAUAGAAACUUACUCGUAGAAUUGAAAAAAUCAAUAAAAGAUAUCUAGAUAUGAAAAAAACCAAUAAAAGAUUUCUAGAUAACAUAUUCUUUUAAAAAAAGAUUUGAUAUUUUUUUAUUAUUUGUAUAGCUUAAUAGUUUCAAACAAUAUAAAAAUACCUUAGUUGUCAAUUAUCCGGAUGCUUUCUUCAAGUUUUCCAUUGUCUCUCGGAUGCUUUCUUCAAGUUUUCCAUUGUCUUCGAGAGACAAUGAGAACCGCUACAUUUGAAGUUGCUGAUGUACUCUUCCAAGUUGGGGUUUAGGCCGCUUCUAUGCUAACUUUUACAUCUGAAGUUGAAUUGCCUAGAGCUGCUACAGGUGAAGUUAGACGUGACAGAUCAUGGUUGCUUGCUUUCCGCAAAUGCAAUAGUUAAUUUUGUGAUUUUUUUCUUUUCUUGUUCUUUUAAAAUAUUCAUGUACUUUGGAGGUCAGGUUAAUGCCCUCUCCUUUUGUAACUUUUGUUAUAUUUAAUAAAAUUUUAGUUAGCAUCCCACCCCAUGUACGAGGUUUGCUAACCAAAAAAAAAAAAAGGGAAUUUCGCCAAUUUGGUCCCUAAACAUUUUCACUUAAAUCAAUUUCGUCCUUCAUUAAAUAUUUUAAUCAAUUUAGUCCCUGAACUAGUUUUUUACUUUCAAUGUAGGACUUUUUACUACAUUUUACUCAAUUCGCGUGGACCAAAGGGGUAUAAUUGUCACACUGGCUUAAUCUGCUGCAAUUAUCCACUGAAACGGAUUAGAUGUCAUUAUCCCGCCCAUGCGAUUAUCUAAAUGCCCAACUUGAGCAAGCAUGUCUAUAACACAACCAUAAUGCUGCAUUUUAGGUCUGAUCUUAUACUUAUUCUUCAUAGUUCUGAAGCAAGCCAAGCCUUCACUCACCAUAUGCCCAUUCCUAUAAGUCGAUAAAAGUGCAGUCAAUGUCCUCUCAUCUGGCUUUAUCUCAAGACCCUUCAUCUUAUCAAACAAGUCCAUAGCCUCUUUACAUUGCCCAUGAAUGGCAAGGCCAGCAAUCAUUGCAGUCCAUGUAACAACAUCUUUGCUCACUAUUUCAGAAAAUACCUCCUUUGCACCAUCUAUGCACCCACAUUUCGCAUAUAUGUCUAUGAGAGCCGUGCUAACUUUACCAUUCAAACUAAUAAGCUUCUUCUCCUUAACCAAAUCAUGAACUUUUCUACCCAUACUAAGAGCACCAGUAUCAGCACAAGCUCUAAGAACCGAAACAACCGUUGCUUCAUUAAAUUCAACGUCAUUUUCCAACAUGUGCUCAAACAAAGCUAUAGCUUUAACGGGUUUAUCAUUAUCCACAAGCCCAUCGAUUAUAGAAGUCCAAGACACCACAUCUCUCUCGAGCAUUUUAUCAAACAUCGUGAACGCAAGGUCCGAAACACCACCAGCGGUCCGGAACACCACCAGCUGAAUACAUAUGAAUCAAUGCAUUGCUUAUAUGCAUAUCCGGCCCAAAACCCAACUUCCAGACUAGUCCGUGGAGUUGUUCUCCAAGAGGGAUUUGACAUAAUUUGGAGCAAGCUUUGAGGACAAAGGGAAAAGUGAACUUCCAACGAUAAUCGCAUGGGCGGGAUAAUGAUAUCUAAUCCAUUUUGGUGGAUAAUUGCAGCAGAUUAAGCUAGUAUGACAAUUAUACCCCUUUGGUCCACGCGAAUUGAGUAAAAUGUAGUAAAAAGUCCUACAUUGAAAGUAAAAAACUAGCUCAGGGACUAAAUUGGUUAAAAUAUUUAAUAAAGGACGAAAUUGAUUUAAGUGAAAAUGUUUAGGGACCAAAUUGGCGAAAUUCCCAAAAAAACAUAGUUGAUAAUGCCUUAAUGGCAUAUAUUUAUAUUAGUAGAAAAUUUAUUGAGUAUAUUCUUAUCCUUAUACUUACUCUAAAACAAGAAUAGCUAAGGAGAAACAUGAAUCAAGAAAGUGAUAAAAAUUCUUUUUUCAUGCUAGUUGAGUUCAAUGCUAUUGGUGUCGGGUUUUAAAUUCCACUAUAUUAUUAGCUGGUCGAGUUUAUUGAGUUGGACAAGAAAUAUUGGAUGAAUUUAUUUAAUGCUAUUGGGGUUCGAUUUGACAAUAGUUUUGUAUAGUUCAAUGAGUUUAUUGAGUUAGAUAUAAAAUGUUGGAUGAUUUUAUAGAUCUAAAGAUUUUUUUCUCUUUAUAAGAAUCUCACAAACUCUAGAUAAGUGACAUCUUAUAAUUUACUAAAAGUAAAUGAAAGAUUUUUGUGGACUUACUAUCUUACUUGAUUUUGACAUCAAAACUGCAUAGAUUUUAUUUUAAAAUAAAUUUCAAUAGACUUUAAUUCUUUACAUGUACAAAUACACCUUAAAGAUAAAGAGUAAAACUUCACGAGUCACAUAACAAACUAUAGUAAAGAUAAAUGCCAAUGUUUCUUAUGACAUUAAGAAAAAAAUAAUGAAAAUUCAAUUAAUUAAAUAUGUAUUAAAUAAUAUAUUGUGAUAAAGUAGAAUAAAAUAAGGGUGGAGGAUUGGGUUGGAUGGUAAGAUGGAAGGCGUUGUAGGUAAGAGGUCUUUGAUUCAAAUCCUCCCACUCACCAAAAGAAAAAAAAGUAGAAUAAAAUAAUUCACAAAGUUGAAGAUUUGAGAUGGAUUAUAUUUAAUUUCCUAUUAACUUGUGAGAGGUUGGUUUUUUUCCGUGUAUAUUGGGUAUUCAAAAUUACUGUCCCUUGCAUGGUAACAUUUAAAGUAAUUUCUGUUAUGGAAAUUCAAUUCAAAACAAAACAAGUCUUAAUCUGCAUGGUAAGUCUUCUAUUUUUGUUCAGAAGUUCCUAAAUCAUGUAAUAUGCAUGCAUUAUCACUACGAGAAAACCAUCACACGGCUCCACUUGUUCUAAUUGUACUUCACAAAUAACUAAUAAAUUCAAGGAAAUAAAAAAGUAGUGCACCAUGCAGUUAAAAAUCACUAAUUAACAAGUGAACCAUGUUAUAUUACAAAAAUGUGAGUUAUGAUAGCUUAGUUGUAAUUUUAGUUUGCACUCCUAAACUCAGUAUCUUUUCCCCUUUGCACCCUAGAUACCAAAUUCGAACAUUUUGACUCAUUUAACAGCCACGUUGAGAAAAUUGACAAUUUUUAUACGUAUGAAACAAAAUAUCAGUUAAUAAGUCAAAAUUGACUUUGCACCCUGAUGCGACAGCCAAAAACCAGAUCCGAGCUGAACUGUUGCGAGCCGAGCUGGUCAGGCGCAGCCGAGCUGGUCAGGCGCAGCCGACCUGAGAGGGUGAACCGAGUUGAGAGUCCUGUAAAGAAAGGAAGAUGGUUGGACUGGCGUCCCCGGAAUAACUCCGACGGUCAAGUCAGUAAAGCUUGUCCACAGAGUAAUAGUUUAGAGUACUGGUCGACACGUACCUUGUGUGGUCUUAUGGCGUUGCUUAUAUAGGGCCGAAUGGGUUGUAGUUUCCUUGUGGGAGUCAAAGUCCUCUUAGGGUUCGGAGUCGUUUUAGGGCUUCGCAUGACGGCUCCUGAAAGUUCAGAGGCGGCGGCCCACAAGGCCCAACACAGGGGCCAUUGACACAGCCGAGCUGGCUCCCUCCGGCCGAGCUGGCAUGUGCGAGAGGCGUAGUCCCUAACGCCGAACUGAUGUGUGUAAUAUACCGAGCUGACACAUGUCACGUGUGGAUUUGCCCUACUACACUAGCUCCCCUUGAGUCUAGAGUCACCGAGGAGUCGCAUGAGUCUAGACCAAAUUACGAAGCGUCAGGUCGACCUAGUGCGGGGCCCAUGAUCCCACGAUCGCGCACCUUGUUCGAAUAACCGCCACGUAUACCGUCACAACCGUCACCUCAAAGGUCACGUCCUCCCAUGAUGGCGGUUGUCAGCUCAAACAUUUUCCAAGGUAACCGUCCCUUUGCAAUAAAUUCGAAUUUUCAACUCGGGGCUCUUCAACUUCCCGCCCAGGAGGCCUAUAAAUAGGUCCUACCAAAUGUCACUUUCAAGCUUCCAUUCUCAUUCUCUCCUUUCCCCAAUCUUCUUCAGCUCGCUCCUCGCCUAGUGAGUCCACCUGAGAGUUGCGUUAAUCAUCUACCAGCUCUUCCCUAUCAUCCGCUAGUAAGUCUUCUUUCCCUUUUAUGUCUUCCUCUUCCACACACUCAGACCUUACUAGCUCGGCACCUAGGCGUAGAGUAACCCGACUUGCACUCAUAGAGAUACUCUCUUCUAGCUCUUCUUCUUCCAGUUCGUCCGGGUCUGAGUACCUUCCUUCUCCAGUCCCUUCUCCAGUUUUAACCAUGGACCAGCCCGGUCAAUCUGCCCAGCCUGAGGUUGGAGCUGCUGGCCCAAAGAUCCCUCUAGAGGCAAUUCCAGCUCGCGCUAGGGCUGGACCCCCUAGGGGGCCCGAUAUCGACUUUGGGGAAGUCGAAAUAAUUCCCCCCAUCCUUGACCAGGGGGAUGUGGACGAGUUGGUGGGAAGGUACUAUAUUCCUCCCCAGUUCGAGGCUAGGGCAGCCCAGCCGGGGGAGUUCGCGUGCCGACCUCCUUCCGAGUUCUUAGCUAUCUACACGGAUCAGCUCGUGGCUGGUCUCCGCCUUCCCAUCCCCCAAUUUCUUUAUGACAUUCUGACCUUCUGGGGUAUCCGAAUUACCCAACUCGUUCCCAAUGCCAUUCGGUCGAUCCUCGGCUUCUUCAUUUUGUGCCGAGCUCUCGAAAUUCCUUAUUCUUUGGACCUGUUUAGGUCAUUUUUUCAAAUGAAAGUGAGCGGCCCGGUUCACGGCUGGUUCUACUUCGCUCGCAGGAGCGGAGGGGAGCUCCCCACCCGCGAGCUAUUCACGCAAAUGCCUUCCUCCAUCAAAGGCUGGAAGGCACAAUUCUUUUUUGUGAAGAACAUUGGGUUUCCUCCCCUGACCUGGAGGGAGGAGACCCAGGUUUCUGAUCCAAUUCUCUCACCUUUGCCUGAAGCCGAGCUGGACCGCCUGGUCAGCUCGGAAGCCCGGCUGAAGGUAAAAGAGUUUAACAAUGCACAGCUCUGGUCGGCAGGGCUGAUUCGAGCAGAGGUGAAUGACCCUGCCCCCGAUCUCCGACCUCUUCUCCCAGAGAAGCUGACAGCUUGUAACUUCUGGGCCUCAUUUCUUCCUUCUUUUUAAUGAGUUUGGUCACAUUGCCCUAGCUGACCCACUCUUUUUCCUCUGCAGUGAAGAGAUUCUCCUAGCUUUUGAACAUUGGAGGAUCCGGUAGUACUAGCACGCCUACUCCCGCUCUAUCCACGGCCCCCAGCAGCGCGGCUCCUCCUCCUCCGCCAGCGCCCAAUCCACAGAUCGCAGCUCAGUCGUCGCCUGGAGAGGAGCCAAAGAAGAAAAGGAAGAAGACGGCGGCCAAAAGGGUUAGGACCGAGGCGACUUCCCCUCAAUCCCAGGAGGAACCCUUAAUAGCUCUUGCAUUCCACUACGGAGUGAACUCCGCCGAGCAGCAGGUCUCGUCCGAGUCGCCUUCAGCCAUGUGGCGUAUGAGGAACGUGAUUCCUCUGAAGCCUCCUACCGACCAGAGCUCGCACCCGCACCCCCAACAUUUCUGCCCAAAGUGGGGGCUGUCGGUGAAUAACCGAGCUCAAUUUCCUGAAGCUGCCCGGGAGCUCGUCCAGGGCGCAGUGCUCCCACGCGAUCAUCACUUCAUCCAACUCGCCUCCAACUCCGAGCUGCUGGAGCAUUUUUACCUCAGCACAGCCCAGGUGAUUCCUUAACUUAGUGCCUCCCUGACAUCCCCUUUAAUUUGCUGAUUUCUUAUCCUGUAUUCGAUCUACAGCUCAAUGUCGCUGGGGCCGAGCUGGCGCAGCGGUACAAAAACAUGGGGGUCAACCUAUCUCAGGUCGACGCCGCCAAGGAAAGGCUAUCAAGCCAGCUCGAAGCCGCGGAGGCCGAGUUAGAGUCCCUGAAGAAACAAUUUGCGGAUGCCCAAUCCUCCUGCGAGUUGGAAAAGAAGAAGGCAGCCGAGCUGGCCGUGACUCUGGAGGCCGAGCAGAAAAGAUCUACCGAGCUGAUAGAAACGGCGAGGGCGGAAAGGCGUCAGCUAGGCGUUCAAGAGUUUAAGAAGUCCGAAGGUUUCAUGAACGACCUGGCCAUCCUGAAUGGCCCCGUCCUGCAGCUCGGUUACACCAAAGCCAUGGCGGAUGUUCAGUCCUUGAACUUGCCGGGUUUUGACCUGAGCAAAUGGCCUGAUUACAACCCCCAAACCGUCCAUCAAAUUGACAGACUUAUCGCGGGCUACACCAAUGGGCGCGACCUGGCUGCCUUGGUCGCCGACCCUACUCUUCCCGCAACCUCUCCCGAGCCAGAGCAAGAACAGCAAGGGGAGAGUUAGACGGAUAGUACAUAGGAUAGGCCUAUAGGAAUUAGGCUAGGGUAGGGACCGAGUUGGUCAACUCGCUUUUGUAUGGCCCUCCGCAUAUAUGCCUUUUUUGAAAUGGAAUAGAUGGCCUUCUUUCUUAUCCAACACUUGUAAAAAUUUUCUAUUAUUUAAAAGUUUUGAAUACAUUAUAAGCCCAAGUGCUGAACUAAUAAAAUGAAAAACAGACCUGUCCAGCUGACCAUUUUCAGGUCGGGCAGGAUACUAAAGAAAAAGUCUUAAAUUUGAGUUGUGCCAGGUGCGCGGGACUUCGCCUCCAUCCAGGCGAGUUAGUUUACAAUAACCUGCCCGGUCAGCUUCCCUUACCACGUAGGGACCUUCCCAAUUUGGGUCUAACUUACUCGCGCCCACAGCUCGGCUCACAGAGUUCUUGCGUAAUAUCAGGUCCCCUGGCUUGAAAGAAAGGUGUCUUACCCUGGCAUUGUAGUAGCGUGCGACCUGUCCCUUAUACUUAGCCAUUCUUAUAGCCGCCUCUUCCCUUCGAUGCUCGAGCAGGUCCAAACUAAGCCGUAUCUCCUCCUCAUUAUUCUGAGCCACAAAGUGUUGCACCCUACCCGAGGGUACUCCAAUUUCUGCUGAGAUUACUGCUUCGACCCCAUAUGUCAGGACGAACGGGGUCUCUUGGGUGGCCGUCCGAGGCGUUGUCCGGUAAGCCCAUAGUAUAGUAGGCAACUCCUCCAGCCAAUUAGUUCGGGCAGACUCUAUUCUUGUCUUCAGGCCGUGCAGGAUGGUUCUGUUAACAUUCUCGACCUGCCCAUUGGUUUGGGGGUGCCCCACUGAAGUGAAGUGCUGCUGGAUGCCGAGCUCCGUGCACCAUUCCUGGAGAGAGUGGUCAGCGAACUGCCUGCCGUUGUCCGAGACGAGAGCCUUUGGUAUGCCAAAUCGGUAGACUAUGCUUUUCCAAAGGAAUUUCUGGAUCGACCUGCUACUAAUUGUGUUGAGGGGCUCGGCCUCUACCCAUUUAGUGAAGUAAUCAAUGGCUACCACCAAAUGUUCGUAGCCACCUGGAGCUCGGGGAAAUGGCCCCAACAGGUCAAUCCCCCAUUGAAAGAAUGAUCACGGGCUAAUGAGAGGAAUCAUUUCCUGAGUGGGGGUGUGAUGGAUUGGGGCGUGUAGCUGGCAAGACUUACACCGAGCUAUCAGUUCGGCCGAGUCCCUGAAGAUGGUGGGCCAAUAGUAUCCAGCCAGCAUUUCCUUCUUGGCCAAUACUCUUGGACCAACGUGAUUGCCGCAGAUGCUUUCAUGCAACUCGCGCAAGACAUAGCUCCCUUCCUCGGGCGUUACACACUUCAACCAGGGCUGCAUGUAGGAUUUCCUGUAUAGGACUUCAUGCGUGAGCACGUACUUUUGCGACUUAAGGAGGACUUUGCGGGCCUCUACCCUGCUCGGUGGGAGCUCCCCUUGAGCCAGGUACUGGACAAUGGGAUCCAUCCACGAGCUCACCACCUGAAUAACCGCAGUGUUGAACGGUUCAUGGGCCCGACUUCUGACGACCUCCACCAGUAUUUCCCGACUUAAGAUGCCAACCGAGGUAGAGGCCAGUUUAGACAGGGCGUCAACUCUCUUGUUCUGGCUUCGCGGAAUCUGCUCAAGCGCGAACUGCUCGAACAGGCCCUUCAGCUCGCGUGUCUUGACCACGUACCUUCUUAGCGUCCCCUCUUUGACCUCGUAGCUUCCCCAUACCUGGUUUACUAUCAGCUGCGAGUCGUUAUAGACUUUUAUCGAUCUAGCCCCUAACUUUCGGGCCAUCUCCAUUCUUGCAAUCAGAGUCUCGUACUCUGAUUCAUUGUUAGAAGCUCUAAAAUCGAACCUCAGAGCCUAGGGCAGCUCCUCCCCCAGUAGGGCUGAUUAGGAGGAGCCCGGCCCCAUAUCAUUCCUUACUUGACGCGCCGUCCACGUACAACGUUCAGGUGGGAUCAGCUCGUCCCGCAGCCUCAGUAACCUUCCCGGCCUGAGCCGUCUCUCUGGCCAGUUCAGCUUUGACUGCAUUUCCAGAAUGCUCGGCCUUGGCAGCGUUUAAUGCCUGUCCCACCUCCGCUGCCUCUCCGGUCUGUCCCACCUCGGUAGUUUCCUGGGUUUGUUUGGUCUUAGCUGCUUCUCCAGCCUGUCCGCCCUCGGCAGCUUCUUUGGCCUGCUCGACCUCAGCUGCCUCUUUGGACGGUCCGACCUCCGCUACUUGGAUGGCCUGGGUGACCUCGGCAGCGUCUCCAGCUUGAAAGACCUCUGCUGCUUCUCGGGGCUGGGUGGCCUUGGUAGUUUUUGGGGUCUAUAAGGUUUUGGCUACUUGUCCGGUGUGCGCAUCUUCCGGUGUGCGCAUCUUUAACAAUUUCUCCAUCCUUCCUGGCCUGUAUAUCCCUGGCCUGAUCGACCUCCGCUUCGGGCGAUCCAAAGGAAACGUCAUCCGCUAUGAAAUCCGCCAAUGUUUGGGCUUUGAUGGCCUUCCGGGGCUGAUAUCCCAGGUCGUAUUCUGACAAUUCUACAGCCCACUUCACCAUUCGACCCGAGGACUCGGGUUUGGAAAGGAUCUGCUUCAGGGGCUGGUCCGUCAUGACCACUACGGGGUGAGUUUGGAAGUACGUCCUGAGCUUCCGAGCUGCAUGUACUAAUGCCAAAACAUAUCGUUCUACCGCCGAGUACCUUGCCUCGGCCCCCUGCAGGGCGUGGCUGACAUAAUACACGGGUUUCUGCACUUUGUUUUCCUCUCGCACUAGCACUGCGCUAAUGGCCCCCUCUCCCGCAGUUAAAUAGAUGAACAGGGUCUCCCCGAACUCGGGAGAGGUCAGGGCUGGCAACCGAGCGAGGUGGGCCUUCAGUUCAUCGAACGUCUUCUGGCACUCCGGGCUCCACUCGAACUGCCGACCUCCUUUCAGGGCCUUGAAGAAAGGUGACCACCGAACUGCCGAUUUGGACAGGAACCUGUUCAAGACUGCCAUCCUCCCUGUUAGACGUUGCACCUCCUUAAUAUUCCGGGGUAGAGCCAUGUCCAUGAUAGCCUUGAUCUUGUCUGGGUUAGCUCUCACCUCUUCUUUAGAAAUCAUGUAGCCCAGGAAUUUUUCCGACCUGACCCCAAAGGUACACUUCUUUGGGUUUAGCCGCAUUCGUGAGCUCCGAAGAACCUCAAAAAUUUCUCUCAGGUCAGAGAUGAACUUCUCUUGAGUUCGACUUUUCACUAACAUAUCGUCCACAUAGACCUCCAGGUUUCGGCCGAUCUGAUUCUUGAACAACUUGUUUACCAACCUCUGAUAGGUCGCGCCUGCAUUCUUUAGUCCGAAUGGCAUAGUGACGUAACAAUAUGUGCCGUCCUCGGUGAUAAACGAGGUCUUCUCCUGAUUCUCCUCGUCCAAGGCUAUCUGAUGGUACCCCUUGAAGGCAUCCAAGAAACAGAAAAUCUCAUAACCAGCUGUUGAGUCCACGAGCUGGUCAAUCCGUGGGAGUGGGUAACAGUCCUUCGGGCAAGUCUUAUUUAAGUCAGUGAAAUCCACACACAUCCUCCAAGCUUUCUCCUUCUUCUUGACCAGCACCGGAUUGGCUAGCCAGGUCGGGUAGUAGAUUUCUUUAACGAUCUUAGCCUCCAGCAACUUACCCACCUCGCUUUUGACGACCUCCUUUCGCUCAGGAGCAAAGUUCCUCUUCUUCUGCUUCACAGGUCGGACGUUGGGGUCCACAUAUAGCCUAUGGACUGCCAGCUCGGUGGGGAUUUCUGGCAUGUCAUCAGCACUCCAAGCAAAAAUCUCAGCAUAUUCCUCCAAGAGAGAUUCUAAAGAACUCCUGACCAGCUCGCCUAGGCCGAUGCCGACCUUCACUGUGUGCUCAGGUCGGUCGGGCUGGACGGGCAACUCGGCUAACCCCUCGUCCGUCUCCAAUCUUUCCCCUUUCUCCAUGGGCUCCCAGGGCUCUAAACAAACUGUCUGAGCUACCAAUUUCUCUUUACCCUUGAGGGUGGCAAUAUAACACGCCCUCGCCACCUCCGGAUCUCCCAGCACCUCAGCCACCCCAGCAGGAGUAGGAAACUUCAUACUGAGGUGCAAGGUGGAGCAAAUAGCUCGGAGGGCAUUCAGUGUGGGCCGUCCCAGAAUCAUAUUGUACGACGACGGCUCCUUAACCACCGCGAAGUUUACUGGGACCGUUCGGCACUUCGGGGACACCCCCACCGUAACCAUGAGAGUGAUCAUUCCUUCCGGCCUCACGGGAGGACCUGCAAAACCGAUCAACGGAGUUCGAACCGGUACGAGCUGUCUAUCCUCCAGUUGUAGCUCCUUAAAGGUCUUGUAAUACAGCACGUCUAUGGCACUUCCGUUGUCUAUGUAUACCUUCUUCACCUUGUAAUUACAGGUGAUGACUUCUAUCACAAUGGCUUCAUGGUUAUUAGAGGCCAGAGGGACUGCGUCUUCAGGUCCAUAGAUUAUUUCCUCAUACAUCUUCAAUCGUUUGGCCGAGCUCUCCCCCGUGGGAUGGGGGCGAUUGUGCCGUCGAACUGUAUGACUAUCCCCGCCAAUAGGUCCUCCGACAAUAGUGUUAAUCACCCCCGCCAGAUUCUGUGUUUCCUGCUCGGGAGUUCGGCCACAAGGCCCCUAAGGUCGGUCCCGGAGGUAGCUCGGACGUUCCGACCUGGGCCUUCCUCGUUGCUGGUCAGCUCGUUCCUCUCGUAUGAACUGCCCAAGAUGGCCUCGUUUAAUCAGUUUUUCAAUGUCUUUCUUGAGGUGACGGCAGUCCUCUGUAUCGUGCCCCACAUCUCGAUGAUAAGCGCAAUACAGACCUUGGUCCCGUCUGCUUUUGUCUCCGGCCAAAGAUCGAGGAGGUCGGGAGAGCCCUUCCUGUUCCAUCACUGCGAGCACCCGAGCUCGAGGUGCCGUGAGGCUAGCCCAAGACUUGUCUCCUCCCAUUGGGCGGCUCCUGGGGAGGCGGUCAUAAGCGUUUUUCCUUCCCUGGCCAGGCCGUAUAUCCACCUGGUCGGCGCCCCUCCUGCGCUUGUCAUCCCUCAAUCUUUCUUGUGCACUCUUAAGGCGAUUGGCUUCCUUCGCGUUGGCCUUCUCAUGAGCUCGGUCUAGCAUCUCCCGAACUGACUUGGGAGGUCUCUCCACGAGCUCGGUAUAGAGUUUCUGUUUUCGCAGCCCGUUAAUAAAGGCAGCCAUGACCACCUUGUCAUCGCGAUCUCGAACUUGAAGGGACUCGUUAUUGAAACGUACCAUGUAUUCGCACAAGGACUCCUCAGGCCUUUGCUGGAUAGUCAUCAAAUACGCCGUGCUCUUGGAGAAGGCUCGUGACGAAACGAACUGGGCCGCGAACAGUCGCGCGAGCUGGGCAAAGGACAGGAUGGACCUGGGAGGAAGCCCCUGGAACCACUGACGCGCCUUACCCUCCAAAAACAUUGGAAUGGUCUUGCACCUGACCGCAUCCGCAGCAGUUUGCAGGCGCAUUUGGGUCAUAAAGGCAAACAAGUGAUCCUUCGGAUCCGUAGUCACAUCGUAAGACUUCAUGUUUGGUAUCUUGAACUUCGCUGGCAGCGGGUAAUCCUUGAUGUCAGGGACGAAGAGGGAGGCGAUAUACCUAUCCGCCUCUGGAUCUAAGAGUAGAUCCAGCUUGUCCUGCACCUGGAGCUAUUCCUUCCGUGGUGAGAGUUCCUCCUUAAAACACCUCCGGAAGGGCUCCGGGUGCUCGGUUCUGGAGUGCUUGUGAGAAGGUUCUACAACGUCAACCUGGUCGCGCGUGAGCUCCCGGCGUACUCUUUUUGGCCGAGGGCUAGGGCUCCCCGUCCUAGAUUCGGACGGCCCAUCUCCCUGGCUCUUUAGCCCCUGGCCGGGAUUACCUACUGCCUGCCCCUUUAGGUAAUUCACAAUUGCCUCAAAAGUUGACAGGUUCCCUGCCACCGCCUGGACCAACUGCUCCGGCGGAAUUCGUGAGAGCCCCACGCCCUCGUCUCCAGGAGUCGGCCCUCGUGAGAGGUGUUGGGGGCUGCUUCCCUCGUUCCCCUUGGAUCCAUCGGCAUUCCUUUGGGACCUCGUUCUUGGCAUGAUUCGCAAGAGAAGAAUUACGUUUUCCCACAAACGGCCCCAAUUGAUGCGACAGCCAAAAACCAGAUCCGAGCUGAACUGUUGCGAGCCAAGCUGGUUAGGCGCAGCCGACCUGAGAGGGUAAACCGAACUGAGGAUCCUGUAAAGAAAGAAAGAUGGCGGGAUUGGCGUCCCCGGAAUAACUCCGACGGUCAAGUCAGUAAAGUUUGUCCACAGAGUAAUAGUUUAGAAUACUGGUCUACACGUACCUUGUGUGGUCUUAUGGCGUUGCUUAUAUAGGGCCGAAUGGGUUGUAGUUUUUUUGUGGGAGUCAAAGUCCCCUUAGGAUUCGGAGUAUUUUUAGGGCUUCGCAUGACAGCUCCUGAAAGUUCGGAGGCGGCGGCCUACAAGGCCCAACACAGGGGCCAUUGACACAGCCGAGCUGGCUCCCUCCGGCCAAGCUGGCAUGUGCGAGAGGCGUAGUCCCUAACGCCGAACUGACGUGUGUAAUAUACCGAGCUGACACGUGUCACGCGUGGAUUUGCCCUACUACACACCCCUAACUUAUUUCCUUUUUUUCCCUAUGCAUCCCCUAACUUUAUUAAUUUUUAAACAUACAACAAAUAAGCAUGGAUUUUUUAGUCAAUAUUUUAAAAUUCGGAAAUGGCAAUAACUUGGUCAAGCUUUGGGGUUAUGGGUUUAAUUGGUUGAACCAGUGGUUAAAAUUGAAUGACAUCGCAUAUAUAUAUAUAUAUAUAUACACAUACAAUUAAAUGCUAUGAUAAAAUACAAGAAAUAAAGAACAAAAAAAAGUACACAACAAAUAGAGAUAAUUUGAAAUUCAAUCUUUUGUGCAUGGUUUUUCCCAAUCAAAGCCAAUUCUUUACCAGAAUUGACUCGGUCAAUGAUUAACUUGAGCACCAAAAGUACCUAAUUCCCAAUUCAACCGAUCUAAUCAGCUGGUCUAGUCUAAGAUUAACCUGCCAUUGACGCAUGUCUUUGCUAUCAAACUUUUAAGUUGUUUUUUUUUUAUGCUUUUAGUAUUCCGUAUAAAAUGUUGUUAUUUGUGUGCACAAGAUCAGGUUGACUCCAUGUCUAGUCUAGCAUCAGAUUAGAUGACUCUUCAGUAGUCUGCGGUGUUUUUUUUUUCUCGCAAAUGAUCAAGAAUCCACGCACACAAUUAGAUUAAACACUCAGAGAAUAUCAAAGAACAACCCAAACGAGCAAUCGAAGGUGGGACCCAUAAAACAACCAAAUUCAACCACAAACGAGUAGUCUGCGGUGUUUACUUCACCAAUUUUAGCAUGCACACUACAGCAAAAAAAGAACUUUUCAACAUUACCUGCAAAAUACGUAAAAACAAUCAAGUAUAUGUAUAAGUUUACAUUCUUGCCAACAAGUUUUGGGCCUAAAGAUUGCAAUUUGUGUUCGGUGCUAUUUUCUAACAUCCCUUUCUUGCAUUGUCUUAGAUCUCGCACAAAAUCAUGUCUAACCAAGAACAAUCAAAUUAAAGAUUUAGUAAAAUCUAGAGGACACCUUUAAGUUACCUUGACUAGCAAUGCUUUUCGUAAGUACAUUUCUUCCUAUUUGAUAGAAAAACUUGGAGAUUAUUAACCGUUUUAGCAGUGCAAGUUUCUGGCAACUCAAUAAUGAAAUGUCCCAAAUAAUUUACAUAGGACAUCCACGGGUACUCAUUAAUUAUUUUUUUCCCAUCCAUGGUAGUUUUAUCUCACCAAAUGAAACAUCUCUAUGAAGUAGAUGGGCCAAAUGUUUUCUAGAAUUUUUUGUAUUUAAUAAGUUAUUUAUUUUCUUGCAUUUUAAUGUGCAUUUUUCUCAUUUUUGCAGGUUUGUUUUAGGGAAAAAAAACAAAAUAAAAAAAAUCAAGAAAUCAAAAAUCUUCUCCUAAUUAUUUCUCUCUCACCAAAUGCAAUAAUUGAUCCAUUUUUGCACUCAAAAUCUCCAUGCAUCUUUCUUUUUAGGGAUAAUUUCAGAAACCUCCCUUGAGAUUUCUGACAAUUUCACUGGCCUCCCUUAAGAUUUUCAAAAUAUCAGCCACCUCCCCUAAAACUAAUUAGGCAGUAACAAAUCCAACCCAUUUCAAAAACACAAAUAAUAUAAUAUGUGUAUCAGGAGAGAGGAAAAAACUUCAUUCCACAGCUACCCUUGAGAUUGUCAUUAGUGGGUUAAUUUGUAAUGAGCAGUACUUAUGCAUAUAGCAAGAAUGAAAAUUCGAGAGGCGCAUUUGAAACUCUCAUCAAAGGCUAGGUUGCUAUUGCAUUUUGGAAACUAGUAACCAACGGUUCUUUCUGAACAGCUUCUAACGUCUCUUUGCAACCAUACUCUUGCAGGAAACUCUAUAUAACAGCAAAAUGAAGUAGCAAUAGAUAAAAGUGCAUCUUGUUGGGUGUUUGAUGAGCUUUGCAUAUGCUACUAGGAUUAUAUUGCCUCAGAAGAAUAGCAUACUUUGGUAUCUUACUGUAUGAAGCAAUGUGUGUGCCUUCAAUUUCAUGUCUGAAUCAAGACUUAAGUCAUGUACAUAAAUCACAAUUACAAAAUGGCGCAAAAAAGGCACCUAGAUAAGGUGUGUGAUGUACACCAUGUUUAUCAGAAUAUACAAUAUGUUAUUCAUCAAUAAUAUUAUAUCAAAAGCUUUUACUAGAUGGUUAUUUGUUCCAAUUGCCUAUUAAAUCAAUCAUUAGUGCUUAUAAGAGUGCAUUAAAUAUAUAUUUAGUAGAUAUGUAGUUAACUUCAAUAAGUAGAAUGUAUAUAAAUACUUAGUGCAUGUACAAUCUGGUUGAAAUAAUAUACACCGUGUUAUCGACCAAGUAUAAUGCAUAGAAAUUGUUGAACAUACAGUUAUUUGUUCACAUGCAUAUUGCAAUUAGUCAUCACAGCAAUUUGUAUAGUGCAAUGGUAUGCAUACAUUUGGAAUGGUUAUUGGUGUUUUGACCCACUUGUACAUCUCCUUACAAACUGCAGUGGGUAUGUAAUUUUAUCUAUAUGACUAAUACUAAUUUGUCUAUAUACACCUUACACGAGGUGAUCUAUGAGGUACAAUCAGUUUACAAACAUGUACAUUAUGUUAGAUAUUAGUUACUUGACUGUGUAUAUCUAUAAAAGGUAGUACAAUGGUACGCAUAAAUUUGGAAUGGUUAUUUAGCCCUUUGAUCAAUUUAUGCAUCUCCCUAUAAUAGAUGUGUAAUUUUACUUGUAUGAGUAGUCCUUAUUUGUCUGUGAGUACUUUACAUGGGGUGAUCUAUGAGAUACAAUCAAUUUACAAAAAUAUACAUCAUGUUAGGUAUUAAUUGCUUAACUAUGUAUACAUAUAAAAGGGAGAUUAGAUAUAGCGUAGGAAAAAGUAGUUACGUGAGUUGGAAUGUAUUUGUCAUGAUAAUCAUGAAAUAUUAGCUAACUUGUGAGGGUAUUUAAGUCUUUUUGGCCAUGAUGAUGUAAGAAAUGGGACCUAAAAUUCUGACAGAGGAGGUUUGUGAUAUUUUUGAAAUCACAGGAAGGAGAGUGAGACUGUCAGAAAUCUCAGGAGAGGUAUCUGAAAUUAUCCCUUCUUUUUAUUUGGAAGAAACCAUCAUUUUAUCCCCUGCCUUUCUUUUCAUUAGGUGAGAAGGCCAUCAUUUUGACCACCCCCACACUCCACUCUCGACUCCCUCUCUUUCGUUUCUCUCAAUUGGCAAGGCACAAAAACAGACCAUCUCUCGCUCUGUCUCUCAAAGGCUCUCUCUCAUUUUGCUUAACAACACACAAACACUCCCUCAACUCUUUUAUUGAUGUUUGUUGUGUAGUUCAAAAUUUGGGAAAUGGCUUGAGCUAGAUUAAGAAAAAGGAAAUAAUUUUUGUAUAUGCCUGCUAGGUGUUUGAAAAAAUACCUAAAUAAAAAAUCGAAUUAAAGUACCUAUUAUUGUGCAUAUUUUUUUUGUUAAAAUAAAUUAUUACAGCUAGUACAAAGCCUGAAAUGCUUGGUUAUCCAAAUUUUUGCAGUUUUUGAGCCUUAAAAGCAUUAGAAUAAUUUUCUUCAUUUUUGGGGCUGUUUUGACUUAACGCAUCAUUUUGUUGUUGUUUACUUGUCAAACUAAGAUUAUAGUUUUGGCAUCAUUUUGUUGUUGUUUACUUGUCAAACUAAGAUUAUAGUGUUUUGGUUUACUUGUCAUCAUAUCAUUCUUUUACAUGUGUAAAUGUGUCUCUGGAUUUAUGUGAUUUUUGGUGCUUUUCAAUUAUAUCGCCUGGCAAAUACGAGGUACUGAACUCUUAUAACUACAAUCUCCAAAAGAAGCGAUUUGGACUUGUAACAAUUUUAUUGUUUUAAAAUUUAAACCGCUAUUAUCAUUAAGGGGUAGAAAUUGAAUAAAUGGAUACCUAGAGAGGCCAUAGAAUUUUGGCAUAAAGUUAUCCAAAUUCCAAAUUACUAAGGUUAAUUUCAUUUUAUCCCCUCAAACUAUAAAAUUCGUUCCACUUAAGUAAGAUCUGUGAUGGAAUCCAAAAAACUAAUGGUGUCUUAGAGAGGUAGAUAGCACGCACUUAGAGAUGGCAACGGGGCGGGGGAGGGGGAGGGGAUGGCAACGGGGCGGGAGACCCCCCGCCCCGUUGCCUAUUAAUUCCCCCCGUCCCCCGCUUCCCACUACCCCCGCCCCGCCCCACCCCGUCCCGCUUCCCUCGCAGGUGCCCCCGCGGGGUUAAUAAAAUUUUUUCUUCGGGGUUAAUAAAAUUUUAUUAUAGUUAAAUUUUAAUAAAUAAUUAAGUAUUAAAAUAUCAACACAUCAUCAAAUUAUUAUUCAUUGUAAUUUUACAAUUGAAACUCAUAAAAACAAUCAAACAAAAGUUAUUUGAAUACAAUCCAACAUGAUGAAUAAAUACAAUUAAAAUAGUUAAGUUUUCACUUUUUGUACAAAUACAAUCACUAAUUCAUUAUUGUGUUUGUGCUUUGUUUUGAGAAAAAAUGUUAUUCUAUUAAGUGUAAUUAAAAAUUUAUUAUAAAUGUAUUAGUAAAUUUAGUAUAACUAAUUAAUAAAUUCUAUUAGUAGACAUGUCUAAUUAUUCGUAUAAUUGAUAAUAUCAAUUAUAUUAUAUACACUAAUAUACAUUAUAUAAUACAUCUAACUAAUAAUAUCAUUAUCAUAAGUUUAUAACUAAUUAAAUUACAUAUUAUAUAUAAUUAUAUCUAUAUAUAUUUAUAUAUAUAAUUUUUUUUGCGGGUGGUGGGGCGGGGGUAAAUACUCCCCCGCCCCAACCCCCACCCCAAGAGCCCCCCGCGGGGCUCUCGCGGGUAACCGUCCCCAUUGCCAUCCCUACACGCACUGUUAGUGUAAUUGUUUAAGUGUUAUAAACCAAAGAGAUAAGGGCAUAAAGACCCCACCCCACCUCCCGCCCCAACCCCCGCCCCGAGAGCCCCCCGCGGGGCUCUCGCGGGUAACCGUCCCCAUUGCCAUCCCUACACGCACUAUUAGUGUAAUUGUGUAAGUGUUAUAAACCAAAGAGAUAAGGGCAUAAAGAUAAUUUUGCCCCCUUCCCUUUUCCCUCUUCCUUUCUUUUUCCUUUUCUUUCUUGCUCAUAUUGUUCUCGCUUUCUCAACAUUUCCAGCCAUUUCCAUUAAUCAAUUUUCAUCUUUUCAUCCUAAAUCUUCGCUCACUCCCCGAACUCUGAAUUUAUUUCUUUUUUUUUUCUCAAUCUCCAUUGGGAUUUUAGAGUCCACUACGUUAACAAAUUCUUUGGUUAAAUUUGACUGCUUACCCAAGUUUUUAAAUGAGAAAGAAAUGAGAAAAAUGGCCGGUCAUUGGCAAAGUCAAGGAUGCAUAAGCAUGACUACGAGGACAUUCAGUUGGAAGGCUGGACAGAUGAUAAAUGGGGACCAUUUUAGUAAUGAUAACUUCUUUUUCCACCGGCAUCUUUUUUGGUCGGAAAAAGACAUGUAAAAAAGCACAGUCCUCCUUUGUGAGAGUUUCUUUCUCUCUUAGUAAGAGUGCCCUCUCUCUUCUGAGAGUUCCUCACCGCUGAACAUCCUUGAAACUUUGAAACUUUCAAAACCCCUAACUUUUCAACAUUGUAACUGAAAUCCAAACCUCAAACAAGACCAGAUCGUCUUUACUGCGGGCAUGCACACUAAAGAUGCUGGUAUGUAGACGGUUUUUCUGCCAAACAAGGGUCAAUUCCAACUAAGCAAGACUAUCUGGGUUGGAGCCCUCUUCUGUACGAACCCAGUUGAGACAAGAAUAGGGUCUGUGGUAAUUCCAGGAGCUAUCACAGCAGAGUUGUAGCGGUUGAACAGGUUUGAAAAGUGCCAUUUCUACUCAAUAAGAGUUUUGACAUGUUACUUGACUGCCUAAGCUGUCUUUUUCUGGUUCUUGAUUCUUAGCUUUAUGGUUAUCCCUUCUUGUCUUUUCUCUAUUUUUUUCUGAUUUGUGGUGUAGUCGGCUAGCUUGUGUGUUUUUCUGCUCUUAGUUUUGUGGUGUAGCCGGCUAGCUUGUGUGUUUUCUGUUCUUAGUUUUACCUCAUAUUAGAGGUCUGUUGAGUGUGGUAUUCCCUCGUAGUAUUCUCUAGUAUCUCAAUGGCCGAACAACUAGUGGAUAUAAUGGAAAAUUUUGAUCUUUCAGAGAAAGAGUUGGGAGGCGCUGAUUUGGACUUGGGAGAUAUACACCUGGGUAUUAAAGAAUGUGAAGUUAGUCUUGUAGGGAAAGUGAAAGGUGAAAAAAUAGUGAAUUUUGUUGGGGUGAAAAAUUUUGUGAACUCUGCCUGGGGUUAUCCUAGAGAUAUCAGGAUAAUGGAAUUAGGUCCAAAUCUCUUUCAGUUUUACAUUCCUUGUGAGGAGAACAGAGACAGAAUUUUAAAUGGAGGACCUUGGGUUUUGGAUAAUCAGAUACUGGUGCUCAGGAACUGGUAUGAGGGGGUUGAAGAGGAUGAUGAAACCUUUAACCUUGCACCACUAUGGGUGCAGAUAUGGAAUUUACCAGUGCACUGGAUAUCAAAGGAGAUAGGUAGGAAAAUUGGUAAGGUAUUCGAUGAAGUCAGAGAUGCAAUAGUUCCCCAAGUAGGAGGGAAAGAAGGAAGGCACUUGAAAAUCUUAGUGACAGCUGACAUAUCUCAACCAUUGCUGAGGGGAACAACUGUCAAAAUGAAUGGAACCACCAAAUGGUUGGCUUUUAAAUAUGAACGAUGCCCGGACUUUUGCUAUAAAUGUGGCUUAAUUGGUCACAGUGAAAGGAACUGUAAGUGUUUCAUCUCUAUAACCAAAGAGAAAUCUGAAAAUCAGUUUGGGCCAUGGUUAAGAGCAAAUUGUGGAAAGGCAUCCCCACAGAAGGAACAACAGAGUGGAUAUAAUCCUGAGAGAAGUAAUUGGGGUUUUAGAAAUGGAGAACUGGUUCCUAGACAUGUUAAUCACAAAGAAUCACAAGCGCAAGGUUCAGGAGUUGACAGGCAGGAGAGGACAGACAGGCACCCCCUACAGGAAGAAAGGAACACACGAAUGAAUGACAAGGAAAAAAGCACUGCAAUGGGAGGACCCCAUCAUGACAUAACUGGAGAAAACAAACAAGACCACAGUGAUCCAGUAAAUGGUGGAAACAAGACCAAUGUGAGUACCCUGAAUUCUACUCUUAUGGAAGAAGGAGGUAGUGGUACAAAUGCUGCGAGGAGAGAAGAUAGAUGUCAAAAUGAGAACCAAAAAUAGCAGGUUGAGAGAGAGGCUGAGUCAUCAGAGAUGAGCCUAGUUGAUGUGGCAUUGGAGCUGAAGGAGGCUCUAACAGUGGAAGAUGUGACACAAAGGGGUGACCAGAAUCCCAUGCAAAUAGUUUCAGAAAUUGCAGCGAAACAGCAAAGAGGAGGAAGAAGGCAGUACAGCAGAGGGAAAAGACAACUGAGAUCCCCUGGUGUGGGGAGCAAAGCUCUGCCAGCACUAGAUGGAAACUGCAACCGCGAGGGACGUCAAGGUAAAAGAAAGAUAGUUUUGGUUGAUGAAGAGAUGAAAGAUGUUGUAGUGGAGGAACAAGAAACAAAAAGGAACAAGAUUGAUCUCCAAACAGUUGAAGUAAGGAUGGAAGGCAUAGAAGGGGUAGGGGCCAGCCACACAUGGCCCCUCAAAGAUAAAUGAAGGUCCUGGUGUGGAAUUGUCAAGGAGUGGGGAGCCCCUUGACAGUUCCCCAACUGAGGGAGGCUAACAACCUCUUCUCUCCAAAUAUAGUUUUCUUAAGUGAGACCAAAAAUAGGAUUAAAUACAUGAAAAAAGUCAAAUCAAUCCUCAGAUUUGAUGAGAUGACAGUGGUGAAAGCUAUGAAUAGAGCUGGUGGUAUGACCCUUAUGUGGAACAGAAAUAUAGAUGUCAUGAGAGUAGUUACUACUGCUUUCACAAUCGAAGCUCAUGUUAAGGAUUCAAACAGCAAGGAGGACUGGUGGCUAAUUGGAAUUUAUGCUAGUUGUGAGAGCAGAAUCAGAAAGAACCAGUGGCAAGUCAUUAGGGAAAGAAAGAGACUAUGGGGGGACAGAUGGCUCCUGGCUGGGGACUUUAAUGAUAUUGUUUCAAAUGAAGAGAAAUAGGGUGGUAAGCUAAGAGAAGAGGGGAGUUUCAUGGAUUUUAAGGAAUUCAUAGGAGCUAAUGAUCUGGUAGACAUAGGCUUUAAAGGCAACCCCUGGACAUGGAGUAAUAACUGGGAAGAAGAAGUGGAGGUUAGACAGAGAUUGGAUAGAGGAUUAUGCAGUCCAGCUUGGUAUCAAACUUUUGAAGGAGCUACUUGUGACCAUUUGGAAACAUAUGCAUCAGAUCAUAGUAUGUUAUUGGUUAACACUAAUCCACUGGCAGAGAGAAGAAAGAAAAGGUUCUUUUUUUAUAACAGAUGGUUACAUAGAGAAGGAGUAGGUCAAGUGGUGGAACGAGCAUGGAAUCAAAGGUUUGAAGGUUCUAACAUGUUUAGGCUGACAAAAAAGAUAGCAAAUUGUAGAGUGGCUCUUCUCAAGUGGAGAAAUAGUUUCAUUAGUAACUCUAAGCAGAAGAUUAAUCAUGUUAAACUGCAAUUAGGUGAGUUAGAUAGUGCUGACUGUCAGGACAAAAAGGCUAGGAAAAAAGUUCUAAAACAGCAGUUACAAAAGGCUUAUGCAGAAGAGGAGCUAUUCUGGAGCCAAAAGGCAAGAGUGAAUUGGCUAAGGGAGGGAGAUAGGAAUACUAGCUAUUUUCAUGCAUGCGUGAGAGGUAGAAGAAAGCAGAACAGAAUGCUAAACAUUCAAAACAGUGAUGGGACAUGGACCGAGAAUGAAGAAGAUUUGGGAAGAAUAGUGGCUGGAUAUUAUAGCAAUCUUUUUUCAAGCUCAGGGGGUGAAGAGAUACAGAGCAUACUAGAAGGAAUGCCACACUCAAUAACUCCUAGUAUGAAUGAAAACUUGACUAGAUCAGUUAAUGAAGAGGAGAUUAAAUCUGCUUUGUUUGCUAUGAAUCCUAAUAAAUCUCCAGGUUCAGAUGGGAUGACUCAUCUUUUUUUCCAGAAAUUUUGGAAAAUUGUAAAGAUUGAUCUGGUUAAAGCCAUAGACUCUUUCUUUUAUUCUGGUCACAUGCUUAAGUCUAUGAACCAUACUCUGAUUUCCCUUAUUCCUAAAGUUCUGAACCCCACUGAUAUGAAGCACUAUAGGCCUAUUAGUCUGUGUAAUGUAGUGUAUAAAAUUAUAUCCAAAAUCCUGGCCAAUAGGCUUAAAUCUGUGCUGAAUUUUUGUAUUAGUAAAAAUCAGGUUGCUUUUAUUUCUGGAAGACAAAUUCUGGAUAAUGUCAUUCUUUCCCAUGAACUUCUGCAUUUCAUGAAAAAUAAAAGACAAGGGAAAGAUGGGUAUAUGGCAGUUAAACUAGACAUGUCUAAAGCCUAUGACAGAGUAGAAUGAAACUUUUUAGAUGCUGUGAUGGUUAGAAUGGGCUUUUGUGGUAUGUGGAGAACAUGGAUCAUGAACUGCUUGAAUACUGUAACUUUCUCUUUCAACAUCAAUGGACAGCCUAGGGAAUACAUUACUCCUAUGAGGGGCAUUAGGCAGGGGGAUCCGCUUUCACCAUACUUAUUCCUUCUGUGCUCUGAAGGUUUUUCAAAUCUGCUAAGACAAGCUGCUGAGAGGAGAAAGCUUUUUGGCAUGAAAAUAAGCAGAGGUGGACCAUGUCUUACUCAUCUAUUUUUUGCGGAUGACUCAUUGAUUUUUUGUAAAGCUAACAGUGGACAAGCAAGGGAACUGAUGACCAUAUUAAAGCAAUAUGAGAAGGAAUCAGGCCAGAGCAUAAAUCUGGAAAAGUCCUCUGUCUUUUUUAGUAAAAAUAUGAACUCUGAGGAGAAGGCAGUGGUGACUCAACAACUGGGAAGCAUACAGACAGCUUCACAAGGAAAGUAUCUCGGACUUCCGAUGGUGAUUACUAGAUCAAAAGAACAGAUUUUUGGUUUUAUCAAGGACAACAUCAGAAAUAGAGCAAGCAACCGGAAAAGUAAGAUGCUCAGUCAAGCAGGGAAGGAAGUCAUGAUUAAAGCUAUAUCCAUGGCCAUGCCAGUCUACACAAUGCCAUGGUUCAAACUCUCUAACAAGCUGUGCAGAGAGAUAAGCUCUAUAAUGGCAAAAUUCUGGUGGGGAGAUUCUAAGGAAAAGAACAAGAUACACUGGUGUUCUUGGGAGAAAAUGACUCAAGGUAAAAAGUGGGGAGGGCUGGGCUUUAAAGAACUACAGAGCUUUAAUAAAGCUCUUCUGGGGAAACAAGUAUGGAGAAUCCUGACCAACCCCAACUUACUGGUGAGCAAAGUGUUGAAGGCAAAAUAUUUCAACAAUGAAUCCAUUCUCAAGUGCAAAGUACCAAAACAGUUCUCUUGGAUGUGGCAAAGUCUAAUGGAUUCAAGAGACCUGGUGCAAGAGGGAACAAGAAGAAAGGUGGGAAAUGGCAGAAGUAUAAACAUCUGGAACGAUGGGUGGAUACCAGGAAAUAAGGAUGGUAGAGUGCAAAUAGACAAACCUCCCAAUUGUGAUGUGUCUAAGGUUGAACAUUUGAUUAGGGGCUUCCGAUGGAAUAGGUACGUAAUUUUUUCAACUUUCAACAAAAAAGAUGCUGAAAAGAUCCUGCAGAUACCUGUUAGUUUGUCAGGGAGAGAGGACAGCAACUAUUGGAUACAUAGUGAAACUGGUCAAUACACUGUGAAGUCGGGUUAUAAACUUUUGUGUGACUGGAGUGAACAAAGGAAAAACAAAGAAGAAGCUCUGGGGGAAACAAGUGUGGCAAACAAUUUCAGCAACAUAUGGAAGAAGUUAUGGAAGCUAAACGUAAAAGGAAAAUUGAAACAUUUUUUGUGGAAGUGCAUUAAAGGAAUUCUACCAGUGAACAACCAGGUCUACAAAAGGACAGGGAAGGGUGAUCCAAUUUGCAAAGGAUGUGGCGAACAAGUGGAAACCAUAGAGCAUAUGCUGCUUAGCUGCAGGAGAGCUAGGGAGGUGUGGAAGAUGGCACCAAUUCAGUGGGAUGGGAUAUUGGCGCACUCAGGUAACUUUUCCUAUUGGUGGAAUGAAGUAAUGGAAGCAGCAAAAAGGAAACAAGGUCAGAGCCACAUUGAGCUAACAACCAACAUACUUUGGCAAAUUUGGAAGGCAAGGAAUGAAUAGCAAUACAACUCAAAGCAGAAACACCCUUCGAAGAUUGUUCACAAAGCUCAAAAAGAUUGGCAGGAGCAGGUGUUAGCAAAGGAAAAACAAGAACCAAUGAGCAAUAUUGAAACAUCCAGAGGACCUAUGGAAGAUGUUCAAGCACGAGAUGAAACAAAUGAAGUCAAUUUGCACAUAGCUGUCUAUGAGGAUAACGACACUAGAUGGCUGGGAAGGGGAGUGGUGGCAAAGAAUCACAGGGGACAAGUGAAGACAGCUUGGGCCAUGAGGGACAAAGGUACAAACAUUUCAAUAUUGGACUUAGCUGAGACAGUAAGGUUAGCUUUAAUUAAGGCUAGAGGAAAGAAUUGGCCAGAACUGAAGGUUCAUAUCCCCCACAAGCAGCUUCUGUCAUCGUUGAUGUCAAGGAAAACUAAAGACAUUAGACUGGCAACUAUGAUAGAUGACAUCGCCAACUUAGGCUCUUUGUUUCAAAAAUGCUCAUUUUGUUUAGAUAUAACAAUUGACAAUAUAAGUAAAUCUGUGAGUACUUAUGCUGUAGGCAUAUAUGUUGAUGAGAAAUGGAACAAUCCUCAAGGUGUCUAACACCUUUGUAAAGUUUCUUGGAGCCGUUGCUCUACAAGUGUAUAGUUAUGUUUUGAUCAAUAUAUUCCUAUCGUUUCAGAAAAAAAAAAUCCUUUUUGGUUGGAACGGUAAUGGCAGCAGAGAGGGCAAUAUUAAUUUCAAUAAUGUCCCAAUUGAACAGCACUUCAAUCUUCCAAUAAUAGAGCAUUGCUGUCAUCAUCUAGUUAGUAAUAGAAUUCUCUUGUUUUUCCCUUUUCAAAUCUAACUUUGGUGGAUUAUUCAUUACCUUAAUUAAGAUGCUUCUGUACAGAUUUCUUUUAGCUUGGAUUUUGUAGGAUCCCGAUUUGGCAGAGUUAGACUCUUGAUUUAGAUUCUGUGGGAGUGCAAUUAGUGAAAUGGGGGGAAGAAAUAGAUUGCAAUUCUAGUGGGCUGUGGUUGUUUAAGCCUCAGCACCUCUCCCAUUUCCUCCGGCUUCCGCAGCUUCCCCUUCCCCUCAUCACUCGGGCUGCAAUAAACAAGCCUACCAAGAAAUGGGUCGCGUCCGCACAACUGCACAAGACAUGGAUGUGGUUGUUUAGUGAGAUAGUGGCAAUUUAAUGGUAUUUAUCUAUUUGGAAGGUAACUUGGUGGUAGAAAAGGGAAGCUUGAAUUGAUCUAUUCAGUUAAGAAAAGGGAAGUUUGAAUUUGGAAUUCAGGAAACAAAUAUAAAUGCAAAAGAUCCAAUUUCAGAGUGAAUUUGACUGUAGGAUGAUUAUCACGGUUUGAAAAUUUCGUAAGCAACUAGGGAUGUAAUUGAAUCGAAUGGAACCCGAAUAUCGUCAUACUUCAGUUCGACUCGAUUUACAAGAAAGAUACUCGAACGAGUAGCAUUACUGGAGCUCGAGCUCGAGUUCGAUACAUUGCUCAUAGAACUCAAACUCGACUCACAUGGGUUCGAGUUAAAAUGAGCCUUAUCGAGCUCAAGUUAAGAAGAUUUGGGGAUUUUAUUUUUCUUAACAAAUUUUAAACGAAAAGACAUUAUCGCCCUUCAAAAAAAUUUCAUACAACCUAAAACAUUUCAUAAAUUCAACCAUUCUUGUGGGCACAAGGGUAAUUUCAUAAUAAUAAUAUAUUAAAAUUUAAAAUUUAAAAACUCGACAAGGCUCAACGAGCUUUCGAGUCUUGCUAUUGGAUACUCGAACUCGACUUGUUUGUUCAUAUCGAGUUACUCGAAUUCAAUCAAUCCGCGUUCGAGUCGAGUUUUUGACCAAACUGCUUGCAAGUAAUGCACAAGCAACUUGGUCUAGCAGUUCGGUUCAAUUACAACCGUACAGUCAACUCAGUAGUUAGAGAUAAACUAUUUUGAGCAUAGCUUAUGUAAUCAACUUUGUUGCGGUGGUUUGUGGGUGGAAGGGAAGAAGAAGAAUGGGAAAAAGGGCAAAAGAAAAAGGAAAGAUGAAGAAGGGGAAAAAAGUAAAAUUAUAUUUAUGUCGUUGUCUUUUUUAUUUACAACACUAACAUAACUACACUAGUGAAACGUGUAUUACGCACGUCCCCAAUAAAUCAUUAGAUUUCUAGUUUUUGUCACCUAACUUACUUAAGUCGAACAGAUUUUGUAAUUUAGGGAUUUAAAUGUCUCAUUUUGAAGUUUAAGAGCCGAAGUGAAAUUUUGCGUAUGAUUUGAGGGGAAAAAAUGGAAUUAAUUCAAAUUACUAUGAAAUUGAUUAACAUCACCAACAUCAAAUUACCUCACAUCACCAGCGACAAUAAUAUCGCCCGCUUAGUGGCGCUGGAUCCAACUUCCAAGCAGCCAUAACUUCAAAUUACCCAGAGUCGGAAUAAUAGUUAGUCCCUGGUCACUAUCACUGUUAGCCAGUCCAUUGUACUCGAGCGCCGGCUUCUCCCAGCAGCCAGCAAAACUUCUGCAAAAUGGUACAAAGAGCAUGGAGAAUCAUCCCAAGGCCACUACUGGAGACCAUCCUCAACAACCACGCCCAACAUCACCGCGUGCCACAACCCCUCAUUCUCCACGGUCCUCGUGGCGUUGGCAAAACCACCCUCAUCCUUGAACGUACGAGAAAAUAUGCUCUCACUACCUUCAACUCUUAUUUUUCAUCACAGUUGGUAUUUAAUGGUUUUUUUUUGGGGAGCAGGUUUGCUGGAUGAUUGGAAUACUGGACCUCAUGUAACAGGGUAUGUGGACUUUGCAGAGAAUAUUAAAGAUCAGCACCCAAAGUAUGGUUGUUCAUUUCCAUGGGCAUCAUGGUCAAAUUGUCAGCCGCAGCCGGCUCUUUUGUCUCUCAGAAAUCAGCUUGAAGAAAGCCUUGAGUCCAUGGUUAUAAGGGGUAUAAAGCUGGGUAAAAUUAGUUCGCAUCAAAUAUUUACUACUAUUAACAAAUGGCAUAAUCCCACUACAGCAAUUGAAAGGAUUUGUGGGUUGAAUGUCAUUAAUAGUUUAAGAAUUAACUCAAAAAGGGACGUCGUGAAAAGGGAUGAUUCUGAGAGGAGUAAAAGGAAGGUAUCUGCAGUUGCUGCUGCUAGUUCUUUGUCUAGUUUAUUGAAUUUGUGGGAUAGGGCUGUUUUUCAGCUAUCUGUUCGAUUAAAUGCCAAAGAGAGUUUUGGGGGGGAUGUGAGUUUGAUGGAGGAUUCGUAUUAUAGGGAAGCAAUGGCUGCAUUGGAAUUGGCUAAGGAGGUUAUAAAAGUGCAGCAAGGGUGGAGAGCUAAUGCUAUUAAGCAUUUAAAUGAGACAGGUGGCUUUUCAAGGCCUUUAGCCCAUUCAGCAACUGAUUGGCCUUGUUUAUUGCUUGAAUUAUUGUCUUCUGCUGCUGAAGUAGGUUACUUUCAGGUAACUUCCAAGUAGAAUGCAUUUCAGUAUUUUCUGUUUUGCUUCUCCUGAUCAGUUUCUUGAAAGAAUUUGCCGCGAAGAAAAGAAAAUUGGGAAUAGGAAAUUGUAAUAGAAUGCUGUAGGUAAUGGAUGGUAUUCAUGAAUGUUAGCGAGUCUAUGAAACUGCUAAUUAGUUAAUAGAAGAUAUUUAAUGUUUGUGUUUUAUAUUUGAAAUUUGAGAAGCUCGAAAUGCUUGUAAGAUACGUCCACUAUAAUGGCUCUUAUCCAUUGCCUUUUUUGUGGGAGUUAUUUUAUAGGUAUUUUUUUUGUCAAAAUUGGUAGUCAUUCAUUUUUCUUACUUGGUUUUAUUUUAUUAAUUGUAGCCAAAGCUGGUGAUAAACAACAUUGAUGUCCUAAAGAAUGCAGUUUUGACAGAUGAUACUACUGUGAAUGCAUCCAUGUAUCAUGACAGCUUUAUAUGGAGGACUAUAGCUCUGUGUGUGAAUGAGAGAUGUCUUCCUGUGAUUCUUGUGACGUCAGAUAGGUAUAGUUUCAAUCAUUCCCCAACAUUACUGGUUGAGAAUGGUGGCUAUUUGUUUGUCCUGUGCAUGCUUUCUACUCCUGUUGUUUUCCUAACUGAGUUGUCAUUUCUAUUUGCACAUUGAGUUAGCAAGCCUGCACCUCAUAGUAGCACAUCAGGUUUUUGAGUUCCUUUUUAUCAUAUGUUCAACGUUAUAAGCUACAAAUUCAUUGCUCUUGUCAAGUGCAAGAUUCUAUGUCCUGAUUCUUCAUGACUUUAUUUGGAGUUUGUCAAGAACAAGAUAUGCCUUGUCACAAGGUAAGUUUGCUUUUUUCCUGACCUAGGGAGUUAUUGGUUUAAAAAUUCAUAAAGCCACUCGAUGUCCAGGACUAAUGCCAAGCCCACUUAGCCCUUCCUAGCUUGCGGGACGCUUAUGUGCUGGGUCUGCUUUAGUCCCUUAUGGACAACAUGUGAUACCAGCUUACUGUAGAUUGUUAAAAGUUUUCUUUCCCCCUGCCGAUAGAUAGUUCAUUUAUAAUCUUACUUCUCUGGAUGUCAGAGCACCAGAAUUAGGAGAUAACACAGGAUUUCUGGAUCAUCAAUUGUGGUCUUGGUCUGUACAACUACUAAAAUGGCAUCAUCAAAUUUUUUUCACUUAAAACUACAAGUCAUCAAAUAUUCUUUAUUUUACUUCAAUUGUGCGGUUGAUAACUUAUAGGAGCAAACAUACUAAUUGUGCCAAUUUAGUGAUUUUUGAAGUGGAAUGUUGAUGACAGCAGAUAUGCAUACCUUGAUGUUUUCCUAGUCCUUUUACUCUAUUUCAUUAUAACACUCUUAGAGUGCUGCCAGGUAUAGUACAAGAAAAAGGAAUGGCUACAAGACUAGAAAGUGAAAACUCAAAUGUAUUUAAUAAAUGUGUUCAGUUCCAACAUGGAUUUUGGACUUUGAUGGUUAUAGAGUUAAGAAACAGUUGUUUAAUAACUUUUUAUUUAAUAGAAUUUAGAAUAUUUACCUUGGGGGGGGGGACGGGUUGGGUGGUUUGGGGGAGGGAGUCUAAGUGAGUGGUGUCGGGUUCGAGCUCUCCCGUUUACACUAAAGAAAUUUUUUUAAAAAAAUUAGAAAUAUUUACAACUUUUGAUUGCUAGUUUAACUUAAAGAGAGAUUCAGAAUUGUAAAUCCGUUAGCUUUUCUUCUGUAUGAAGUAUGAACUUUUAUAAGUAAUUUUUUUAUUAAAAGAAAGUAGUUGCAUUUUUUUCACAACCCAAAGCUGAAAGAGUGUGACAUCUAGUUAUUCAAGAAUGUGAAACUGUACCCAUGUUAGAUUACCUAUCAUAGCAGGACAGGCUAAACUAUAGGCUUGUUAAAGUAGGUCCACAUCCCUCGAGAGGAAGUUAGUGAUCAUUCUGUUGUGAAGUUCUAGAAUUUUCAAUCUCACUGUUCAAUUUGUUCUGUAUUUCAGAUACCAUUAUUUGACUCUGUUUUAUUUAAUUAACUGGUAGAAUUUGAUCAAUUCAGUGGAUUUUUUUGUAAUUUGAGUAAUUUCUUAAAGUUUUGUACAUCUUAUACUUCUUUUAGUGGUGAUAGUCCCUUUGUAGUUAUGAAUAUUGCAUAAUGCUGAUUGUGUGGAUUUUCAGAAAUCCUGUAACUAAAUAACUCUAGAGAAGAUUAGAAGUUUUAAGAUUGGUAGGAGAAUCAGAAGUUAGAAGUAGAAUUUGGUAGUGCUGCCAGCCCAUCCCUUUUUCACAUGUCAUUAGCAGUGUGUGAUUCAUGAGUCCAACCCCUCAAAAUCAUCCGUUUCUUGCUUGAUCAAAGAGUAGUAUAGAAGCAUAAAAUUUUUCAUAAUUAUAUCUUAAACCUUUCCAUCCAACAUUUACAUUCUUUUUGGAGAAUUACGCUUCCUAAAAGUUUAGAAGUUUCAUGUUUUGUGUGACAAUAGCUUAUUUACAUGUCUAAUUUGGAAAAAAUGAAACCUUUUAAACUUUUUACAAUUAGAAAUAAUUUGUUGAUGGAUAAAUGAAUUUGAUUGAAAUGGCAGUGAUUUAGCUUCUGUGCUAGAUCUUGCACAUUCCUAAGCAUUGCUUGACAGUUUCCCAUUCUGCUUUAUAGCCAGCAACAAUAAGAUUAAAUUCUUGCAGAUCCCUUCGAUCAAGUACUAAAGUUAAUAAAGGUCCAACUGUUUCAUUGCAUGCUUAGGCUAAUCCCUGGGCAAAUUUGACAGGUUCUUUGGUGGUUCAUAGUCUGACAAAUCUUCAAUGCUCUUGCUUUACUUUUUGAUGGUCUAUUCAAGCUUCCAUUUUCAUAAUUUGAGAAAUCCUUGGUGUAAAUGGACCUUUUUGUAAUAAUAGGCAAAAGGUGUCAACAGGCCCUAAUGAAGCUUCCCAGCCUUUUUAUGCCUAAUGCUAACUUUCCCCUUUAUUUGAAUGAAUCCAAAUUUUAGCUACUUUUUCAUACACAAAAUUUCCUUUUCUCUUUUAUAUAUUCUUCAAUUGAUUAAUAAAACUAAGAACACGUGAUAUGUGCUUGCAGCUACUACUCUUACCAAGCUUUUAUUGAUUAUGGAUUUCCAGAUAUUUUCAUCUCUCGUGAGGUAACAGGAACUCUCUUUGUGUGUACCUGCAUGUGUAUUUGAUGGUCCUGAAUAUUGUUAGAAUCUUUUUUCUUGUAAAUAUGUAUGUAUAAAAAUGUCCAUAUCAAUGAACAGACUGUUGGUAGUUAUAGUUGGAAAUCAGAUGCAGUUCUUUGCAGUUUACCCAGUGAUCGAUCGUCUGUACUUAGGCUGUGAAUUUUUCGAAUAUAUUCUGAAUAUGAUAGUUAAAGUGAUUUGUGGUGUUCACCAAUGAUUAUGAGUCUGGGUGAUUGAGUUUAUAAGAAAAAUGCAGACAUUUGGGUGGACUCCAGCAGAAGCCAAUAUGCACAUGGUUGAUGAUUACUUUACUCAAGCUGAGGUAUGAUCGUGAUGACUAUUAGUAUUUCUUCAACAUGAGUUUUUAGUUGCUCUGACAAUGUUGUGCACUUGUUGAAAUUGCAGUGGAAUUUAAUUGUUGAGACCCUAGGGCCAAGUUCGCGGCACCUUUUUGAGGUUUAUGCACUCAAGCUUAGUAACUAUUACAAUAAGUAAGUAGCAAUAGUAAUGCAUGUAAUAUUGCAUGUUUCAUGAUAUGAAAUCGGUGAUAUUGGAUUCAUGGAUUUUGUGGAGCGUUUUCUAUUUAAUUGUUUACUUAUUGUUUGUCAAUAUUCUACUUUUAUUUGUAUUAAUCAUUUGGUACUCUGUAGAUAUGUUAACAACACGGUAGUUCAUAAGAAAUAAAUCCCUCAAUCUAAAUGAGAUCUUGAUGUACAUCAAUAAGCUAUCACCUAUCUAACUGAAACAGCUAUAUUGUAGGACAAAGUGUUAAUUUUUUUCUCACAUUAAUUCUAAACACUAUUCCUUGUGGGAUGAUUAUGUUUCUUUCAGUCACAAUGACUUCAAAACUGUUCCUAUUUUAGUAGAUCUAAAAACUCAUGUAGAACUUGCAAUAGUAUUAUGUACUUAAUUUAGUUUGAUAUGUCUGACUUGAGCAUAUCUCUUUUUUACCCGGUCACCUUUCCAUGGCAAUAUAGCAUGUGUCAGACAGAAAAACAAAUUAUGGCAUUUAAUUAUUUAGUAUCAAAUGAAAGUUCUUUUCCCUGGUUGAUGCAUGAGAGGCUGAAAGUAGACAUUGGAGCUCCAUAUGAGUAUGUUAGAAAUGUUCACAUUUUGAUGUUUACCAUAAACUUUGUUGGUUAUCCAGUAAAAAGCCUCUCCCAGUGUAUCUUCCCCCCCCCCCCCCAGGCUCUCUCUCCCCCUGUUUAACAAGAGUAUAGUUGUUUUAUUUUUUUGUUAAUUUUUCUGCUCAUUUUCCUACUGUAGGGUCACGGAUGAGAAAGGUAGCACCUUUGAAGACAUUGUGGAUGCAUACUUGGCAUAUCUGCAAGUAAGUUCCUUGAUUAGCUACUGCUUUGUAUGGUAUUUGAAGUUCUGCUACAUAAAGCUGCUAGCAAUUUGGAGCCAAGUUGCUUUGAUGAUUUUUCUGUACGUGUUUUGGAAAUAAAACUAAUUCCAAACAUUGAUAGCCUUAUGCGCCUAAGUACACUUAAUUUGAGUUGCUCAACAUUGUUCUUUGUCCGUGCUUUUGCAUUACCUCAUUUCCUUUAGGAGUUAAGAGUAGACUGCUAGAGAAAUGAACUUCUGACAAAAUCUUAAAAGGAAAAGUCUUCUAUGGAAAUUAUGUUAGGCAUAAGAAAAUUGAUCACUAUAUAUGUGGGUGGUUCCUCCUUAUUGGUUAAUCAUGCUUGUUUAAACAAAUGUGGUCAUAGGAGAAGCAAAUUGUUUUGAUACAAUGCAAGAUUCUGAGAGACUAAGGAUAUCUUUUGAGUUGCCAACAGACAUAGUGUAGUUUUGCUAUGUAAGGACAUUUCUUUUCUUGUUUGAUUUUUGGGGAUGAUCUAGUCUACAUAAAUGUUUCUCCUCUUUCGUCCUUCUCUCCUCUCUGUUCCUUCCUGUAACACAACAUCACAUGCUGGAUAAAGAUUGAAAAUUUGAUCUAUUAUCAAAUAUUUUUUUAUAUGAAAAAUAACAGGUGGCAAGCACAAAUUCCUGCGUCUAUGAGAUGAAAUCAAAGAAGAGGAAAAUGUAUUUGAUUCUCAAAACCAGAAUUUUUGUGGAAAGAAUUAGCACUUUUAGUUAUAACCAUUAUCUUGUCAAGUUCCUUAGUCCUCAAUGAUAGUUUAGUGAGUUCCAUGCCUUUAUUACCUUCCAAUUUAGUAGAAUGAUUUCCUGCAUUGGAUUCACCCAAGUAAUGUGACGGUGUAAUGUAAGCAUCAAACUUUUCAAAAUGGGUUUGCACAUUUAAACUUCUAGGGGACAACUUGAAUCCUAUACACUCCUAAUAAGAGGUUUUAGUCUAAUCUCUUUAACCCUAGGAAGGGGACCUUAGCUAAAACUAAUGCCCAAGCCCGAAGUAGUAAUUCAAAUUUGCUACUGCAAGAUAAUUAUGACUGUCCUAGUCAAAUAUACUUUAACUAAAGCUAUUUCUGUUGAGUAGUCAAUCCAAUAUGAUUCAGGAACAAGAGGUAACAUGAACAAGUGGCCUGUACCUCUCCACCUUAUAAGGCCAAUUUGGCUGUAAGAACAUCAGAUUUUCGGACUGGUCAGAACCAUUGCUUCUAAGGAGUGAUUUUUGAGUUUACUGUGUGUGGUCUUUAUGUUAUCAUUUUAUUCCUGUACUUGCAACACUCAAUAUUCAAAUUUCAGCCUUACAUCCUAAAGUUAAACUGAAGAAUUGCUCCAUAUAUCAGCAUGGUCUUGCUUAACAAAAUGAAGUUAAAUUGCUGUCCUAUUGAAUCCAAAUUAACAGAGAAUUAAUUGAAGUGUGUUACAUUUGAUGUUUGUGCCGUAUGGCAUCAAGAUAAUGUGAUAAUAAAGUUUUAAUCUUUUGUGCUGAUAUUAAUCGCUUCACAACUGUCACUUAUUUGCAAUCAGAACCCAUGGCAUUAGCUCUGUCAUGUCUUUACAGCUCAGCUACAUUAUUUUUGUGGUGGUACAAAUUAUUCUUUAAGUUAAUAAUCCAAUUCAACAUGAACCUGCCAUAUCAGCUUUUACUUUGAAUUUCUGUAUUUCAUUUGCAUUACAUCUGAGGGGACUAUGCAGUUUGAUGGUGUUGUUGAGUCUUGACUCGUGACCAAAUGAACACGGUGAAGUGACAAAAAGAAAGAUAUCUCUAUAUAGACUUGAAAAAUCUUCCUCUAAUGAAUUUGACUACCAUUGGCUUUACAUGAACAAGCAAAAAAGAAAGAAUCUAAACAAUAAGCAUAAAAAUUUUCAAGCCCUAGACAAGGAAUUGCUUUUUCUGGAUAUUCUCGAAGCAAGAACUAGAUUUUGUGAUGAUGAUACUAAAAAUGAAUAUUUUCCUAAUAUGUGUGAUCCUUUCUUAAAAGGUGCAUACUGCAGAAGAAUAAAAAAAAAAAUACGUUCAACUGCUAUAACUGUGAUAGACAAUUUAAGAGAGACAAUUUGGUAUAAACCAAACUCAUAAUGAAAGUAACUCUCUCUUCUAAAACUAGGCGAAGAGUACCUGUGAUACGCAUGUUCGAGAACUUAUCACCUGUUUGAACUUCAGUAAUGUUGAUUAAGUACAUAGAGCUAUCUAUAAUAAGGGCAAACCAUUUAUAUAAUUGGAAGUUCAAAAGACACAAAUUCUCUUCUUAUAUUAGAAACUUGUGUUAGUGCACAUCUUGCUAGCUUUCUAUGUAUAGGUGCUUUGAUAAUAUAUGUUCAACACAGCAACCUGCCUUAUUAUAAGGGAGAAGCCUGUCACAAGUAGAACUUACCUGAAGAACCACUAAUGAAGCAAAACCUCAGAUCAGAAAAGUAAUUAGACAACAAAAAGUAGUAUGUAAGAUACAUCUUCAGGAGAUAUUUUUGGUUAAAUUGCCAAUUAUAAGUUUUGUAUCCUUUCGACUUUCAAACACCUUCAACUUGUCAUUUGCAUAGUGGACAUCCUGAAUGCAGUCACUUGUGCAAAAUGAAACAUUCUGUGCUCAAAUUUUUAGCAAAACAGAGAUCAUGCUAGGAGGACCAAGAAAUCAUAGUCCUCAAAUCAAUAGCAAUGUAAUGAAAGUGCACAAGUUUUGCAAUUUUUAUUUUCUGGUGCUAAUUAGACCACCUCAUGAAGCAAUGAAAUAAUAUUUCCUCCACAAGCACUAGAAACCAGAAAAUCCUUGAUGUAAAUAAAGUUGACGUUAGUACACAUAUUUGUGCUGUAGAUAACUUUUGAUCUAAACUGUUCAUUACAUUCUUUCUUCUCCUUUAGUUAACUGUAGUUGAUCCUGCGAUGGAAAAAGCACUUCUUCACUUGCAAAAGUUUGCAUUGGAUGCACAAAGUGGAAAGGUUUCAAAAGACAGAUUGCGGUUUGGUGCUCCCUGGAGACAUCCUCCACAUACAGACGAUCCUUCCAUAUGCCACCAGUGGGCUAAGAUUCAACUGCUGGACUUUGUUCAAUCUCUAGUCAACACAGAAUUUGGGGUACUCCUUUCAUAUUUCUCUUAACAACUUACAAUUUUUUUUAACUGCCAGUUAUUAUGAUAUUGUUCUCAUGAUUCUUUUUUUUACUAAGUUUCUUGUCCCUUUUUCCAUUUAACUAGUCAAGUUGAAAAACAAGAAUGAGUGAAUUUUUGCCAUGAGGUUCUACAACUUGUAUUCUCCACUUGACGGAUUCCUUGAUUCAAUAAUCAAAAGUAUAGAUACUUAAAGUGUAAGGAAUUAUAUUUUCUUUAUUCAAGUUGCAUUAAGUUCAGAAACAAGCCAAUUUUCACUUGUCUAAGCAGAUUUUUCUUGAAUGCGUGAUGGCAUGGUUUUUAUUCUGAUAUGAUGGUGAAUUAUGAAUGCUGUUUCUAGCAGGGCAUUGCUUUUGUUCAGAGAGUAAUGUAUUGAAUCAGAUAAAUGCAUCAGUUCUGUAAAGCAUUUCCAAAUGCAAUAAUAGAGAUCAGAGUAUGUUUUGACUAAUUGUUUUAUGAAAUGAUAAAAGAGUAAAUAAACAAACUUUGUGGCCUUCAGUUAACCUAUCAGGUACCAGUUACUAAAUGUCUGUUUACCUUUUAUAUCCACAUGUCCAGGUAAUGUGUCUGAAGUGACAUAAAUGUAGGAUGAAUUUAUGUUCUUUAGGAGCAUGAGUGUUACCUCGAAAGAGCAAUGAGAAUUUUCUUGAGUAGAAGAUGUAAAAAAUCUGAAAGAGAUGUAAAAGAUGAGAUCAGUUUUGUAGGUGUACUGCUAGGAUAAAAAGCUGAAAUCAAGGGUGAGACGAAGAAUAAGCAUUUUAUCUCUAGAAUACUUAGAAGAGAGUAAAAUAUGUAAAGUCACCCUGGGCGCCUCCCGGGAACUUGGUCAUCAUUUGACUCCAUGUGUCAUUCAUUCUCACUAAAUUUCUACCUGUAGUAGUUGACUUCCUUAGCCCCUAUAAGUGUACUCUAUUACAACUUUGUAGUGGAAGAUUGUAUGCAGCCAUAUGUUGUCUUUACUGUUAAGUAAACAAAUGUUAUCUUCCAAUUUGGCUAUUUGUUGACGUUCCAAAAAAGAUAAAUUUUUUGGACAAUUGUGUAAUUGCAUGUGUUUGUAAUUCAGAGUCAAAAAGUCAAACCCGAGAGUUACAUGGCAUGACUAAAGAAUAUAGUUGAACCUUCUCACUAAAUGGCAUGACUAAAGAACAUAGUUGAACCUUCUCACUGAAUGCAUUUAGUUUUCUGACUCUGGUCUCUGGCUAACUAUAAGAUUUUUGGACUUGUACAUAGCCAUUGAUCCCUGGAUAAAGCCCAACUAGGAUUCUCCCAAAGGUCUUUAUUCAGUUGCAUCAGAAAUUGAUGCAGAAGGUCCACCUUAUAUGCUGAAGUAAGCAUAUACAGACUUCUACCCUUUGAGCUUCUUAACUAGUAUCCAUUGAUGCAUCACUGGUACCGAAAUUCAGCAAGAGAAACCUUGAAUUCACCAAUUUUGUUGCAUGAAUUGGUACUAGUAAAAAAUCUGGAUCAGUAUGAGUAACCUGGUAUGUUCCCAGUUUGCUAUGACAAAUGUUGUCUUCCAGUCUCAACAACAUUGCCUUCCAAUUUUGCUAUGUGUUUUCCUCCCCUUAAUAAAUGUUUUGUUGGUCCUGAAAUUUGUAAGCAUUUGACUGAAGACGUUUGAUGUGACAUUUCCUUCAUUAAAUGUUUACCAUGUACAUAUGCCAGUGGAUUUCUUCCAAAAGCACACAUUCAUAGUGUGAAAUUCAUCGAAGACCAUUGCCCUAGCUCAGAAGUUUUCUGUCUCAUCUUUAGACUUUCCAACACUUUUGCUUUGCUGCCAUGUACUGCAGGUUAACUAUCUAGCUGACUGUAGUCUGGAGAUCUUGGAUGAUCCUUCAGCUGUUGCCUUGCUAGAGGUACUUAUUUGAUGUUCAAUCUUUUUUUUUUUUUGGGUAAUGUUCAUUUCUUCAUAAAUUUCUUCUUUGUGAAGAACGUGGGAUUGCUUAUUGGUAUGUUCAUUUUUUCAUUACCAAAGAGCAUUUGCCAUGUUAUCUUCCCUAUUGAUUUGUUCACCUAUCUUGCUUCCAUUCAACUAUUUAUCUAGGCCUCUUCAAUUCAGAAUUCAUUAGGCAUUUAUUAAUAUUUGGAAAUUAAUUGGUAGUUGUGCUAUUAUAAUUUUAUCUAUUGCAAUAUAACCCUCAAUUUAUAUUCUCUCAUUGUUUGACGGUAUAUCUCAAAUUUGAAGCUGAUUAAAUUGAUUAGUCAAAGGAUUUAGGCAGCUACAAAAAUAUGGUCUCGUCUCUUUCUCUCUCUCUCUCAGUUUACAGGUUUAUUUUCUUUCCUAGGUUGGUUUGCUUUAUGCCCAACGUGACCCUUCAUUCAUUCGCCCCAUAACACGUGGUAUCCAGAGAUGCCUUGUGAGAUGGUAAGAGGUGGUUGUGUCUCUUGCAACAACUUUUGAAGCAGCAAGAAAGCAUUUCAUACCUUACUAGUAAUUUGCAGGCUUGUUCAGCAGCGGCUACAAAUGAAUUUUAAGGAAUCUGUUGAGUACCUUUGGCAAAGAAGUGUAAGGGGGCGCAGUUAUCGCCAUUUGAUGUUGCAAAUACGGUAAAACAUGGAUAUGACAGGUACUUGUUAUCUUCUGUUAAUAAAGGUAUACUUUGUACAUUUCUAUGCGCUUUGACCUAUGUUUAUGAAUUGCAUAGGCCUGAUUAUGUGGUUAACCAUAGAUUUAUAGUCGUCAUUCUUAGUGGCCAAAGCUAGCACUUCUCUAUUUCUUGGUGAGGCAAAAAGCAAAAAUAAUAACUCAAGACAAUUUGUCAAGUCCCAGGUUAGUCCCUGAAGUUUCUUUUUUAAACUUCCCAGGCCCUGUUCAGCUAUGUUAACACAGACUGUUCUCCCAAUCCCAGAGCACCUGUUUCAACAUGACACAACUCAGGUGCCGGAUAAAUGUCUGAAACGGUCAGACUCCAUUGGGUGCAUUAAUAAUGUUUGAGGCUUAUGGCUGCAUCAACUGCUAUUCACCACUGUUGUUGACGUUGGAGGGGAAGAAUUAAUCUACAGUUUGUUGAGAUUGGAAGAGGAUGGAGGACCGAUUGGAACUAAAAGUGAUGUGCCAGCAUGGAUUCUACUAUUAAAUCUGUCUACUGAUGGGAAUAUGGCAUCUGUGGUGAUGAAAUUGAUUGCACGAUGCCUCACUAGGGGAUUUUGGAGGGUUCAAUUCAUGUAAUCAAUGAGAUCAUCAAUGAGACAUGAUGGGAUGCUACACGGAAAGAGGGGAAGAUGAAGAUUUUAUUUUAUUUUAUUUUUUGUUUUGGGGGGGGGGGGGGGGAAGAUGCAGAGGAUAAUUUCAAAUUGAGGAAGAAUAUUAAUAGCUCAACCUCAGAGUAGCAGUUGGACUUGAUGUACUAGAUGGAGCAAUCCAUGGAGAAGAGUACAAGGUUUUGCAGAGUAGCCUGCUGGUGAAUCAUUGGAUACGCUAAAUACAUACAUUUUUCUUUCUAGUUGCCAUUGGAUUAUUAUCAGAAUCCUUGUCAAUUCUAGGUUACUAGCGGAAUUCCCAUCUCAUCCUGUAGAAGAAUUUAUCCAAUGGCAUAUGAGAAAGAUCUUCCAGGUAUAGCUGCCUCUUGCAGGUGCAAGUGAAUAUUUGUAGAAAUACAGAUAUGAGGCCGAAAAGGCAAAUGAUUGUAGAAAUUGCAGAGGGCUUUCCAAGUGGGCAUCAUGUUACUGUACUUGAAGACCGGCAAGAAAUAUCGCCAAUCACAUUAACGGCACUGGACCACGAACAAUUCAACAAUAAGAACCAAAUAAUCUAACAAUCAUAGGCAUGGUCUAAGAUUUUGACGGAUGAGGUUCCCCUCGAAAUAGACAAAAACUAGUAAACUACCAUACAAUGCUUUGAAUGGUGUUACCAAAUAAAAUCCCCAUCAUGCGGACGGACGAUUGAGCCUUGAAAAAAGGCGGAAAAUGAAAGCAUGAAAUUUAGAGAGAAGUUAAUUUUGACCAGUAACUAUGCUAAAGUAAAGAAAACUGUCAAAAAAUUAGGGAUUAAUAACAAUUUAUCUUCAUGCCGUGUACCUCAGUUCUCAAUUUAUGUUGUAGUAAAGCAAAAUGUAAAAAAUUUAGAGAUUAAUUACAACUUAUCUUGACGGCCUGCCACUAUAUAUGAGUUGUUGGUCAUUUGAGUUGUUGGCCAUCAUCAUAGUCCAUAAGAUUUGGUGGAAUUGGAGGUCAAGGAUUCAGCCGUCUGGACCUAUCACCAUUUGCCACUAUAUGUGGCCUGUCACUUUAAAUGUCUUUCCAAACGGGUGUAUAGUGCACUGUUUGGGCGGGUAGGUGAUUCAAUCCCCUCCGAUUUCUUCUUGGACCUAUUCAAGCCUCCCCCCUUCCCUAGUAUAGAUAAGUUUAGGUUUAUCGUGUCGAAAAAAAUUACAAUUUAUCCUCUUGGCAUAUACCUCAUUUCUCAAUUUAUGUUGCUAUUUUUUUUCUUCUCUCUUUUCUCUUUUUAAAUUAGCUUUUUUGGAAAUUCUUAUUUUUGAGAAAAUUAGUUUUCUUUUCUGAAGUUUGUGUUUGCCCAAAAAAAAAAUCAAAUAUUAAUUGAAUUAUCUUCUUUUACUUUUCUACAUAUAGUGAUUCUAAAUUAAUUUGUAUCUCUUCUAUUUGUAAUAAUCCAUCCUAAAUAAGUUUUAGAAUUUCCAUUUUCUAACUGUGUGUGUGUGUAUUCUUUAUAUUUAGUUCUUUAUAAUUAGUAAAUUAGAAGCAAUUAUAUUCUAAUUAAUUUCAUCCAUUUUUCAAUCUAAAAAAUCAAUGGGAAAAUUAAUUCUAUAUGUUUAUAAUAAGACAAUAAAAUAAAUGACUAUUUUUUACAAUCACAUUCGCAUGCCAAUUAUUUGGACUUCUUUUUGUUAUUUUUUUUAAUGACAAGCCCUGUACGCGCGACGCCAGGGGGAGGAGGAGGAGGACGCGACCCCAAACUUUUAUUUAGAACAAAAAGCAAGCUACAACUGAUUUCCUACAUCCUACGUCCUUAGCCAGUGAAAAAAAUCAUUUACGCGAAGGACAUGAUAUAUGUUCAUCGUGUUUGGAUUGACGGCGAAUCUAUAUAAUGGUAUCAGUGUCCGGGAAGCCAUCAGUCGUCGCAUACAAAUUGUAGUGUGAUUUGUUAGCUACAACUAUACGUAACGUUUGAACAAAGUUUGAGCGAUAAAGAGAAGUAAAGGAAGCAGCGAAAGUUUGCAAUGUCAUUCAUUUGCGUUUAAGCAAUGUGUUAUCCUUCAAUUUUGUCAAAUUACCUCUAUAUAUAAAGUUUGAGUAACAUUGUUUGUGAUAAGUCAAUACAUUUAUUGGAUUAAUUAAUCAAAUAAUUGUAGCUGAACGGUGUGGUUUUUACCCUUUGCUCCAAAAGGUAAAAGUCCUUUAUUAUCUUUAAAUGUUACAAUUAAUUUGAACCCACAUAACUGUUUGAAUACUAGAAAUGUUUUAAAAAAAAAAAAAGGGAAAAUCGCCAAAACAAUCCCUCAUGUUUGAGUUUUGUACUUUUUUAGUCUCUUACUUUUAAAAUGAUAUAUUUUGUGUCCUUAUAUUUUAAAUUUUGUAACUUUUUAGUAACUUACUUUUAAAAUGAUCAGUUUGGAGCACAUAUAAAAAUACACCAUUUUAUCCCAAAAGGCUGUUUUUAUCUCAUUUUCACCUAAAAUAACUAAAAAAAUAUGUGGAGAGACUAUUUUUGUGGUUUUCCCAAAAAACAAUUUUUUAGAUAUACUACAUAUGAGAUUUGAAAUAGUUGAAAAAUGUACAAAAUUAGCAUGAUUAGAGGUUAUUUCAAAAAAAAAAAGUUCAAAAAUAUGCUUGUACGAGGCAGAAUAUUUUAUCAGAUAAGUCACAUGGUAAAGGAGGGGAAAUAAUAUUUGUACGAACAUCUAGUAACCAUUGCAUACUUUAUUUUUCAAACACAGUUUGAUUCAUGGGAUGACACGGAUGUGAUUACUAAUUCCAUGUCAUUGUAUGUUUGAUUGCUUUUUAAUGCAUGGGAUUGUACUUCCUACCUAGCCAAAUUACCCUCUCAUAUGGGGGAUAAAAUAAUCUUUUGAAGAAAGUGGCAUGAGCCAUCUAGGGAUGAAUGGGAGUGAAAUAACUAUAUUUAGACUUAUUUACCCCUACUAAAAUAAUAAUGCAAUAUUGUACCAAUUAUAUAACCUUACUCUCUCACUAUAAUAUUGGAUUAAUUUGUCCUUAUUAAUAACAAAACAAAAUUUUAGACUAUUUGGCUACUACUAAUAACAUAACUAAGUUUUGGACUAAUUUGCCAAUAUUAAUAACGUAACUAAAGUCCGUACUAAUUUGCCCCUGUUAAUAACAUAACUAGAUCUUUUAUUAAUAUGCUCCUGUUCAUAAUAUGGCUGCGUAUUGGACUAAUUUGCCACUAUUAAAAGAAAAAUUAAAAUUUGAAUUAAUUGGGCCAUAGUAGUUAGUUAUGUGACACUUCAUAAAAAAGUUGGGUAUAUUAGACUACACCUGUAUAUAUACGCACACACUCUCAAGUCCAGUGUUAUUUGAGCUCGGCUCAUUAAAUCACAAAUUUUGGGCCGGGCUUUAUGUGCUAUUUGAAUGGGCAAAACUUGGGCUUAAAUGUGGACUUGAAUAAAUUAUGAGUUUUAGUUUGAGUUUUCUUUGGCUUGGUCUUGUCAAAACAGGGAUUGAUUUAUUUAUUCAUAUAAAUGUGUAAGUUAUGUAUGUGUAUAGCUUAAUCAAUACCUAUACGCUAUAACAACGUAUAAUUUAUAGCUAACUAUUAAAUACAUUUUUAGUUAUUAAUUGUGAGCUCGGUCCAAACCCAUGCUAGAUUUGGAAUCCUAAUUAAUAUAUUUUUGCAACCCAUGCAUGAGUCUCAUAGUUGUUAGCCCAUGUCCAAAACCGAGAGCUCCUAUCUUUUUAUGAGUCAAGUUUAGGUCUAUUUAUAGGUCUCAUAAAGAGGAUAUUUUUAUCUAUGAAUUAGUUAGAGAAAAUAGUUCAAAACGUCUCUUACAUUUUACAAGAUGACUUUUUUCGUCCCUUACUUUUAAAAGUAUAAUUUUACGUCCCUUACAAAUUCACAUUGACCAAAUUUAGUCUCUACCUAGGUUUUUCGACUAGUUUUUGGCCGAAAUCCACCACGUGAGUUGCAUGUGAUCAUUUUUUAAGGGCAAAAUUAUCAAAUCAAAUUUUUACAUAAUUUGAUUCAUAGUCCCUCAUAUUUCACAAAAUAAAAUUUUUGUCCCUAACAUUUUACAAAAUGAAUUGUUUCGUCCCUCACAUUUAUCAAAAUGAAUUUUUUGUCCUUAAAAUAUGAUCACGUGCAAAGCACGUGGUGAAUUCCGACAAAAAACUAGUCGAAAACCUAAGUAGGGACCAAAUUUGAUUAAUGCGAAUUUGUAAAGGACGUAAAAUUACAUUUUUAAAAGUAAGGGACGAAAAAAGUUAUUUUGCAAAAUGUGAGGGACGUUUUGAACGAUUUUUCCAAUUGGUAAUUCCACCUCAUUUGAUCUUCAAUCAAACAUAGCAUUUUUUGUGAUGUGAUGUAUGUGAGAUAAAAAGAUAAUUGGAAAAAUAAAAAGGUGUGUUGAAAAUUGUAAUGAUGAUAUAAACAAAUAAAUUUUGACAAAUAAUCCUCUAUCCAAACAAAUAAUCUCAUUUGAUUUCCAACAAAACAUAGGACCUCACUUUUUCUUAAGACAACUGAUUUAAUCCAAAACUAACUAAACACUAGAUAACAACGAGAUUACUAAUUCUAGAAUUACUCAAACUAGAAUGAGUUGUUCAAAGAUGAUUAAUUCUGUCUCAUCCAAUCAGUGAAACAAACACACUCCUUGGACUUUAAGUCACCAACCAAUUGGGCUUUUUUUCAAAAAAAAAAAAAAAAAAAAUCGGAGCUAAUAACAUAUUUUUUGCCAGUGCAUAAGAGUACAAGACAGAUUUUUCCACUAGCAUGCUGAUGAAAUGUAAUCUUUUACUUUGCAAUGGAUUUUCUUGAAAACGUGUUUGAGGAAGACGAAAUUCAAAUCAUCAGUACAAAGAGUCCAACAAGAUCACGCGUACUCAAUCAUUGAGCGUUGCAUACCCUAUCUCAUGAUUCAUGAGUCAUAAGCCAGUUCAUACCAACAAAAUAAACUGAAGCUUAUGCAAUCAAAGCUUUUGGUUUGAAGGGAAAAUAUUACAAAUUUGAAAGUUAAUGCUUGAUUGGUGGCUGCUGCUGCUUUAUUCAUUUUCAAAUACCUUAAAUCAUUUUCCAUUUUUCCUUUUUUUUUUUUAUAAACAAAUAAAUUUAGUAAGUGCAUGAAGAGAGAAGGUAUAAUCCACUAAGCCCACAAUAUAUUCUAAAUACACCCUUGGCUUUUCUUUAUUCUGUUUGCAAUAUACUCCUAGAUGUUCUUUCCUCUGCUUGAUUUCCCAUAAAAAAGAAAGUACACCAAGUCAGCCCAAAAAGAAAUUAUACUCCGGAUUAAUAGAUUAGAUUUUAAAAAUAUUUGUCGGCUAUAUGGUCACCAGUUAUUACGUAAAGUACACAAAGUCAACCCAAAACUUGAGACAUGGUCACGAGAGAAAAUAAUUUUUUAAACGUUUUUUUAGGUAAAAACCCCCGAAAACGUUAUUGAUGAUUUUAAUGUUUACAUCAUUUCUUGCUGCAGAAAAAAAAAAAACUGAUACGAUAAACUUUUCUAUAAUGAACAAUUUUUAUUAGAGUAUCACAUAUUCUAACAGUUCCUUUAUUUGAAUGUGUGUCAAAAAAGUUCAUAUGCACUGAAUCAGCCUAAAUCUUGACACCUUUUGGCUUUUUAUGUCAGCUGUAGCAAACAAACAAUCAAAAGCAAUAAAAAAUGGAUCCCAGCCAAUUAUUGAGACUUUUAUUUCUUGAAAAGGAGCCAACAUGACAACUUUGAUUCCCAUUCUUCAACGACCUUCGCUCUCUUUUCUUCUUCUCUUGAGGAAUUCAAUUUCUCCCUUUAAAUAGUACAAACAUCAUAGGCAGUCUCUCUUCCUCCUCCGCCUUCUUCCAUUCUAUUUCCCUUGUUUGAAACCAUUUUCCAUAGUCUCAUAUUGCCUAUAUGCAGCAAACGUAAUCAUCCACUCUAGAUCAGAAGGAUUCAUCUCCUCUCAAGAAACACAAGGAGGAUUUUUCAAUCAUCAACACGAAAUCUGCACCAAGGUAUUAAUAUAUUCAAUUUGUUGAUCUCUUAACGAUAAUGUCUUCGCGUUAAAUACAAUCAUAAGUUGGUGCCUUUCUGUCUUCUCUAUUUUCACCCUACAUUUGAAUUCUCUCAUUAAUUUCAAUUUUAAUUCUCUCAAACAUUCCCAGUUUUUUGUCGUCUCCAAAAUACAUAGUGCCAAUGUGAAAUCAAACUCUUCAACUAGGAAUAGGGAAAAAGUGCAAAAUCAUCUCAAAGACACAAAAGUAGGACGAAUGGACGGUCAAUAUAGGCCCAACAGACUGUGGAAGACUAUGAUGCAAAGGCUAAGAAUCAAAAUGAUGGCCUGUUGUGGAUCCUCAAUCAAUCUAAGGGUCUCUGACAGUACAGUUUGUGAAGAAGAAGCAGCCCAGGCCCAUGAGUCACACGAAACGGAGGAGGAGCUACAGCCCAUGAUGGCUACUGUGGGCCAUAACAUACAGGCCAGGGGUAUAAGUUUGGCCACUUUAUUAGCUGCCGAGCGUCAAUUGCGUAAAGUGGGUCCCAGAAAACAUAAGAAGCCGUUGAUGCGAUUAUUCGAAGAAGUUGACGGCGUGGAUUCAAAGAAGGGCAAGUGGUAUAGAGGAGGGAAUGAUAACUUGUGUUGCGUGUGCAUGGUGAGGAAUAGAGGUGCAGCUUUUAUUCCCUGCGGGCACACCUACUGUAGAGAGUGCUCGAGAGCGCUGUGGCUCAAACGUGUGCCGUGUCCACUUUGCAACCAUCCGAUCAAUCAAAUCCUUGAUAUCUUCUAAAUCAUUCUCUUUUUUUUUUUUUUAGUUAUUUUUUUAUAAUAUAAGCAGUAGGUUUUGACUUUGGAAUUUCUUACUUAAAUUCUCUCUACCGUAUCGUUUAACCUAUCCUUCCCCUUCUAAAUCAAACUCUUAACUGUUAUUUAGUCAUGGGUGGCUUUUUUUUUUUUAUAAGUUGGAAGAGUGAUACUUUCUAUCUUUUUUUUUUUUUUUCUAUCUUGUAUUACCUUAGGCCUUUUCCUUGCUUUUCCUUUUUUUUUUUUUCCUUUUGGAAACAGUUUCUUGCGAGUCAUGUAGACGGACGGUGUAUUGAAGACCUUGGCAAUUAAAAAAAAAAAAAACACCAGUAAAUAAGUUGCAAAAAUCUGCCAAUGGAUAAUGGUUCGUGUUUCUAGUAGCCACUAAGCAUACGUUACAUGCAAUAGGACGUAGGUUUUUUUUUUUUUUUUUUCUCUUUUUGGCAGGCACAACAGUACCUAGGUCACUUGUGGAAAAAUGUAUAAAAGAUCAUUACUCCAUGAGCUCUCUAUAAUUAUCAUAAUUUUCUAGUUCACACCUUCAGUCAGUUAGUAGUUAAUACAGUAUAACUCAAAUCAGGUUCGUGGACAUGUAAAUUUUCAUAGAUCCAUCUUUGAAAGAACCAAACGUGAUAAUGUUCAUCAUCAAACGUGAGCAAGAAUCAAGAGAAUAAAAAGAAUCCAGAUAAGAGCUCAGCACACACACACACGCAUGUGUGUGUAAACUCUUAUUGUAAUUAAUUAUUUUCUCUGUUGGAGCGGCAUGCUUAAUUGAACAGAAUUAAUGGGUCGAUAGGUACUUGAGUUUUAACCCUUUUUGCAUCUAACUAUCUUCCAAUCCAUUUUACUUAUAAUUUCUUUAUCUCUUUUAACAAUUUCUAUAUCAUUUAAUAAAUUUAAAUUAUUAUUUUGUAUCAUAUAUGGUACCUUUGUUUAGUGCAAAUUUAAUUAUUGCAUUGGUGAAUUUGUUAACUUUGAUAGAAAUAAUUAAUGAUUCAUGUAGAAAUAGAUUGGUAUAUUUUUGUUUUGUCUUGAAUUGAACUGAAUAUAAUUACGUGUAUAACCAUUUGAGAAAGUUUAAUUACAUGAAGACUAAAAUGGCAGUUAUAUGUUUGAAAUAUAAUAAAUUUCUGAUGUAAACUGGAAUAAUGAAUAAAAACAUUACUCGUGAUUCAUAAGUAAUCAUAAUAAAAAUAAUUCCGUGCUAAUAUACGGACUAAAUACUAGUAUAUGAUAAUACAAUUUAUGUGGCACAAAUCUGCUGUAGUGAAGGUAUUUGCAUUACAUUUUUUUACGGUAAUAAAGAGCUCUUUAUUUUUGUUUCUUUCAGUUUUGCUUAAACAAGAUUCUAGAGUAACAGAAUACAAAGCAAGGUACAAGUUUUGGAAGCCUUGAUAUCAACUUUGGAUAGAUUAAUGAACGAAUUUGGGUGUAAGAAACAAGUUUCAUCAAGUUAUUUGAACCUAUUGGAGGUUUUCUAACUGAAAAAAAAAAACACUCUUGUUGAUAAAAUGGUUGGUUAUAACACCAUCAUCUAAUUAACAAGAAAGUAAGAAUGACUUAUACUAAUAUGAGAUGUCUAUUCGGUCCUACAUCACAUAUUUGCACCAGAAAAUUUGCUUAUUUUUUUCCCUUAAGAAAAGAAUGUGUGAUAUUUUUGCUGUCUAAAAUUGUUCAUGUAGGAUUAGCCACCUGUGUUAUCUAACCAAAAGAGAAUUGAUUAGCACAAAAACUUUUGACAAGGACGACUUUCACCUUUGCUAUAACUUCCACUUCAAUGCGGAAGACAUAUUAAGAUCUUUAACUAAUUUUUUCUCUCUUUAAGAACCCAAAAUUCAUCCGUUACAUUGGUGAUAGUGCAGAUCUUGCAGCUAAGUCUACUAAACCAACUACUUUGAUGUCCCAUCAACAUAAGCAAUAAGACUUGGGACCUCCAAAAAAAAAAAAAAA
rnacentral:lncRNA from 1 species